rnacentral:lncRNA from 1 species
UAACCCAUAAAUACUAUUAAAGUCAAAUUUAAAUUGUAAAUUUUACGGCUGCUAUACAAAUCUAAUGAAAAAACAAAAGAGUAGCUGCCGUGUGGAACUUCUAUUUGACAAUACUCUUUACUUUUCUGACUUUUUUUUUAAUAGCUGUAUUUUUGUUUUUUUUGUGCAAAUCUGUAUUUUUGUUUUUGCAGUUUUAGUUGCAAAUAAUGCCAAAUUCAGCGAGUCUAAAUUUUACGAUUAAUAUUUUUUGCCUUUCAAGGUCUCACAAGUUUUGUAAUACAAAAAUAAAAGAUCUCCCAGUUUUUAUUUUUAUUUUUUAUUUACGUUUCCUUCAGGCUUAAAUAUUUCACAUUGACAUGAGAACUACACAAUUUCAUGCUGCCACCAAUCCUUUUCUUAUAAUGGUUAACAACAUUUAUUAAGUAAACUACCAUUGUUUCUUUGCAUUUUCACGCUGUUUGUCCUAAUCAUUAUCAUAUCUGGUAUAUAUUAUAAAACAAAAUAUUAUUAGUCUUACGAGAUUUACUUGAAAAAUUGAACUAGACUUGCUAUUUAUAUUUAUAUGCGUGUUUCUGUGUCUGAACUGUAAAUGGGUCUUGAACUGGUCACCGCCGUUACUUUUAAGGUCAAUGAGUGUGUUAUCCACUACACAAACCCAACUGACACUUUAAUAUUACAACUUGUGUCUUUGCUUUCUAUCAAGCUAAACUUCCAUAAAACGUUUCUUUUUAACUAUCGUAUUCAUAUGUAUGUUUUCAUAUAAUUCAAUGGACUCUGUAUCAUUUACCAAUUACGAUCUCAAUGGGUAUGCAACAUGCUGGACUUGUUUUGAGAGUGAUACCAGUCCUUUUCUACUCCAAUCUACUCAACGAUGCAUAUAGAUUUUCUGAUUCGGUGACAUCACUUAUAGAAACUAAGAUAUUUUCAUUUAGCAAACAAAAAUCCUAAGAUAUUUUCUUAUAUAGAAAAAAUAUUUAAUAUGCAUUUAUAUUUUUACAGGAAAAUCCAAACAUAUUGCACAAGUAAAACUAAGCUAUAUGGGACCAUGUUGACGUAGACCAAGACCCAUUGAGAUAGGUACUAAUGCUAAUACAGGUGUUAUUCAAUAUACAGAAGACGAAAAAAAUCCAAUUCAUAUACAGCUAGAUAUACCAACAAUUUUAUAUGUUAUCUUAUGUAAUAGUUUAUUACGAGGGAUGGAAUUAUAUGUUACGAGAGAUUUAUAUGUGAAAACUCGAAGGUGUAUCUGAUUUUGGCCAAGUAUCCUUGUAAACGCGCUUAGUGGCCCUGGCCCAUUAAUAAGAAAAUGAUCUAUGGGCCUAUAAUUAAAUCGGUGUAAUAUAGUACAAAAUAAGGCGUCAUGAUACUAAAUGUAAUUUGUAUGCUUGUACAAGUCUGGGCCCUGGUAAGAGUCUAACGUGUCUUGUCGUAAAUCUCCUUCUAAUUAUUACUCCCUCCGUUUUUUUAUAUAAGUCGUUUUACAGAUAUACACGUAGAUUAAGAAAACCAUUAAUUUCUUAUAUUUUCUAAACAAAAACAUCAUUAAUUAUUUACCUAACCACAAUUGAACCAAUAAAAAAAUAAAAGAUAUAUUACCAUUGGUCAUAUAACAUUAAUUACUAAUAAAUUUUACAUAAAAAACCGAAAACGACAUAUAAUUUGGAACAAAAAAAUUUCUCUACAACGACUUAUAUUAAAAAACGGAAGGAGUAGUAGUUAGUUUAAUUAAUUAUAGUGUAUGCAUCAUUAAUGAGGUAAUAAAAUAAGCGUGAAGGACAAAAGCACUACUGGACCCACUGUCUUGUCUAAACCAGCAUUAUUUGUACUCGCACUGCUAAUCUGAUCUACUACUGCUUUUUUUUUUUUUUUUUUAAACAAAUCUACUACUGUUUACUUUUGCAUUUGUGUAAUAAUUUUAUCAGUAUUGCUGUUGCAUAUUUUUACUAAUCACUAGUAUUUAAUUAGCCACACAUGUUUUAAGUACAUGUAAUAUUAAAUACUGAAAUAUAUAAACUCCGCUUUGCACUCUUCUUUUCUCACUCUCCCAGAAAUUCCGUUUUCUCCUGACUUAAAUAUUCGACAUAUAUAAAAUAUGAGGAACAAACUUUAUAAAGCUUGGGAAUGUUAAGAAAACUCGUAUACUUUUUGAAGGUGCAUAAACGUUCAUAUAAUUUAUUUUGGAGAUGUUUAUUACUCCAUGUUCUUUUUCGCAAAAGAAAAUUACUUUUUUUUUAAUAAGAGGGUAAAUAAUUAACGUGAGUUGUACGGAAGAGUGAUGAUUUCCGUCAGAGAACCUCAUGAUGGACGGACACAGGCCUCCUUCCAUAAUAUUCAACGGCCAGAUCUUUUGCUUCCCAUGCGUGUUCCAUUCCCAUUUUCACCGCCUGUUAUUAUUACUAGAGUUUUUAACCGCGCUACGCGCGGAUAAGAUAUUAUAUGUAUUUCUCAAUUCUAAAAAAAUAAUGUAUAAUAUUGUAUUACAUUAUUUAAAGAAUAUAAAAUAAGACUACAUAACAUAAAUAUUUUUUUUUUAAUUUUCUUUGUGAAAAUUAUUAUGUUGUUUGAUUGUUGUACUUGAUUUGCAUAUUUUGCAUAGAUAUAUGUGAUAGAUGAAUAACUUUAUUUUUAUUAUCAGUAAAUAAUAUAUAUUUAUUAUAUAAUAUAAGAAAAAUAAAAUUAUUUACUUUCUGAACAACCUUGUCUCAUGUUGGGAACUCGGUUAUAGACAUAUCAUAUUCGAAGAAGACAUUUUACAGUUAUCGAUCUUCUUAAAAGUCAAGAAACAAAUCUGAAUAUCAAAACAAUAUCUCAUACGAUCUCUUUGUGGAAUAACUACUCUAAAGUAAUUGAAUUUAGGCAUCAAAAAGGACUGGAAAUGGAUGUGCAUAUCUGUUAUCUAAGUCAGCAUUACAAAGUACUAUUCAUAGUUCAUAUAUCAUUUAUGUCCAUCCUAUUUUUUUUGUCCAUCAUUUCUUAAAAAUCUUGAAAUAAUUGAUGCUAAUUAAUAAUAAAAUUUUGGCUGGCAAAAAAAAUCAAAUUUGUCUAAUUAUCGCUAAAAUAUUUUAUUAAUAUUGUCUAAGAAGCUUUCAAGUGAUAUCAUAGUUUAAUUUUUGUUAGUUUUUUUUGUCAAUUUUUAGAGUUUUUUGUAUUUAAGAUUGUUUUCAUAUUAAGCUUCUAUUUCUUUCACUGAAUUGAUAUAUAUAUAUAUAUAUAUAUAUAUAUAUAUAUAUAUAUAUAUAUAUCAUAAAAAUUACCAUCAAAUCAUUUUUACUAAUUUAUUAUUUUGUUUUUAAUGAAAAUACACCUUUAAAUAAUUUAAUUUAAAAUAAAAUUAUAUAUUAAUUUGUUGUAUUCUAACAAUUUGAUUGAUUUAAUUAAUUUGCUUUGGUGGAUAACUUAAAAAGUUUUCAUAUGAAUCGGAGAAAGCAAUCUUAUGUUGUUAUAUUAUAUUUAUUUGUGUAUAUAGAAUCUAUAUAUAAUGCUAGUGUAAUAAAGAAAGAACAAUAUUUUUUGUAACUUCAAAAAGAUACAUUAUUAUAAUUUGAAAUUAAUUAAAAUUGAAUAAAAUGGUAAUUAAAUAUUUGUAAAUCUAAUUGUUUUUUUUUAUCUUGUUCAGUUCGAUUCUCAUGAAAAAAAAUCGAUAGGUUAAACAAAUGUUUCAAAAUUUGAAAUGUUUCAAAAUUUGUUGUGUUAUUGUUUUGUCUAUAAAUUACAAAAUUUAUUGAAUUGAUAUAUUUAACUAUUGCACCCUUAAAUAAUAUUUUAUUAAGACAUUAGAGAACUAUGUUUUGAGUUGUUUUGUCAAAAUUGUACAAAAAUCUAUGCUUUUUCAUAUUUGUCACGGAAAUUUAUAUGUUAAACUUACUUUUACAAAAUUCUUAACUUUGUCACGAAAACAAAAAUCUAUGAUUUUUCAUAUUUUUCAAUGUUCUCACACUUUCAAAGAAUAUAUUAGCUUAGUCACUUACUUAUUUUUUUUUACAAAACAAAGUAUCGGAGUCUUGAAUGUUGAAUUCAUAUUAUUGUAAUUGUACAUAAGAGUUUGUGAUUACAUACUUAGUGAUUCUUGUAUAUGUGUUCAAGAAAGUUUCAAUGGCUUAGUGGUAACUGUCCUAUAUUAAUGUCAUAAUAACCCGGGUUCGAUCCUUUCCUUCGCAUUGUUUUUCAUUUUUUACGAAAAAAUAAAUGAAAUGACGUGGCAAUUUCGGGCUCUCUGAUUGGUUGAUUUUUCUAUCCUACGUGGACACCCUCUCCAUUGCUUAUAUUUGCCUUUUAGUAUAGUAUAGAUGCUCCCUUCUCCAACCUAUUUUACUUAUUUUUUUGUAUUAAUUAUAACUUUAAACUCGAACGGUGAUUACAAGUUACAUAAACAAUUUGAGGUAACCACAAUUAACACCGUCAAAUCUCCAGACUUUGUGACCAAUGAAGUAAAAAUAAUGUAAUGAAAACAUUAUUGAAUGAAGCCUUUUCUAAGAAAAAUAUAAUUAAAUGCUAUAUUAUUCUCAUAAACUCGUCUAAAUUAUUGUAUACAAACUUAACAAUAACAAACUCAGAACUGCGAAUAGUUAAUCAUUUAUAUAUUAGACACAAAGUGUCCCACAUUGGAUGUUGGAAAAGAUCUUUAGUAAUAUAUAAGAUAGAUAGACCACUCUACUUAGCACCAAUUGAUUUUAGGUUAGAAGUCCAUCUAGCUUAACAUGGUAUCAGAGCAUGAUCCACACAGUCCAACCCGAUCCACAUCAAUCUGGCCUAAAGUUGACCCAUCGAUCUUUGCCCGAGCAUUCUCAGAUUGACGCUCAAAGAGCCAUCAUCUCGAGAGAGCGUAUUAUACACAGAGUGUCCCACAUCGGAUGUUGGAAAUGAUCUUUAUCGUAAUAUAUAAGAUAGAUAGACCAUUCCACUUAACACCAAUUGAUUUUAGGUUGAAAGCUCAUCUAGCUUAAAUAUAAUGAACCAAAAAGAACAAAAACAUAAGGUAAGUAAAAAAAAGAUAUUUGUAUACAAAAACGCAAAAUCAUUUUUAAAAAGGUUUAGGGGACUAACAUUUGUCUAUUGGACCCCAUCUAGUUGGGCCAAUCUAAGUAAAAAAUUAAAGCACGAUAAGGAAGUGCAAUAAUGAAAGUUAAAAAUAAAUUAGGAAGGUGGCGGAUUAACAUUAACUAGAUUUUGAUCCGCGCUUCUUAAGCACGGGUUUGAGGUUUUUAAUCUUUAAUAAAUUUUAAAUCUAGUAUAUUUUUUUUGUUUCACAUUAUAACUAUUAACUUUUAAUGUUUUUAUUAUUCAUUACUUUUUAUAGUAUGAGAUUUGUUUGAAAUAGAUUUAAAGAUGAUAUGUAUGUUUUUAGUAGUAAAGAUAUUCAUUAUUAAAAAUAUAUAUGUUAAUUAUUGAACUGUAUUAACUAAUGUUUUGAAAAUCUGAUCGGACCGUACGAUCGAACCAGUCGGAUCCUGACUCGCUCUUCUAACUGGUUCUGAGUUGUGCUAAAAACCGAAUUUGAGUUAAAUCGGACUUAGUUCAAUAUUAAAACCCAGUUUUCGCAAAUUCAAGUUAAAAAAUAAAAAAAAUUUGCAAAUUUUAAUAAGAUUUCAUCAAAAUUUAAUAUUGUUUUCUACUACAUAUAUAAAUAAAUUAGUUUUAAAAUGGGACAUUAAUAUUUAAAAAUAUGUACAUUAAUAUUAAUCUGUUUGUUAUGACUAUUUCCUUAAGUUAUUUUCUGUAUUAAGAAAAUAAUAAUAAAAUCUUUAGGUAAAAUAUUGUUGUUAGUUAAAAUAUCUCUUUUUGUACAUUAAGGAAAUUAUGAGUUGAUGUAUGAAAUAUUACUUUGACUUAAAAUAUGCUGAAUUAUAUGGUGUUAGUAACUAAUAGGUCCAAACAACCUUGUAUAAGUAGAUUUUUUAAGAAUGCUUUCCUUUUAAUAGUAUAGAUUAAAAUGAAAAAGGAAAGACUAUCAAAAAGAUUAAGAAGUUAAUUAAACAAAAAAAAAAGGAAAUUAGAUUAUGAGGAGGAGGAGGUUAGAUGUCCCAUUCACCACCCGGCAAACCGACUUGGAAUGCCGCUUUCUUGUCCCCUCUCACUCCUCUUUUUCUCGCCUCGUAAUUACCACUACACCCUUCACACUUCGCUUCUCCAAAUCCCCUCUACACUAGAUUUGGGCAAAAACAACCGGAACCAAAGAACCAAACUAGAACCGAACCGAAAUAUCCGAAACUAGAACAAGAUACUCGAACAGUUCUUAUAAUUUUAUAUCUGAAAUAGCCGAACUGAACUAAAAACCGAACAUGUACCCCAAUAUAUAAAAAUAUUAAUUAUAUAGACAUACAUAACUAUGUAUAUAUAUUUUUAAUUUAAAGUCUAUAUAUAUAUAUUUAAUUUAAAGUAUAUGAAAAUGGUUGAGGAUAACUAAAUUAUUAUAAAGUAUCUGAACUAUCCGAAACUACCCGGAUAAUUUUAUCUGAAAUAUCCAAAAUAUCCAAAAAAAUUGUCUAAUUCAUCCUAAUUAUUUGAUAUUUUACCCUAAAUAGCCGAUAUUAUAUCCAAAUUAUCCGAACUCUGAAUCCGAACCGGAUCCAAAUGAGAACCAAAAUUUUCCGAGCAUUUUCUGGUUCCUAGUUUUACUAUCCGUACCGAACCGAAUCUGAAACUAUCUGUACCGAACCGAAACUAUCCGAACCGAACCGAACUGAAAAUAGGUCAAGUAGUAAAUGAAUCUUCUAGCCCCCUACUCAAACUACCCGAAAUAUCUGAACCGAACCGAGCCCAGGCCUAGUUCACACUACGCUUCUCCAAUCCCCUUCACAAGGGUAAUAUCGUCAUCAAAGCAAAAGGGCAGGAUCGGAACCAUCCCCUUUCGGGAGGAGCAAGAAAGUGGUUUAAUUAAAAGAGGAUCCGACAAUAAAUCAACGGCUCAAACAACUCACCACAGAUCCUACAGUCCUCGUCUCUCCUCUCGAUUAAAUCUCAUCCGUCGGAUCAGAAUCCAUCAACGUCCCUCCACUUAUUUACAACCCUGCCACUUUCAUAAUUUUUUAAUCACUCUGCAGCAGCAACGAGUUUUCUGGGUGGAUGAUGAUAAUUAAGCUUUUUUUUUUGUAAAUGCUUUAAUGGAAGGACCUUGACUCCACACCUCUCUCUCUCUUUUCGAGGUAAAAACUUCUUAGCUUCUUCGGAAUCGAGCUUCGAUUCGUUGAUUGUUCGUGUGUUGGUUAGAGAAUCUCUAGAUCUACGAGCUUAAUCUUCGAUAUAUUAUCUCGAAUUGCGGUUUCUGUUAGCUGUUAUUUAGAUCGUAGAAGGUUGAAGAAGAACGUAUCUGAUUGGUUGGUAUGGUUUAGAUUCUGAAGCGUGAUUUAGGAGAAGAGUGAAUCCUCGCAUUUCUAUUUUAGGAAACCCUAAUUUUGAUAUGGUUUCUAUUUUAGGAAACCUUUUAAAGAAAUGUUACUGGAGAAAGAGCUGCAGAGUUCAUCACCAGCUAGCGUCUCGGGAGCAUAACUACCUGGGCCUCUCUGACUGUUCCUCUUCCUCUGUUGGAAGCUCGACUCUCUCUGGCCUUGAUGACAAAGCUGCUAUUAGCCUGAAAGCUACGGAGCUGACGCUUGGCCUUCCUGCCAGAGAGACCGAUGAGAAGCCUUUCUUUCCUUUGGUUCCUUCCAAAGAUGAGGUUUCCUUGAAGAAAAGAGGCUUCUCUGAUGCAAUGGAUAAGUCUAAAAGUUCGGUUUAUACUGAGAAAAACUGGAUGUUUCCUGAAGGGGUAGCAGCUAACCAAUGUGUAAUGAAGAAGGAGGCGACGCAGAACAUGCCCAAGGGACAGGUAAUGUAGCUUCUUUUGCUUGAGUUUUGAUAUGCAGAAGGGUAAGUUUUUGAUUUCUUUUCUUCAGGGCACAGAUUGUUGGUUGGCCUCCAGUGAGAUCCUACAGGAAGAAUACGUUGGCCACCACUUGUAAGAACAGUGAUGAAGUUGAUGGGAAGCCAGGUUCCGCGGCGGCCCUCUUCGUGAAGGUCAGCAUGGAUGGUGCUCCUUAUCUGAGGAAAGUUGACCUGAGGAGCUACACUAACUACAUGGAGCUUUCUUUAGCCUUGGAGAAGAUGUUCACCACUUUCACUCUUGGUGAGAUGUUUCUCUGUGAUUUUGAUAACUUUUCAUGGUAGAUCGAUUAGUGAGUGCAAUGGAUUAUUUUGUGUUUAGGUCAAUGUGGAGCUAACGGAGCUGCAGGGAAGGAUAAGCUCUGUGAGACCAAACUCAAGGAUCUUCUGAAUGGAAAAGACUAUGUGCUCACGUAUGAGGACAAGGAUGGAGACUGGAUGCUUGUUGGAGAUGUUCCAUGGGAGUAAGUUUUAUGCUUUUGGAAUAAAAUCGAAACAUGCAUUGGAAAGAUACUAAUUGGGAUUUGAUUAUUCUGAUAAAAAAACUACAGGAUGUUUAUUGAUGUCUGCAAGAAGCUGAAGAUAAUGAAAGGCUCUGAUGCCAUUGGUUUAGGUGAGUCUUUGUUUCCACUUGUUAACAUGUUUAAUGUGAUAAUCGCAAUGUCUUGUUAUAUGAUCGAUAUCGUGAUGUUUUUGCAGCUGCAGCUCCGAGAGCAAUGGAGAAAUCGAAGAUGAGAGCUUGAAAAUUAGAAGCUUUCAAGUUAUACAGAUUAUGUGCGGUUGAAAUAUCUCUUUUGGUGGUGUUUUAAAAAAUUUCAAAACAUCUUUAGCUUCUGAUUUUUUUUUCUAUUAUAAAAACUACGUUUGUAAGAAAUGAAGAAGAAUUGACUACGCUUUAGCCGAAACAGUAAAGUGGUCGCUGUUUCUACUUUCUAGAGUCUGGUCUAUGUUUGGUUUGAUUUGAUUUCGAUGUGUGGUUUGACUUUUCUAUUUUGGGAUAUUAAUGUAAUGUUAUUCUGCCUCUCCGCCUUCUUUAGUUAUCAGCUUCGUUUUGUUAUAAUUAUCCGGCUUUGUCGUAAACAGAGUUAUAUUUAAGUUCAAAAAUAACUUAAAUUAGAUAGGAUUAUUUUAAAUAUGAAACACCCAAUUAGAAUUUAUUCAAUUUGGUUCGGAUACACUACAUUUGGUUUCAGGUCAGAUUCUCAAUUAGUGAAACUAUUCAGGUGACACAAAAUUUCGGUUUAGUUUGUUUAUACGAUAGCAUUUUUUUCUUGUCCACCUCCAGUUACGAAUUAGGAUUGAUGCAGCAGACGACAUGUUAUUUUUGUCUGGUUUGAAAAGCUGAUUGUCAAGAAUGGAACCCGCAGGUUUUGUUUGCAUGCAUGCAUUCGCAAAAACAAUUUUGAAUAUCGAUCCCUACUUAAAUCGUGGAGGUGGGUUAUUAAAUUGUAAAACAUUUACAUGUGGAAGAGCGUUAAACCAAAAUGCAUACGUUAAACCAAAAGCAUAUAUAGGAUGGAAGGCAUCACCAAUGGAAAUCAAUUAGCUGUUCAAGUUAACUAUCCAGUUCUAAACUUCUAAUUGGUUUUCUCAAAUCUGCCACUAUAACUUUUGUGGAUAUCUACGUCUAUCUUAUUAUAUCAAGAAAAGAUGCAGAGAAAUUAAUGCCUAUAUCUUCUGGCAGUCGGUUUGAUAUGCUGCUAAAUUAUUGGCGCAAGUAGAUCCUUGAACCAACAUUAAUAAUCCUCCUCGAAGACCCAAAUGCUACGAGACAAAGGAAGAAAGGUUUGCGCAGGGAAGUGUUUGAUAUCGUGACUUAAAAAUUUAACUUUCCAUGAAACUCUUGACCAAACCUAAAAAACAAAACUUCAUGAGUGUUAAACUCGUGAAAGUUAAACUCUCCAAGAUGAAUAUAUCAUAGAUUUCAAAAGCGGUAUCAGUUUGAAAUUCAGUGAGUACAUUUUACCCAGAUUUUAAUAGUGCAUUGAACUCCAUCGUUUCACAAAAUAAUCAAAGAUACAUGAACAUAUUGAUGGGAUAUGGACUGUAUUAUAAUAAAUACUCUCUCAUCCUUCUCAAAUUAUUUUCUGUACCCAAAGAUGCGAACGUAGUGCGCAUUAGACUUUGGCAAUGGUGGUUUGCUUAUUAAUAAUUGUUUUAUAAACAAAUAUUUCCAUGAUCUCAUUUAUUGCCCAUUUUUAUAAUUUCCAUUAGCGUUGACAAAACAGCAUAUAGGUUAUAGUUUUAUCAUCCUUUGAAAUAAACCCUACCCCAAUGAUGGUUAUAUUCCAAGUACCAAAUUUCGAAGAUGCAUUAAUUAAUCAAUUCCAGCGCAUAAAUUCGAUCGAGAUAAUUAAAUACUCAUAUACUCUAAUAACAAAAGAAUCUACUGGUCGAAUUUAAAUCGUUCUUGUUACUUUUAUCCAAAGAAUUGGAUAGAUGUGUGAUUCUUAUAGCUUCAUGUGAAGCCUAGCAGUAUGCGCAUAAACAAAUAGUCAUUGCUUGUGAAUCUCAUUUAAUUCGAUUCGAUGCACUGACUUCGAAUGGGACGGACUAUAUAGUUUUAUAUAAGUUGAUCAACUAUAUAGUAUUACUGAACAUUUCUAAAAUUAAAUAUGACAAAGACUUAGGGAAUGACAUGUCAAAUUUGUCUCCAAAAAUAUGAAAUGAAGUAUGCUUCUAAACGAUGGAACGUGGCGUUACCUUUAACACUCAUUUAUAUUGGUUUCCAAACUAUCUCUAUGUACACAACUAUUUAUAUACAGAUGAAACCAACAAUCACAAAAUGCCAACUAAAAUGUUAAAAUGGUAACUUGUGAACAUAUUGUUUUGGUUGAUACUAGGAAUGUAUUCAAACCUUGUAGCAGUAAAAGGGUAAACUCAGACAUAUCAAUGUCAUUAUCAGGUGUUUAAAAAAAAUUAUAGUACAUUAGAUUUAUCAAUCAAUCUCACAUGAAUCUAAUAAUACAUAUACAUACGAACAUAUAAAUCAACACAGAUAAACUAUAUACAAACGAACAAAUUGUUUACACCUUUUCCCCACGUAAGCGGUACAAAUCGCGUUCUCUCACCUUGGCUCUUCUCAUUUGAUAAUAAUAUAUAUGUAUGGUUAGCACUAGGCGUUCCAUUAACCACCCAAUAUGUUUGACCCAAAGUUUAGAACAUAACAGUUCAAACGCACACUGUUGGAUUCAAGUUCUAGAAAAACAUAUUAACUUUGUAUUCGCUCUGGGAUGAACCUAGUGCUAAUAAGUGCGUAUAAAUCAUAUAAAUGAAUUUUCAUAAAUGCAUAUACGAUCAACAGAAUGAGUGUUUUUAUUUGGUAGACCUUCGACAACCCACCGAAUUGAUGGUAUCCAUGUAUUUCUUAUCAGCUAUCAAUCAUGGGAGGUCGUGAUCUAUUUAUUUAUGGACAAAAUAGUAUCAGCAUUAUUAUUGUUCAAUUUUUCUUUUUCGUUUUGGAAGGUUUGAUUAUCAACUUUGUCCGGAUAGUAACCAAAGUGUGUAUACUUGUGAUGUGUAGCGCAUUAAAAGAUCUCAUUCAAUUUUAUAAAACCUAGUUAAGUUAUUUACGAAGUAAUAUUUUCGUUUUCUAAUGGAUAGUCAAUAAUUCCAUGGCGUGCACGCAUGAAGUCAUGUGAUGUUCAUACAAGGGUAGCAACUUAACCUACCAAGCAAUUUACAAAUCCUUACUUAGUAUUUUAAUUUAGCCAUAACUAGUUAGUUUUAAUCCGUAUUGUUUCCUUCAUUCAUUCAUGUGGCUCAUCUGCAAAAUUCCAAAAUACUCAAAGCCACAAACUUUAAUAAUGUAUGCUUUGGAGUUUAUACCACUGAUCUAGUAAUAUGGAGUUAGUUUAGGCACUGAUCAUCAGCCAGUAGAUCUAAUGGGUAUUCGAAAAGAUUUUAAAAGGGAUAGUUAGAACUUAGAACUAUCCCAGUCAAAGGAAACCACCAUUUUUGCCAUAGCAAGAAUUCAAAAGUUUGCUGGACCAGUCUAAUCUUUAUGUCAUAUCAUUAGCUCUUGUCGUCACCAUAUAAUUUAUUAUUAUUUGGAGCAUUCGAAAUGUGGACAAAUUUAAAUUAUUUUGUUUGUAAUAAUAAAUGCACUUCUACCUUUCUCCUUCAAACAUACAAAAUUUUCACAUAUAGUCCAAAACCAAAAACGUUAAUUAAGUUAAUCUGUUCAGUCCGUAUAUAGAUGCUAUAUAAUAUAGUUAAAGUUAGAUAAGCUAAACUCAAAUGGAAGUAAAACAGUAGAAGUGAAUGUGGAAAGAUACUUGACUUUGAUAGAGGGUACAGACACAGUCAGAAAAAUAAAUGCCUCUAGACCUACAGAACUCUGGUCAUCUGCUAAUUACGACGCAGUUCUGAAAAAUCUCUCUGCAAUCUUCAUUUUUAUUUAUAUAUUCUUUUGUAAUUUUUAGAACAUGCUUCACCGUUUGUUGCUCAGAUUCUAUUUCUAACAUCACGUGCCACAUGAACAAUGUUUGACUUCUCUUUUUUCGGCAAAACAAAAUAUCAGAACAACUAGACAAAGUCGAGAAAGUAAGGUUUAGUUUCUUCUACACUGAACCACAUUGGAAGGUAAAUAUGAAUCCAAAUACGCCAGGUUAUAAUUGUUUAGUGUUGAGAUAUAAUAAUCAAUUCAUCAAGUUAAAUUUGGUUAUCAAAAAAAUAAGUGAAAAUUUUACAAGCAAAUGGAACAAAGAUUUACAUGCAUGCAAUUUUUUUUUCCAUGCAAAUGGAACAAAGAUCGCCGGGUCUUUAGUCAAAUGAAAAUCCCAUAUGCAUAUGGUCGGUUCCAUCGUUGACCUUUUUUUAUUUUAUCGUCCAUCCCAAUGAAAACCAUUUGAAAGAUCAAACCCAAAUAUAAAAGUAUGUAAUAUGACCUUCAUAAACAAAGAUUAUAGUUUAAAAAAUAGGAAGGGGACGUAACAAAUCAGUGAUUAUUUUUCUUCGAGGCAAGAAACUAUGAAAGAUUUACAUGCAAAAUGCAAACAAAAGCCAUUUCAGACGCAUGAAGUCAUAAUUUUCACCUUUUAAUAUUGCUUACAAUAAAAAAUAAUUAAAUGUUUCUAAACGUCAGUAAAGAAGAAAUAUCUUUCUCUCUCUCGUCUUUAUCUUAUUUAAUAUCUCCAUCUUCCUUAUGAUCAAUAAUGCCCAAAGCUCCCUUCAUCUUCUAUAUAAUCACUUAGAGAAAAAAAGAGUGGAAGAUAGAAAGAACUUUUUUUCUUCAUUUGUUUAGCUGAAAAUGGUGUUUGGUUGGAGAAAAGCGUUCUGCACAUCCUUUCCUAGUAAUCAAGACAAAUCUCAUCAAUCAUCAUCAGACCUUCUCCACACUGAUCCACCUAUUCCCACACCAAGACUCCGAUCAAAGUUCGGUUUUUUCUCAAACCCAUCAACUCCCCGCCUCCGAUCUCGCGGCGGAGGUGGUGGAAACGGAUGCCGCUCCGUCGCUUCAACCGCAGCCGCUACUCCAUCUCUUCCCACUAGUCCCAGACUCCAAUGCAGGACUACAAGCAAUGCUACUCCGAGGACAAGUAACCCCUCGACUCCUAAGUUUCUCUCUAACCCUUCUUCUCCCAAAUCAUCAUCUCCUUCCUCCCACGCCGGCGUCUCUCUCCUCCGUGCCACACUUCUUCUCAACCAGGUAAGAAGCAUUAUUAAUUUUUUUUAAAAAAAAUUUCUAAUUAGUUUUAUUUUCGUUUUAAUUUUAGAGUCUUCAGCAUACUAAUCUAAAUCUCUGUUUUGUAAUAAGUAUACUAAUCUAAAUCUCUGUUCUGUAAUAACUAUGCUAAAUAAAGGCUGUUUAGUAAUAAGUAUAUUAAUCUAAAAGUACUAAUCUAAAGUUCUUUGUUUGGGAUGCAGAGCAAUAGCAACAGAUGUGGGAUAUGUCUACAGAGAGUUCACUCCGACCAAAUCAAUUCGACGGCGAUUUUCACGGCGGAGUGUUCACAUUCGUUCCACCUCUCUUGCGCCGUUAGAUUACAAGACAAGCGCUGUCCUUUCUGUUCCACCGCGUGGAGUCACGCUCCGAGGAAAGAUCCCCCGACUGCGAAUUUCGGAUCCGACCCGAUUAGAAAACCCGGGAUCCGAGAAAUCAAAACCGGGAAGUCGCUGAGAGUGUACAACGACGACGAGCCGUUAGCUUACUCGCCCGUCUCUCUCGCUCGGUUCAACACUAUACUAGAAUCAGACGAAAACGACGACGUAGAGGAAGACGACGAGUUCCCCGGAUUCUUCCCCGAUUCUUCGAUCACGCCGGCGGCUUCGAUCUCCGGGAACCUCGAGGUUCAAUUGCUGCCGGAAUCCGCCGUGGUGGAGACCGGGAAAAGGAUCGAGACGCACGCCGUCGUCAUGAAAGUGAAGGCCUCGCCGAUGAGGGACGCCGUUAGAGCGCGGCGGCCGUCGAUCGAUCUGGUGACGGUUCUCGAUCUGAGCGGCGGCGGAGCGAAUUUGCCGACGGUUAAGCACGCGAUGAGGCUGGUGAUCUCUCUCCUCCGGGAGAUGGAUCGGCUCUCGAUCGUCGUGUUCUCGGCGGGGUCGAAACGGUUGAUGCCGUUACGGCGGAUGACGGCGAAGGGACGGGGGUCGGCGAGGAGGAUCGUGGACUCGCUCGGCGGAGUUGAAGCCACCGGCGGCGGAGGGAUGAGCGUUAGCGACGCGUUGAAGAAAGCGGUUAAAGUCGUUGAGGAUCGGCGGGAGAGGAAUCCAACGGCGAGCGUUUUGGUUUUAUCCGACGGUCAGGAUCAACCGGAGGCGGUUUUGAAAGCUAGGCUAAGCUCCACGCGCGUGCCGUUCGUCGUUUCCACCACUCGCUUGUCUCGUCCAAUGAUCCCUGUUCACUCGGUUUGGAUCGCGUCUCCAAGCGCGUUGCAGUACGCGCCUCUUCGGGACGCGUUCACGGAGCGAGUCGCUGCUUUGUUCAACGUGGUUUUGCAUGACGUGAAGCUUAAUCUAGGUUUGGUCUCCGCAUCCCCGUUGACCGAGAUCUCAGCGGUUUACUCUUUAACGGGCAGACCCGAGAGUUUCGGAUCCGGGUCGGCCGUUGUCGUCGGGGAUCUGUUCGCGGAGGAGGAGAGAGAAUAUCUCGUUGAGCUCAGAGUACCGACUUCUUCGAGCGGGUCCCACCGUGUGAUGUCCGUACGGUCUUCGGUCGUUGACCCCGCGACGCUUCAGCCGUUUCCUUGUCCGAACGAAAAACGGUUUUUGAUCCCGCGGCCACAGACCGUCCGAUUCGUCUCUGCUAGCAUCGAACGGUUGAGGAGUCGACACUCUGUCUGCCGCGCUGUAGCUGAGUCACGUAAGAUGAUUGAGCGUGGUGAUUUAGCCGGAGCCUAUGAGGUUUUAACAGCGGCUCGGUCAAACGCGUUGGAUGAGAAUGAUAGCUUAAAGAGCUUGGACGCUGAGUUAGCCGAGCUAAACCGGUUGAAACCGAGAGACGGUACAGCAAACCGAGCCGAAGAGGAGAAAACCGAGCAACUAACGCCUACUUCGGCUUGGAGAGCCGCUGAGAAAUUGGCGAAAGUGGCUAUCAUGAGGAAGCAUUUAAACCGAGUCAGCGACAUGCACGGCUUGGAAAACGCCAGAUUUUAAGUUGAUUAUUAGUUGGUAUGUAAUUAUUUUAAAUAUUAGUAACCAAUAAUUGAGUAAGAUAUCAUAAAUAAAAUUAUAGAAGCAUGAUUUUUAGAAAGGGACCCUAUAGGUGCAUGACAGCGACAAGCAGUAGCCGACGGGUGUGGCCUUUUUUGUAAUGCAGAGAUUGGUACAUUGAGAGAAUUAAUUGGUCUUGUAGCUUUUAUCAUCUCCCUUUUUGUAAUUUUCAGAAAAUCCAAAUUUGUGACAGAAAAAGUUGGAAGAAAAUAAAUGAAGUUUGAAUUUUUUUUAUAUACUAUAAAAGUGUAGUGGAUAAUCAGAGAGUGGAUGCAAUGCUGGACUUCAAAAUCAAAAGUAAGUUUGUACUUAGUUUAUAUUAUCGUGCCGUUUAAAUUUCAUGAACUUAUUAUACUUUAUAUCUUUACAUACGAAAGAUCAUGAUUAGUCAUGUGAUCAUCAUUAUAGGCUAGCAUAUUGUUAUAGAAAACUUUAAAGGUUUACCAGAAUAAAAAAUAUAUUCCCAGUGGUUGUACUUGUAUUAUAAUGUAUGUCUUGUGACAACAAUGAAAUAUAGAAAACUAAUGAUUAAUAUCAUGAGAGACCCAAAAAAUUGAUUGGUGGUGCUUUGCUGUAUUUUUAGCUCAGUAGGGCCAAAUUUUGUAAAACAAAGAUGAGAGAAGUAGGUAUUGCCAAGCCCGUUAAGAUAAAAGAUUGAUGUUGGCCCAUCAAUCCUUAACCUUUCAUGCCACCACUCUAUGUCCGAUAUGUCAAAAGAUAUAAACUAUCUACCAGCAAGAAACAUAAAGACCCACAAAUAAUUUAGUGAAAAUAACAUUUACACUACACUAAACCGGCCCAACAAAAUGCCCUUUUUCAAAAAAACAAAAACAAAAUGGACAUAUUCACCAAAUCAUGUAAUUUAAGACUAGCCAGGAAUUAAGAAAGUUAAGCCUUUUUCUAAACAUUUUUGUUUUGCUGAAGCCUUUUAAAAUUUUAAUUUAUUUCAUGCUGAAUACCAGUUGAUUUUUAUUUUUUACCAGUGGACGGCAGAUAAAAUGUACUACCUCCAUUUUAAAAUGUAAUAUGUUUAAAAAACAAAAUGUUUCUAAAUAUAAGAUGUUUUCAAUAAUUUAGGAAACUUUCAACUUCAUUAAAAACUGUACACCCAAUUAUAUUUUAUAGUGUAUUUUAUAAUUGGAUAGCCUAAUUUAAUAUCUGUUUCUGAAGAGAGAGAGUAUCUGUUUAUUGAAAUUUUAUCAUUAUUUUCUUUCUGAAUGUAGUAUUAGUGGUAUAAUUAUUUAAUUUAAUUACUCAAAUUUUAAUUAUUUGUAAAGUUGGUCAACUCUAAAAGACCCACGUCUCAUAGAUAAGGCACCUGAUCUGGUUGUGAUUAGGUCUGAAACUUUUAUCCGAGAUCCGGAUUCGGUCCGAGAUCCAGAUUCGAUCCGAGAUUCAAUCCGAAUCCGAUCCGAAAAUCCGGAUAUCCGGAGAGGCCGAAUUCGGAUAGUAAAAUGUUGGAUUCGUCAAAUCCGGAUCCGAAUCUAGAUAUCUUAUUUUUUUAAUCCGGAUAACUGGAUCCAUAAAUUUUAUUAAUAAGUAUUUCAAAAAUAUUAAUAUCUAUAUAUAAAAAUUAAUUUUAUUGAAUAUGUUUUUGUUUUUAUAAUAGUAUAUAUAAAUUUUAUGUAAAUUUUGUAACAUUACACAUAAAAAUAAUUAAAACAUUAUAUAUAUAUAAAUUAUUGUUAAUAUUUUAUAUAUAUUAUAUUAUUAUUUAUUUAUUUUAAAAAUCAAAAUCUGGAUCCGGAUAUCUGCUGGAUAUUACAAUUUUCAGAAGGACACUCGGAUAUCCAAAAACGCUGGAUCCAAAUAAGAAUAGUAAAAUUAUGGAUCCACCGGAUAAGGAUUCGGAUCCGAAUACCUUAAAAUUAUCCGGAUACCUGAUCCGUCCGAGGUCUGGUUGUGAUAUGCGAAAAAUUGUCCAACGUUGAAAUUCGGAUCACCGUCCCUUGAAAUCGACUUCGCAGAUCAAAUACUGACACUUGGCUUUCUAAAAGGUUAUCUAUAUCUAAUUUACUCGAAUUUUAAAGUAAACUUUUCCUAACUACAGCCCACGAUUAAUUAUUUCUGGAUAUUUCUUUUUGAUGACUUGUGGUUUGCAACCAGCGGUAUAAACAAUAACCAUGUUUAUAUUUAUUUAUUACGCUAAAUACAAAUGAAAUGCCAUACAUACUUACAAGUAAAAGAUACGGGUUUCAACUUCCGCGUAACAUUAUAAAUAAAUUUAUAGGGAAAACAAUCCAUUUUGCAUUUGAAGUUCAAAUAGUCUUCACUCACUAUUUUUGUCUAGAGAAAGUAGUAAUUUUUUUUUAUCAACUGGUUACUUUCAUUAAAAUAAAUCAAAACAUAGAAUUAUGGCCUCGGGCCCAAAUAAGAAACAAGACAUGAUUUAGCUAAAUAAUCCGCUGGCCCAUUACAAGCCCGCGGGGUGAAGGUGAAGGAGCAUGAGUGGAAGGGGGAGGAGGCGGAGAACGCCAGCGAGUCGAUGUCCGAUAAAAUUCCAUAGAGUUCCGUCGAUCGUCUUCUCGUGGUGAUAGCUCUGACGAGCACUUGAGAAUCUGUGCGUAGACAGAUGUUGGUGAACUGGAGGGAUGAGGCCUGGAUUAGCGCCUCUCUGAUUGCUAGGGCCUCAGCCAUGCAGGCGGAGGAGAAGUUUGCUUGGGGCGUGGAUGCUCUGUGAAGUUCCUGGUCGUUCGGUCCGUAAAGAUCCAACUCAAACCGGCUGCUUUUCGGUCUGAUCGCCAUGCGGCGUCUGUGUUUCCAAAAUAAUUAAAUUAUAUUACUACUUAAGUUGUUUUUAUUACAUAUACACGCAUAAUGAGUUUAACAGUUGAUUUGAUAGUAUAUAACCUAGUUUCCCUCAUAACUGGUCGUAUCAGUAAAUCAACAAGGCCAAAAUCAGAUUAUAUUUAUAAUACAUUAACAAAUAUUUCCACUUUAGCAUGUUAAAUUAUCCACAAAAUUAUCGUAUAAAAAUGUGCCGUACCUUGAAUAAAAACAGUAUAUAUUAUUUCAAGUCAAACAGCUGAAGACAUGAUCAAUCAUAAAAAUCGAGCUUAAAAUAUGUUUGUAAUUUGCACGGAUAAGAUUUUGGAAAACGACAUUAUACAUUUGAAAUACAAACAUUGUGAAGAUAAGAACUUGAUGAGCAAGUCUUAGCAAUAUUCAAAUGCUAACCAAAGAAUAACUCAGGUUAAAGUAAGGUUUACUUGGGGUUGAGUUAGCAGACUUUGGACCAAAGAGAAGGCUCACUAUUGGUGUAUAGGUCUGAGCACAAAGCAGGACCGUUUGUCUCUAUGCGUUUGGCCAAGACCAAGGUUGCUUCAUCCAUAAAUAGAAACAUUGGUCCAGAGAGAGAAAGUAGAGUAGAAGCGAGAGUGUGUGAGCACACAAGAAGCAUUGUAAGGGUGAGAGAAACAAGAUGUAAAGGCGUAAGCCUUGGGUAGUUUCUAAGGGGUUUUACAGAGUGGUUUCCUUAGCCAUUCUUAGGAGAAUCACUUGUAACCUCUUGUAAUCCCUUUGUUCUAGUGGAUUCCGAGCAUAGUCUCGGCGAGAUGUAGCGAUCCUCGUUAAUGGGCGUGAAAUCGUUAAAUGUCUGUGUGUUUUCCUUCUCUUAACUCUCACACUCUCUUAUCCAAAGCUCUCUCUGUUUCAUUCAUCUCAACAUAAAUCUGUUCUGUAUCUUUAAGUUAACACAACUAGAGUCUUGUCUGUUGAAGGAAAUCUUAACAAACAUAUUUUCAUACUGUUCUACCGGGGUGUAUUAGUUGAAUGUUACAAUAGUUACCCGAAUAGUUUCACGAUUACCAACGUAAGACAUGAACAUAUUCAUCGGUCAAAACGGAUAUAUGUAAUAUGCAAAUUGAUCUACGGUAGAUCAUCUACCAUGUGCAAGCACAAGUUAACUAUGUGGAUAAACCAACGCAACGUCUAGUCAUCUUACCAUAGUAGACUAAUAGUAUAUAGUAGUUGUAAACAACUGUCUUAUCUACAUUCUACAAUCAUGUAUACACAUUGCUACAUGUGUAACGUGAUAAUCAUCAUUUAACUAAGUCAAACCACGUUUAGGCAAGUUAAUUGAGACGCGUUUUCUGAUAGUCAAAGGAAGCCUAUAAAACGGCUUCUUCUUCUUUUCCAUCAUCACCCAUUAAUCUCUUCUCCUUUCAGACAAAUCUUGUUUUUUGUUUUUGUUUUGUUAUAUAUUCUUAUUCUUCCACAAAGAAGAAGACAUUCCGGUAUUUACAUUUUCUUCAUAACUCUUUUUAAAUUCAUAUACGUUUAUAUAUUUGUGUGUGUGUGUGUAAAAAUUGUGUAAUAUUUGUGUGUGAGCUAAUUGUAUAUAUUGAUAUAUUCAUCCCCACGUUAGCGGACAUGGCGGGAAACGGAAACACUGACGGAGAAUUCAGUUUCUCGGCUGCGGCUGCGCGUGAUGCGCUUCCUCGGAUCACCACGGAGAAGGGAGCCAAGUCUACGACGUCGAGUGACGUGUGCCACGACGACACCGCGUCACGAGGCAACUUUCAGACCAUCGAUCAGCUCCACAGUCUCCAGAAGAAACGAUCUGCACCGACCACUCCUCUCAAAGAAGGAGGUGGCGUAGUGAUGGGAACCAGUGGCCCUACCACUCCUGUCUCCGGUGAGAGUAUGCUUCAAUCAGUCAGGUGUGUAAAUUUGUUAUUAAUAUAACCCAAGGUCCUAAUGUUUUUAAACUUUGUGAUAUGGAAAUAAGAAAUGUAAUCAAGAAGUCAACAGAAAGUUGGAUCUUAAUUGAUAUAUUUAUAACACACAAAAUGGAGGAAUAACAAAUAUUAUACGGUGUACGUGAUUUAUAAAUCCAGUAUAUAAUAUGAUAAUAUGAAAUAUGGGAAAACAAUGACAAUGAACAUAUAUAAUUUGUUGAUGAAUCGACAGUGCAUCGUUGGCUUCGUUGACGAGAGAGACAGGACCGAAGGUAAUCAGAGGAGAUCCGACGUCGGCGGCUAAAGUGGCACACGUGCCACAAACUCCUACGUCAGUUCCGGCUGCUGACGUCAGCGACAGUUCUCUGAAAUUCACUCACGUCCUUCACAAUCUCUCUCCCGCAGGUAACCAUCCAAAACGCAACCCAUCUUCAUUAACAAGAUUUGAUUACAUAUUUUACAAAACAAAACGUCACAUUUUGAAUUUUAUGGUUGCAGAAUUGUACGAGCAGGCCAUAAAAUAUGAGAAAGGAUCGUUCGUGACUUCCACCGGUGCGUUGGCCACUUUGUCGGGAGCCAAAACUGGUCGGUCUCCUAAAGACAAGCGUGUAGUUAAGGAUGAGACAACUGCGUCCGAGCUCUGGUGGGGAAAGUAAGUCCCUCUCUAUCUUAAACUUUAAACUAUGAUAUAAUUUAUUUUUAACUUAACGUUGACUUUUACAUUAUAUUACAUUAUUUUUAACAGAGGCUCACCAAAUAUCGAAAUGGAUGAACAAAGUUUUUUGGUGAACCGAGAAAGAGCUGUUGAUUACUUGAACUCUUUGGACAAGGUAUAACUCAAACAAACAUCAAAGACUGCAUGUUGUCAAGAAAAUUAUUUGCACUAUUAGGGAUAAAUACAAACAUUUAUUUAGUUAUAUUUAUAUUAUAUCGUCAGGUGUUUGUGAAUGAUCAAUACCUAAACUGGGACCCAGAGAACAAAAUCAAAGUCAGAAUAGUAUCAGCAAGAGCUUACCAUUCACUUUUCAUGCACAACAUGUGUAUCCGUCCAACACCCGAAGAGCUAGAGAAUUUCGGGACACCUGAUUUCACGAUCUACAACGCUGGAAAAUUCCCAUGUAACCGUUUCACUCACUACAUGACAUCAUCGACAAGUGUCGACAUAAACCUAGGAAGAAGAGAGAUGGUGAUUCUAGGGACACAAUAUGCUGGAGAAAUGAAGAAAGGACUCUUCGGUGUGAUGCAUUAUCUGAUGCCUAAGAGAAAGAUUUUGUCUCUUCACUCCGGUUGUAACAUGGGAAAAGAUGGAGAUGUUGCUCUCUUUUUCGGUUUAUCUGGAACCGGAAAGACUACAUUGUCUACCGAUCAUAACCGAUAUUUGAUUGGAGAUGAUGAGCACUGUUGGAGUGAGAGUGGAGUCUCGAAUAUUGAAGGUGGUUGUUACGCGAAAUGCAUUGAUUUAUCGAGGGAGAAAGAACCUGAUAUCUGGAACGCUAUCAAAUUUGGAACUGGUACGCACAUCAUUAAAACAAAAAUUCUUUUUACAAAACUUUUUUGCCCUAACGUAUAGCUCACGUUUCACAUUUUGGGGACAGUUUUGGAGAAUGUUGUGUUUGAUGAGCAUACAAGAGAAGUGGAUUAUACAGACAAAUCAGUGACGGAGAACACACGUGCGGCUUAUCCUAUUGAGUAUAUCCCUAACUCAAAGAUACCGUGCGUUGGACCACACCCUAAGAACGUGAUCCUAUUGGCUUGUGAUGCUUUUGGUGUGCUGCCGCCAGUCAGCAAGCUGGAUCUUGCUCAGACUAUGUAUCAUUUCAUCAGUGGAUACACUGCUCUCGUAAGUCUUCUAUCAUCAUCCAAGACUCAGCUAAAUAAGACGUUCAGGUUGAUGAGAAACGAAUCUAUGGUUUUGUAGGUUGCAGGAACAGAGGAAGGAGUUAAGGAGCCAAGAGCGACUUUCUCGGCUUGUUUUGGUGCUGCUUUCAUUAUGCUUCACCCAACCAAAUAUGCAGCUAUGUUAGCCGAGAAAAUGCAAGCUCAAGGAGCCACCGGUUGGCUUGUUAACACCGGCUGGUCUGGUGGAAGGUACAACCCAUCCAUCUCUACUUCAAGCUCUCAGAAAACCACAAAAAACAUGUGUCAUUGUUAUAACUUUGAAAUGUUGAUAAAUUUGCAGCUAUGGAUCUGGAAGUCGCAUCAAGUUGGCGUAUACAAGAAAGAUUAUUGAUGCUAUACAUUCGGGUAGUCUCUUGAAUGCAACUUAUCAGAAAACUGAGAUUUUUGGUUUGGAGAUUCCAAAUGAAGUUGAAGGAGUGCCUUCUGAGAUUUUGGAGCCUAUGAAUGCAGUAAGUUAGAGAGAUCAAAUUUAUAUUUUAUUUAACAUGAGUCAGAAUAAACCCCAUAUAUUAUAAAAACUAUGAAAAUUGACAUUAUUUGGUUAUGUGUGUUUUGGUGCAGUGGGAAGACAAAGUGGCUUAUAAGGACACAUUGUUGAAGUUGGCUGGUUUGUUUAGAAACAAUUUUGAGACAUUCACAAGUCAUAAGAUCGGAGAAGAUGGAAAGUUGACUGAAGAGAUUCUUGCAGCUGGUCCAAACUUCUAAAGUGAUGAAGAUUAUGAUGAUGAACCAACAAUGUUUUCAAAAAGUACAACAACAUAUAAAAAAAAUAAAGUGAAUAAAGGAGAGAGUCGACGAAUUUCAAGAAAACUCCAUUUGAUUAUCAAUCAUAUAUUUUUCCAAUUGAAGUGAGAACUAUAAUUAUUAUUUUCUUUUCAUGAAUGUUUGUUUACUCACAAAAUAAGUUUACAUGAUUUGUUCAACCAAACUAAUCUAAGUAUCCUUUUUUCAAAUAGCUGCAAUGGCAGCAAGUAUUUUUUUGGUUCUUGUAUUGUUGAUCUAGGUUUCUUGGGAUUUAACUUGGAUUCAAAUUGUUGCAAAGGUAACAAUUAUGAAGUGUGUAUGAAACAAUGAUUGGUUUUUAACUUUUGAGUUAAAUGUAAGAAACUGAAACAGUGAAACCUAUCAUCCACAUGCAAAAUAUCUAUAAAUCAAAAGUCUUCAAUGUUUUUCUGAUGAGAUCUUUUGCUAACUCUUUUCCCUUUUCAUGAAGCAAUCUCUAGUCUACAAGAUGCAUUUAUGAUUUCUGCAUCAUAAAUAUAAACCACACCAACUUGUAUUUAUCUGGUUUCAUUUGGGUGUUUAUGUCGAUUUGUAUAGAUUUAUAUGAAUCUUAUACUUCGUCUAGGUUUCUUAUUGAAAUUUUUGGGUCAAACAUACAAAACUGUUGCUAUCAUAAUGUUUGCUUCCAUCUGAGCAGCAAGGUUUUGGUUUUGAUCAAAAAGUUCAAGUAUGAGACGACACAGCACCCUAUGCAUGAUAACAUAUAACAUAUGGCUAUUGUACUAAAUUUUGAUUUAGUUUACUGGUUAAGUUUGUAAGUAUUGAUGAUGAAAGAUCCUACAUUUCUUUUAUCAAUUAGCAGGCAAUAUGCUUCAGUUUUGAAAUGUACAAGUUCUUGUUUUGUUAAUUGUAUAUUGCCAGUUUGAUCGUAUAUAUUGAUGUUUUGUUUAUUGUGUGUUAAGGAUUUGUUUGAAGGUCUAAAGCUUAUAGAAAACAAGAUGGUAAUAUCUUUUCUUCCAUCUAGUUUUGUUAGGCUACAUACAAUGAGGGUGUUUUUUUUGUAACACAAUAUUUUCAUUAAAACAAGUUAAAACCCGAUGUUUGAAACAGAUGACACAACAGCGAACAAAGCUUGCUUAGCAAGAGCAUCAACAUCUUUGUUUCUGUUGCGAUGAAUCCAAACAUAGAUAAAAUCAAAAGUUGACAUAAUGCACAAAAUAUCUGACAAAAUGCCAUACACUUCUGAAAGAAGCACAUUUGAUUUAGGGUUUGUACGAUUUGGACUGAGUCUGAGGAAACUUGUAGGCGUUGAAUAAGUGCAAUGAAAGUGUUGAAAAAAAAAUGACAUGGAGUUUUUGGUAUUGAAUCUUUUCAACAUUUGAAACAAAAUUAAAUGGGACCCACAUUACUGUUGUGUUAACUUUGUAUACUUUUACGAGACCAGAAAAAACAAGAAAGUAUUUAAAAAAACAAAAAGAAAGAAAACAAAUAAUUGGUACAAAUAUAUCUGUUUUAUUGGUUCACACAUUUUUAGAUUUUUAUUUCAUCUUAUCUAUCUAAGAUCAAUUAUUUUUUUACUAAAUUAUAUUCUUAGAAAAUAAUAUUUAUACCAUAAUUCAUAAAUUUUUGUGUUCUAUAAAAUAAGAUUUUUUUUUAUUUGGAAAUAAAAAUAUUUUUUUUGUGUUUUUGUAAGUUAUAAUUAUUUGUUUUAAUAUGUGGAAAAUAAAAAAUGAUGUGGAAUGUUGAAAUGGUAAAAUAGGGUGUUGAAUAAUCUUAACCAUUGUACAUUGUCAUAAGUGAUAAGACUAUAGUUUGAGAAAAAAAUCUCUUAUCAAUGUUUUUUUUUGAGAACUAAAUCACUAUUUAAUUUUGAAUUGUGUUUUCCUUUAGAUUAAAUUUUAUUUUUGAAUUGUUUUGUCUAUGGAAUGUAUGAAGAGUGAUGUGGCUAAAAUCAGAAAGGCCAAGGAUUGAAACUAAAUAACGUGUGAAAUAAGUGAACAAAUCCGCAUUGAUUUGCCGGUUUUUUUGCUUAAUGAGUGACAGCUUAAUUAUACUUUACAAGUUGGCGUUUACUGAUUAUACUAAUUACUAUUGUUUAAUACUACCAAAAUAAGUAUAAUCUAACCUCCACUAUCUUUGUCCUUGGACCGACACAUUUCCCUCCUAAUCCUGUUCAAACCUAAAAAUUACCAAUUCAUGAAAUCAACUCCUAAUCCAAUUGUGUUUCAUGAGUUUUUUUCUGAAAUUUAUUGGGAGUAAAAAUUAUAAAUGCUAUAUACGGAUAUACUUGUGGAAGAUCUUAUCAAACACAUUAACCUUCUAGCGACAUGAGGAAACGUUGAACUUUAUGCAAAAGGAUGUCAUGAUUAUCUCAUGAUUACGAUACAACAACAUGUUUUAUGGAGUAUUAAAUUAUUAUUAGAUUAGUCAUUAGUGUAACAAAAAGAGGGUUUAUACUUGUCACGAGAGUCUUAUCAUAGAAGUAGGAUUCACCUUCUUUUGCAUAGAAUACUUCCAGAAAGUAAAUGAAUCCUAAAAAGUACCAUCAGGGAAAGAGAAGAUAAAAUCGUGGAAGAAAGAAAUAUGCCUUGAGAUAUAUAUUGUAGUGAUCUUCCUCUUCUGUAUCUUUACCUGCUGUUUGACAAUUAUUUUCCUCCUCUUUUCACUAUUUUUAAAGCUGUUUAGUAGAUCAUUCAAUUUUAGUCAAUCUUGUACGUGUUAUCAUCAAAAAUAUUUUCUAGAUGGAUUUCAUUUAUUAAGAUAAUUACUUAAAUCAAACUAGAAUGCAUAUGAUAUAAUCAUGGAUGGAUUUCGCAGAUCCUUGAAUACUAGGUUGAAAAAAAAAAUCAUGGAUGGAUUUCGCAGAUUCUUGAAUAGGGUCUUUUCAUAGCUUGAAAACGAAAAUAACAUAUAUAGACAUGACUUUAGAAUAUCAAAUCCAAUAUAUUUUUUUCGCUAAAAAUCGCUCAUUCAGCAGUACGUCUUAACUCCUAACUUAAAGCAAACCACAUUAUUAAUAUAUGUUUUUAACAUAAUUACUGAUAUAUGUUUAACACAAAAGUUUUGGUUAUUAUUGAAAUUUUAAGACACUAAAAAGAACCGUAGGCUUAUUGAGCAAAAAAAAAAAAGGGGGGGGGAUUGAAUUAGCGUAAAUGUCAUAUAGAAGUAUGGAAAAUUCGCAAUAACAUUAUAAAAAUCUCAAAUAGUAUAAUUUUUUCUAAGUUUAACAUUAUAGAUGCCAUGAUCCACAAAGUUUAUUACUAUUCUUAUGGGAAAUUUGGAAAAGAAGGGAUGGCCUACGCUGCAAGACCAAUUCCUGUUUCCUACUAGUGUUGUUGAAAUCUGAAUACAAUUUUUAUUUUAUUUUUAUCACCCUUAGCUUCAAAGUUCAGACUUUAUUUAACCUUUCCAUAAAUAAAGAUAUUUUACCCAUGAUGGUUCAUAUUUUAUUCCACAAAAGCAUAUAAACACAGUGAAUAAUACCUCAAUAAUUUGAAGACUUUAUAUUUCCAAGUGCUUUGACUUUUAACCCUUUAGUAACCAUCACAAGUCAAGUCAAAUUUUUUUGUUUCCUCUAGAAGCUUUGGCUCAUUUAAACUUGAAAAAUGAACCCAUUCAAAGUUACAUUUCAAAUCUUCUUUGUUUGUUUAUGAGUAUUCAAUAGUAUUUCACUUGUUUUGCAAUAUACUAAAUUAUUAUAAACAAUACAUCCAAAUGGACCGAUAUUUAUUUUAAUCAAAGAUUAGGAGAAAAAAAAACAAUAUUAACCAUAUACGUUUGUAUAAGAACGUCCAAAAUUGUGACGAUACUUAAUAAGAGACUGUGGGUUUUCUUGUUCCUUAAUCUCAGCUGCCGUGGAAAAUGUGUUAAUUAGUAAAUUACUAUUAAGUUAUGCUAUGUUCUUAACAUACCUAUCAAAUCUUUGAUUAAAAUUUAAUUAUGGGUCCAUGAGACAGUCGUCAUUAUUAGGUUCAGUAGCUAUACUGCAUGAUUACUAAUUAAGUAGCUAUAUUUUUAUAAGAAUUAAACAAAUCUAUCAAUAUAUCACCACUUCAUUAUAUUACCUUUUAGCUAUAUUUCUAUAAGAAUUAAACAAAUAGAUCGAACAAAUGUAUAUAUACAUGUAACAAAAAAAGUUAAAUCCAGAUUUAUUAAAGACACAGACCUAACUCCCCGAAUGGAGGUACAGCCCACGGAUAAACCCUUUUCUGGGCAUUCAAAUGAACCGAAAGCAAUAACUCAUAUCCGUGUGACCAGCGGGGUUCGAACCAGAAUUCGCCAUAUUGAGUUUUUUCCUUCAAGCGCCACUAGACUACCACCACUGGUUCUAUAUACAUAUAUUUUGUGUUAAAAAAAAUGUUCAUCUUAUAAUUCCUUUAAAAUUCGUUAGAUGUAAAUUUUCUCCGAGGGUUGGCAAAGUUUUGUUCACCAACCAUAACGGAAUUCCCUCUCACAAAUUCCGAUAUCUCUAUUACACCUUUCAUUUCAUCUCUUUUGGUACAUAUCAAUAACUCAUAUCCUUUUCAAAAGGGUAAUAUUAUAUUAACAAGUGAUUCAUCGAUCAUGCACCAAAUCCUAUAUAUGUUUGGUGAUGAUUUUUGACAGUUAAUUUCAUGGAUUUGAUUAUUUAUCUUGAAUAUUUUGGUAUACUAUAGAUAAGUUGUUUGUAUGUAUCAAGGAGCGUUUAGUUACAAUUAAUUAGCGAACAGCAAAGGACGUUAUACGAUGCUACUCUUUUGUUAAAUCCACGCUUAAUUAGUUUUGAUCUAAGAAAACUUUGUAUGCCAAACGUUUUUUUAUUGGUAACGACGAUGGUCUACAUCCUUUAGCGAACUUCAAAUAGGCGAUACAUGAAAAUACCAGUGUUCUCAUAUAUUAUUUUCUUGAGAAGUAUUAAUAUAUAUUUUGAUCAGUGAGAUGUUGUUCAAUACGAGUUUCUGUAUAUUUAUAUUUUUAGAUGGUUCACACAUUUCAAUCACCAAACAUUCGAUGUAUUUGUCUCUAUCUCGACAACAUGUAUAUACUCCUCUGUACUAUAUAUACUACAACAUCAAUUACUAAAAAUAUAUUAAUAAUGUAUAUAAUCGUACGUACUACGUACAAGUCUCAUUUUGACACUAAUUGAUUCAAUUUUUGAAAAUAUUGAAUUAUUUUGUUACUCUUGAUGACCAAGUCUAUCACAUGCAUGUAAUAAAAGUACACAUAAUCGGUCUUUCUUCUUAUUCGUAAGCUGCCAUGCAAGUGGGCCUUCAAGCUUCCGUGAAGUCUUAUGUAAUAAUUACAUACACACGCACACGCGCACACACGCUAUAUAUAAGUAUUUAUGUAUAUGCAUAUUAAUUAAUCCAUAUGUAACUCCAUUAUAAUCAAAUCGAAGGUAUUUGUGAUUUUGCAUGCCAUUUACUAUUUAUGUUAAUCAUACUCCUAAACCACAGAUCAAAGACUAAAUAAUAAUUAUAAAAUCCAUUACUCGCUAGGACAUGAAUCAUGAGGAAAACCUAUAUAUAGCGUGUAAUAUCUAAUGAUAUGCUUGUUGCUCCACAAAAAAAGUGUGUAAUAUCAUACAAUAAUCGUACAUGUUUAAGCGUACAUUUUACUAGCAACACAGAAUGGCGGAUAAAAUAUAAUUACAAUAACUUUUGAUCAAAAUAAUAAUAAUAAUUAUUAUAAUAACUAACUGCAAAAACUCUACAGUGAUAACACAACGAUUAAUUUCCACUCUUUCAAAAAAAAAAAAAAAAACUCAAAAGUGAUUAUAAAUUUAGAACUAGAUGCAACUCAUACAAUAAAUUACAAAAUAUAUUUCAUAGUUUUCAAUCUUGCUCUUCCAUCCGGAAACUUAUUUAGUAAUAAACUGUUCUAAAGUUAGAUGAAUACAGCCUAAAAUCGAGAAUAUAGAAGGAAGAGACAAAAGAGUCAAAGGAUGGCGGCCGGCUAAGCAAACAUUAUAAUUGACGGGGUGUUUUACAUAUAAUUGGUGGGGUUUAUAUUUAACAAAUUUUCCUUAAGACUAAAUAUACAUCAAUUAGUAUUGAAUCUCUAGAUGCUGAUGCAGGAGCAAAGACAAAUGAGAAAAAACAUUAGUCUCCCCCUUCUCUGUCAUUCGUUUCUAAAUUCUACUAAUAUUUUAUCACAUAAUUUAUAUCAUUAAAUUUCCAAUUCCAUAAAGUAACUUUUAUUCAUUUUUUAAACCCUAACUUUUGACAUCUUCAUCACAACUAUCUCCUCCAGCUAUUAUAUACUCUCUCCUUUAAUUUUUUCUUCAUUCACAUAUACUUUUCUCCAUUAUACACAUUUCCAAGUAUGUAUAUAUAAAAACCUCACAUACACGCACCAUCACACAAACAUCCUCCUCCUCCUCUUCAUCAUCAACAUAGUUGAGAAAGAUAAAAAAAUAAAGAGGGAGAGAGAGAGAGAGAGAAAGAAACACAUCAAGAGAAAGAAUCACGAAUCAAGAGGAUGGGAAGAGCACCGUGUUGUGACAAGGCUAACGUGAAGAAAGGGCCUUGGUCUCCUGAAGAAGAUGCAAAGCUCAAAGAUUACAUCGAGAGUAGUGGCACAGGAGGCAACUGGAUCGCUUUGCCUCAGAAGAUUGGUAUAUAAUUAUGAUUUAAAAUAGUUUGAGACGGUUUGAAUAUUCUAUAGCAAAUAGAACUUUCGUGUACAUAUUUUCGCGUUGAUAUUUUGUAUAUAUUUUAUAUGUACAUGUAUAUAGGUCUAAGGAGAUGUGGGAAGAGUUGCAGACUAAGGUGGCUUAACUAUUUGAGACCUAACAUCAAACAUGGUGGCUUCUCUGAGGAAGAGGACAACAUCAUUUGUAACCUCUAUGUUACUAUUGGUAGCAGGUACUAUACUCUACUUGCGUCAAGAUUAUUAAUUAAGACACUUGUUUUGAAUUAGAGAACCAUUAUGUUUAUAUGUUCAAUGGGGUUUUUUUUUUAAAAGGUGGUCUAUAAUUGCUGCACAAUUGCCUGGAAGAACAGACAACGAUAUCAAGAACUAUUGGAACACGAGGCUGAAGAAGAAGCUUCUUAACAAACAAAGAAAAGAGUUCCAAGAAGCUCGGAUGAAGCAAGAGAUGGUGAUGAUGAAACGACAGCAACAAGGACAAGGACAAUGCCAAAGUAAUGGUAGUACGGAUCUUUAUCUGAACAACAUGUUUAGAUCAUCACCAUGGCCAUUACUGCCUCAUCUUCCUCCUCCUCAUAGUCAAGUACCUCUUGUGAUGAUGGAACCAACAAGCUGCAAUUACUACCAACCGACACCGUCUUGCGCAUUAGAACAAAAGCCAUUGAUCCCACUCAAGAACAUGGUCAAGAUUGAAGCAGAACCGGAGAGAUCAAACCCUGAUCAUCAUUAUCCGGAAGACUCAAUGACAAACUCUUUUGAUCUUUCCUUCUCUCAGCUUUUGUUAGAUCCUAAUUACUACCUGGAAUCAGGAGGAGGAGAAGGAGAGUUUGCUCUCAUGAGUAGCAGUACGAACUCUCCAUUACCAAACACAAGUAGUGAUCACCAUCAACAUCAAAAAGAGAUUACUCAAUGGUUUGGGAGUAGUAAUUUUCAGACAGAAGCUAUCAAUGAUGUGUUCUUAAACAACAACAACUUAGCGAAUUUUGAAACCAACGACGAGAACGCAAAACUAUAUGCAAACUCAUCAGUAGCCGGAGCUGGAGCAGCGUUUGCCGGAGGAACGACGAGUACAUCGGCUGAUCAAAGCACAAUAAGUUGGGAGGACAUAACCUCUCUUGUUAACUCCGAUGAUGCAAGAUACUUCAAUGGGCCAAAUAAUGUGUAAUUUUUUUCUGCAAAAUUUUAUUUUUACUUAUAUAUAUAAAGAGGUUUUUGUAUAAGCUUAUGACUUAAGAGAGUGGUAAAAAAAAUCACAUGGAUUGAGAUUAAUAUUCUCAUAUUUGUUUAUUUUAGUUUCAACUUAGCUUUAUUCACGAAAAACAAUAUAUAUGAUCUUUUGAGUUUUUCUUUUUGAUUAAUGCUUUUAUAAAUUUGAAAGAGAUUCUACCUUUUAGCUUCUUCCUUUUUCCCUAAUAAUUAGGUCUUUAGAAAAUCUAUAAAUAUUUUCAAAUUACAAUACAUCUGACACAUAAGAAGAAAGAAACAACUAUGAAUAUAAAUUUGAAAGCCUAAAAGAGGAUUGUCUUUUAAACGCACCAACAUCCACCAAUAUAAAAGUUCUUAUUUUUAAAAGAUAACACUGUUAAUCAUCUUAUAUAUACGACAUGGUCGUGUAUAUAAUACACAUGAAUUGUUGGGUGCCUAUAGUAUUCAUAAAGAAUCCAAGGAUGAUUUCCUUCCCUGUUUCCUAUGAUCAACUCCACUGGAGUAUAUAAUCAUGCAUGUAGAUAUGCAUGAUUAUGAUAAAUUUGUCAAUAUUUAUAACAGUAAAAACAUUUAUGACAGUCAAAUUUGCUAAAUCAGGUCAUAAAUAACAAUCCAAAUUUUAUUGUUUUAUAAAUUAAAUCACCAAUGACUUCGAAUACUUUAUCAAUUAAAAAAUAUAAUGUUGUUUAGAAGCAUAUAUAACAAUAUAUUAAAUAAAAAAAGUAAUGGGUUUAUGUUAUCAAAAAAAAUUAUAAAUUCAUUAUAUUAUGAAAACUAUAUAUAUGGACCAGCUUUAAAAUAUACGAAAAUGGCAGACCCAAUCUAAUUACCUAAAAACAUAUUUGUCUAAAAUAAUCAUAAAAUAAAAUUUAAAUUUUAUAUACAUAUUUCAAAUCAAAGUAUUAAUUUAAAUUAAUUUAUAUCAAAAAUUGAUUCAAAAAUAUACAUAUAUUCAAAAAUUGAUUUUACUAAAAUGUUUUUAUAACCAUUAUAAAAAUGUUUUAAAUAUAUUUAAGAAAAAUAAAAUACAAAGCAAUUUCAAACACCAACGUAAAUUAUGAUUUUUAUAUUUCAUAUUAAGUUUUAAAAAUAUAAAAUAUAUGAUUAUUUAUCUGAUGGUACAUAUAAAAUACUAUUAAUUAUAUGAUUACUUAUAUGAUGGUAGGUAAAAAACACGAUUAAUUAUAUGAUAACACAUAUAUAAUAUUUAAUAGUGACAUGAAAAAAAUAAAUAACAACAUAUUUUUGCAAUAUUAUAUCUUCUAUCUUAUUAAAGUAGAAGUAUCUUUGGGAAUGUUUGGAAACAAGAAAUUAAAUUUUUUUUUGAUGUCCAUUAUAUUCUUAUAAAUUAUCUGUUUGUACCAGAUUUAAAAUAUAAAAAAAUGACUCAAUCUAAUUACUUUUUUUGUGCAACUGGUCAUCUAAUUAACUAAAAACAUAUUUUGUCUAAAUUAAUCAUUAAACAAAAUUCAAAACAAAAAUUGAUUCAAAAAUAUAUAUGUAUUCAAAAAUUGAUUUUUACUAAUGUAUUUUCCAGUAACAAUUAUAAAAUUGUUUUCAAUAUAUAUAUAAAAAUACAAUACAAAGGAACUAAUAGAUUGAGUAAACCUUAUUUCUAAUUUUUUUUAUGGACCACCGAAACAGAAUUAGAUAUACAAUACUAGAAAUAACUAUAAUAUUUGAGUUACAAUAUCAAAUAAACAAUGAAACAAAAAAUUAAUAUAUGAAUGUAUUAGUAUUCCUUUAUUCGUAUUACAAAUGCAAUAAUAGUCAAACAAUAAUAUAUAACGAGACCAUAAUUUUUAAAAUCCAACAAUUACCGAUUAGUUAUGAAUUUAUAAUGUUUUUGCAAAUUAAAAGAAACACCCGCAUGAUCUAGUAUUUAAUUAAAAAGGACGCAGCAAUAUGGACACGUACAUGGUCGGAUCUAUAUGGCUUCGUCUGAUAAGAGAUAUUAUGACAAACACUCAAAUACACAUAUGCAAAUGGGUAUGCACAACUAUACACAUGUUCAUUUUUCUCAACAAAAUAUAUGCUAGUUGUCAUUUAUUAUAUACUAGAUCUCGAUUCGCGCUACCGCGCGGAUUUUUGUUUUCGUUUAUUCUUACAUAAAUAUUUUGUUUUCAAUUCUAAAUUGGUAUAUAUUAUAAUAUAUAUGUGUCUAUCAAUUUUUAAAACAUAAUAAAUUUACUGUAUAUUUUUUUCAUUGAAUAUAUUGUUUCAAACUUUCACAUGUAUUUGUAUCUUCUUCAAUAUAUAUAUUUUCGGAUUAUUAUUUCAUUAUUAAAAUCGUAACUAUAUAUAUAAAGAUUAGUAAAAUAUUAUUUUUUGUCAUAUUGAAAGAUAUUGUAACAUUUCACAAAUUUAGAAAGUUUUUAAAAACUUAAAAUUUUCGCUUCAUAGAUUUAUAUUAUCGAGUAAAUAAUUAAACAUUUAGUUUUUUUUUUAAUUUUUAAAAUAAACUAUAUAGUUUAAAUUUGUUUUCAUUGGUUUAAGGUAGUAAAGAUUAAUCAUUGUUAACUAAUAUUAUUUUUGUUAUUUAAAAAAAAUCUUUAUAAUUUUAAAAGUUAACAUCGAUAAAUAUUUAAAUAUUUAGCAUAUAGAGGUAUAGUAUUACAACAUUAGAUUAUAUCUAUUUAAUUUAUACUAUCUAUAAAUUCAAUAGAUCAUCUAUUGUUUAAAUCCAAUUACUGAUAUCCCAAUAAAAUUUUUUGGUAGACCCAAAAUUUAAAUGAUAAGAUUAGAUAUUAAAUGUAAUAUGACUUUCUAGGAAUAAGUCCAUUAUGUCUAUUUUUUUUUAAAAUCACACAUGAAUCAAACUUGUGACUUCUGUUUUAAUAUAUAAGACUAGAUCUCGACCCGUGCAACCAUGCGAGUUUUUGUUUUCAUUUAUUUUGUAUAAAUAUUUUGUUUUCAAUUCUAAAUUGGUAUACAUUGUAAUAUAUAUGUGUCUAUCAAUUUUUAAAACAUUAUAAGUUUACGGUAUAUUUUUUUCAAUGAAUAGAUUGUUUUAAACUUUCACAUGUAUUUGUAUCUUCUUAUAUAUAUAUAUAUAUAUAUUUUGGAUUAUUAUUUCAUUGUUAAAAUUUUAACUAUAUAUAUAAAGAUUAAUAAAAUAUUGUUUUAUUGUCAUAUUCAAAAAUAUUGUAACAUUUCAGAAAUUUAGAAAGUUUUUUAAAAAUUAAACUUUUCGCUUCAUAGAUUUUUAUUAUCAAGUAAAUAAUUAAAUAUUUAGUUUUUGUUUAAUUUUUAAAAUAAAAUAUAUAGUUUAAAAUUUGAUUUCAUUAGUUUAAGGUAUUAAAGAUUAAUCAUUAAUAGAGAAUAUAUUUUUUGUAAUUUAAAAAAAUUCUUUAUAAUUUUAAAAGUUAACAUCGACAAAUAUUUAACAUAUGGAGGUAUAGUAUUACAACAAUAAAUUAUAUCUAUUUAAUUUAUACUAUCUAUAAAGCCAUUGAUAAGAGUAGAGAUUAAAUGUAACAUGAUUUUCUAGGAACAUGUCUAAUAAGUCCAUUUUUAAAAAAAUUACACAUGAAUCAAGGUUGUGACUUCUAUUUUAAUAUAUAAGAUAUAUAUAUGUGUGUGUUGGAAACAACCAUUAUUGUGUAAGAAUGAUUAAAAAUAUACUGUUAAUAAAUAACGAAUAAAUAAAUAUAUGAUUCAAAAAAAAAUCUAACAAUGUAGAAGAGUUUUUUGUGAUAAUAAAAUGAAGAGGAGUUGUCUUACCAAUUCAACGAAAGAGUACGUACAGCUUCGAAACUCUUUCUAGUCAGUUUGGUUUUGAAGAUCACAAAAUCAAAUGAUGUCAUUCAAAAUUCUCUUUCUCUGAUCGAGUUUAGCACAUAUCUUUGCCCAUUCAAACCUCCACACGAAAUCAUGUUCACUUUCACACUUCUUUUGGUAAAAGUUUUUUUGCACCCAUUUUUAUCUCGAGUGAACAAUACAAUGUUAUAUCUUUAUAUCUACCAAUUUGAAAACAAUAUACAUAUACACAUAUAUUUAUAUUUUUUUUUUUGGGCAAACAAUACUUAUAUUGAAGCUUAUGUAAUAGAGUUUUGGAACAGAAACAGAGCCUCUUUGGCUAAGCCAUCAGCGACUACAUUACCAUUACGAGGCAGAAACUUAAACAGGAUAGAAGAAAAGGAGUUACUCAACACACCAAUGUCAUGGAGAAUCCCUUGUAAGGCGAUCACAGAGGGAUUAUUUAAAACAUGCAAAAGAGUGGCAAGACUCGACUGCGAAAGUGACCCCUCGCCCUGCUUCAGCAAAAGACUGCCCCAUUGCGGUGCCUCAAACCCAGUACCCCUUGAAUGCAGCUCUGUGCUAUUCUGAUGCAGCGUGGAACAGCGUCUCGUGUAAGGGAGGAAUGGGAUGGACAAUCUCAGACUCCGACGGCGCAACUCUCCUGCAGGGAUCACUACCGCUCGAGUUCGCAGCCUCUCCACUUGUGGCCGAAGCGGUGGCGCUAAAGGAGACUUUAAAAGCUGCUAAAUCCAACAAUCUCAGUCACCUGAUCUGUUUCUCAGAUUCAAAAGGACUGAUCAAUCUGAUCACAGGAAACACAUAUAUUUAUAUAUUAAACAAAAUUACUAAAGAUGUUAUGUACAUGCACUAACUACACACAGGGAAAACGGUAAUGAUAUGACGACCUGCUAACCCGACAAUAUAUAUCUAACAGUCCACUACGUUUUAAAUCUUUAAAUCUUUUCCUAGAAAAUGACAUAUUAUCUACGGUUUAUACUUAUUCAACCGUGCCUGAUUGAUUACUACUAUACGUAAAUAAAUAAUAGUUCAGAGGAAAGAUUAUUGUUUAUUUCGUUUUUGUAUAUACAUACACGUAAGGACAACAGAAUAAAAGUAUGUUCUUUGUUUAAAAAAAAAGCCUGUUUCAAAGAAUAAUUGAAAAAUUAGUCUCUGAAAGACGAGUCAUUUUGCAUGUUUCCAAACAUUCUCUACAAACAGAAACCGACAAAACUUAUGGAAUUAUCCGCUUCUAAUUAAUACUUAACUUAAAUCCAAAUUAUGAUAAAAUUAUUUAGUUAAAUAGUCGUAAUCUAGGGGGAAAUUGAGGAGAUUCUAGAGACGUGUCAUAUCCAUGUACGUGUAUGCUAUACUUAGCCAUAUAGCCAUAUAACUUUUUUAGUUGUAUUAAAUCAUUCCUCAUCUACCUACAAAACGCCAUACCAUAAAAAAUAAUAUGGGUAUACUUGUGUAUAUAAAUAUAAUAACAAAGUUAAUGAAAAAGAAGUAUAUGCAAUAAAUAGACAAAAAUAAUUUGAAAUGAUUAAUAAAUUACCAUAGCAUAUUUUUAUCCUUAUUGUUUAAAAAUAAAGCAUUAGUAUAUGAACAAGGAAGACGGAAUAAUUAUCGUUGAGAGGAAUUCAAGGAACAAAACGAUAUACGAACGAGGGAGAGACUAUUGAUUCAUGAGUAUACGACUCACUUAUAUGAUUUAUAUUAAAUCCAUUGAUUAGUGGUACAUUCUGUCAAACCUUUAGACGAUAAGUAAAACAAAACCAUAUGAAACCUUGAUUAGCUUCGCGACAAUUCGCCCCGCGACGACCUUGUUGUAUAUUUUGAAGCUUCUUAUAUAUUUGUUUAACCAUUAAUAUUGGACCAUUGUCAAAAAGGAACCAACGUUCUUAAUAUUUUGAUAAAUGCAUAUAAUGCAGCUGAUGCUGACACUCACUAACACGUUAACAUUAUUCACCCUGAUUUUUUGCCUUUUAUAAUGUCAAUGAUCAUCAUCUUUUCAACUUUGUGUUUCUGUUUUCUGUCCGUUUUAAAAGUUAGGAAUUUGGUUUUUUAUUAACAUAAAAUAAUGAAUGAGAUGUUGUAUUGUGAAAAUGGGAGUAAUGUCGCGUCGUUUGAUGGUUUUCUACGGGCUCUUAGCUUUUUAUCAAUUAAUCUAUAUUAUAUUAUUUUUUGUCAACAUAUUAUAUUGUUUACAUCACAUAUAUAAAUUUUGUCUAAUUCUUGUUAUCUGCUAUGGAGAAACAUAUAGAUAGUCGACAAUUUCCGCUACUUUAAAUAAAAUAAUGAAAAAAAUUUCCACACAACAAUAAAAAAUAUAUUAUAUAUUUCUUCCACUCUCUUAUUAUAUUAGCAUAUCUUUCUUACCGUUCACCUUUUAACAAACUCUCCUUCGAUCAAAACUAUUAAAGCCCAAUAACCCAUGUAACGGAAAACAUAUAGGCCCAUUAUAAGAUAUGAACAAUAUGUUUGAAUGUUUCUCGUAAGGUCCACAAAGGCAGUGACUUAGCAGAAAUACUCAAGUGGUGGCUUUGAAUUUGAGAAUUAAGCAUCAUCAUGUCAUUUUUACUUAGAUUGAAAGGCAUGAAGAGCCGACUAAUUUUAUUAUCUUUGGAAGAACAAUACACAAAAAUUCAAAUAAUAAAAAUAGAUUAAUUUAAAAGAGAGAUUAAUUUUAACAAUGUUCAAAAAGAUGGGAAGAGGAGGAUGAACGUUGAUAAACUCCAUGAGCAUUAAUCAGUAAACUUUAUAUUAUAAUUCCUGCCGGUGCAUCUAAGCUAAAGAAACGAAUCUUUGUGCGAUUUAAUUCUUGCUUUUUAAGUAACAAAUGUGCGAUGAAUCUUUCUUAAUCGUGUACAUAUUAAGUGGAUGUAUUUAUACACGAAGCACAACAUUAAUCAAAGUUCUACUGUUAUUAAAAUAUAAUAAAAAUAAAAUAUGCUCUUUAAUAAAAAAGUUAAAGUGACUUCCCGAUUCAUAAGCUUUGCAUCAAGUACGAGAAAGGCUAACGUGACCCACAUGCCAUAUCAGAGCUUACAAUAUAUGAAGUUUUAGUUCUUUUUUCACUAUGUUUAUGUACGCAUCAAGUAUGUGUGUGUGUGUGAUGUAAGUAGCAAUGCCAUACGUAGAUGGCCCCUCAUGCAUAUAUGGACAUCAAACGGGUCCACGCGUAUGUUUUUGUAAUUUGGAAGCCAAGUGAUUUGUCCCAUUUUCGAAGUCAAAUAUGGAUAAAACCAAAUCGUUACAAUUCAUUUUGUUAUGCAUAUGAAUUUGAUCAAUAUAUAAAUAUGUACAAGCAGGACUGCAGGAGAUGUUAUAUGGUUUUGUGUCACGGCAUGUGCAGUUAUAUGGCCUUACUUGUGAAGCCCACGUGACUCAAAGCUUGGUUCAAACUUGACAUGUUAAUCCAUCUCUUAUUUAGUAAAUUGCCUACGCUCAACGUUUCUUGUGAUUAUUUAUUGUGGGGGAAUUUUAUUUUCAAAUUAUUUUCAUGACAUUCCAUUAAGCUUUUGUUUUUCUAACAUAAUUUUACUUGAAAUUCUAUUACGUGUACACAAAUCUUAGAACUUAUACAUUCACCCAAUUGAAAUAAAUCACAUUUUAAGAUCAUAAUAAUGAUAUAGCAUUAAAAAACAUAUUAUCAUAUUAUCUUUCCAUGUUGCUUAAUAUAUUGCGAGUAGUACUACGGCCAAGAUAAAGACGAAAUUUAUUUGGUACAACGACUACACAAAUCUCAGUUUGUGUAGUUAUGGUCGGUCAUAUGCAACUAGGACUUUUAAGUACAAUACUCAAUCAGUAUUACUCAUCAGGGAUUCUGAAAUCCAACCAAAUUCUCAAUCUCAUAUCUCUCAGAGUACAUACAUAUCUCCAUCACAUUUUUAAUCGAAUUGUUAAUUAGUUCAGAGAUUUUUUGGGACUCAACCACCAAAUAAUGCUCUUCACAUGUAAGGAUCAUUUGCCGUUACGGCCGGUAUAGCCGCGUAUCAUGCUUAAAUUAAAAAGAAAUCGGUUAGUAAAGUUGUAUAUAUAUAUAUAUAUAUAUAUAUAUAUAUAUAUAUAUAUAUAUAUUUCAAAGUCUUCGUAGUACCAACAAAGCUCAUGGCAUUUUCAAUAUUCUUAUUUUUUAGAUAUUAUAAAUUCGAUCUCUAAUAUGCUUAGCAUAAUAACCUUUGACCGGAUUCCUAUAUAAUGAUUAGGCAAUUAUAUGAACACUAGCCUACUUUACCCAAUGCCUUUUCUCUUCAAAUUAUUGGGGCCUUUUAAUCUCCAAAUUAUCAAAAUUAUUGAUUUCUCGAUAGCUAUGAUUGGAACUGUAUCGUAUGUUUAAAUCUCUAAUCAUUGCAGUCACUGGACCAUGGUGUAGUAUUUGUUAGCAUCGCUUUGAAAGUCGGUCAUUGUACAGGUUUUAGACAGUUGUAAAACGAUCCAAAUAUAUAUUUUAAUGGAGUAAAGAUCGAUUGUUCAGCUCAUCAAUAUUCUAUAUACUGAAGCAUAUGAUCUUUAGUGUUGUUUUAAAACUUUUAAAUACAUUUUAUAUUUGUAUUAAUGUAUAUUAAACCCUCUUUUAUGGUACAAAAGCAUUUUUUUAAUUUUUUGUCAAUUAAUUUAAUAAAACAUCAUAAUACUUCCUAAAUUGGUAGACUAACCACUAUAAAAUUGCUAUUUUCUAGAAAAACGGAGACAACAAAACUUUCAAACCACUUUGAUCUUCAUCAUAUGUUAAUAAAUGAUGCAAUUAUGCAUUAAAAUAGUAUUUUCAUAUUUUUGAUUUUUUUUCUCAAAAUCUAUGUAUUAACCCCCCUAUGAAAAUAUUUAAUUUUUCAGUAAAUGCUCUAUAUACUAAAACCUAUGAUCUUUAGUGUUGUUUUAAAAUUUCUAAACACAUUCUAAAUUUUUGUAUUAAUGUAUAUUAAACUCUCUUUCAUGGUACAUGGACAUCUUUUUAAUUUUUUGUCAAUUAAUUUAGUAAAACUUCAUAAUAAUCACUAAAUUGGUGGACUAACCACUAUAAAAUCGUUAUUUUCUAAACAAACAAAGACAACAAAAGUUCCAAACUUCUUUGACCUUCAUCAUAUGUUAGUGAAUGAUGCAACUAUGCAUUAAAAGGUAUUUUCAAAUUUUUGAAUAUUUCUCAAAAUCUAUGUGUUAACAACCCCUACGAAAAUAUUAAAGUUUUCGGUAAAUGCUCUAUAUAUUGAAGCCUAAGAUCAUUAGUUUUGUUAUAAUAUUUCAAAAACAAUUCUACAUUUGUAGUAAUGUAUAUUAAACUCUCUUUUAUGGUACAUAGACAUCGUUUUAUUUUUUUUGUCAGUUAAUUUAGUUAAACUUCAUAAUACUCCUUAAAUUGGUGGACUAACCACUAUAAAAUCGCAUUUCUCUAGAGAAACGGACACAACAAAGGUUCCAACCUCUUUGACCUUCAUCAUAUGUUAGUGAAGGAUGCAACUAUACAUUGAAACAGUAUUUUUAUAUUUUUGAAUUUUUCUCAAAUCUAUGUGUUAACCCUACGAAAAUAUUAAUUUAUUUGGUAAAUGCUCUAUAUACCGAAGCCAAUGAUAUUUAGUGUUUUCUAAAAUUUCUAAACACAUUCUAAAUUUGUACUAAUGUAUAUUAAACUCUCUUUCAUGGUUCAAGGGCAUCAUUUUAAUUUUUUGUCAGUUAAUUUAGUUAAACUUCAUAAUAUUCCAUAAAUUAGUGGACUAACCAUUAUAAAAUCGCUAUUUUCUAGAGAAACGAAAACAAUAAAAGUUCCAAAAUUCUUUGACCUUCAUCAUAUGUUAGUAAUGAUGCAAUUAUGCAUUGAAAUAGUAUUUUCAUAUUUUUGAAUUUUUCUCAAAAUCUAUGUGUUACUAACCCUCUACGAAAAUAUUAAAUUUUUCAGUAAAUGCGCUAUAUACUGAAGCCUAUGAUCUUUAGUGUUGUUUUAAAAUCUCUAAACACAUUCUAAAUUUGUAUUUAUGUAUAUUAAAUUCUCUUUCAUGGUACAUAGACAUCUUUUUAAUUUUUUGUCAAUUAAUUUAGUAAAACUUCAUAAUACUCCCUGAAUUAGUGGACUAACCACUAUAAAAUCGCUAUUCUCUAGCAAAACGGAGACAACAAAUGUUCCAAACCUGUUUGACCUUCAUCUUAUAUUAGUAAAGGAUGCAACUAUACAUUAAAACAAUAUUUUUAUAUUUUUGAAUUUUUCUCAAAAUCUAUUAGUUAACCCCUAAGAAAAUAUUCUUUUUUUUUGGUAAAUGCUUUAUAUACUUAAGCCUAUGAUCUUUAAUGUUGUUUUAAAAUUUUUAAACAUAUUUUACAUUUAUAUUAAUGUAUAUUAAACUCUCUUUCAUGGUACAUGGGCAUGUUUUAAAUUUUUUGUCAAUUAAUUUAGUAAAACUUCAUAAUACUGAAGUUAUUGGUAGACUAACCACUAUAAAAUCAUUAUUUUCUAGAGAAACGGAGACAACAAAAGUUCCAAACCUCUUUGACCUUCAUCAUAUGUUAGUAAAUGAUGCAAUUAUGCAUUAAAAUAAUAUUUUCAAAUUUUGAAUUUUUUCUCAAAAUCUAUGUGUUAACCCUAACCCCCACGAAAAUAUUGAAUUUUUAGUAAAUGCUCUAUAUACUGAAGCAUAUGAUCUGUAGUGUUGUUUUAAAAUUUAUGAACACAUUCUAAAUUUGUAUUAAUGUAUAUUAAGCUCUCUUUCAUGGUACAUGGGCAUCUUUUUAAUUUUUUAUCAAUUAAUUUAGUAAAACUUUAUAGUUCUCCAUAAAUUGGUGGACUAACAAUUAUAAAAUCGUUAUUUUCUAAACAAACAAAGACAACAAAAGUUCCACACCUCUUUGAACUUCAUCAUAUGUUAGUGAAUGAUGCAACUUUGCCUUAAAAAUUAUUUUCCUAUUUUUGAAUAUUUCUCAAAAUCUAUGUGUUAACAACCCCUACGAAAAUGUUAAAAUUUUCGGUAAAUGGACUAUAUAUUGAAGCCUAAGAUCAUUAAUGUUGUUAUAAUAUUUCAAAAAAAAGUUCUACAUUUGUAGUAAUAUAUAUUAAACUCUCUUUUAUGGUACAUGGACAUCGUUUUAAUUUUUUUGUCAGUUAAUUUAGUUAAACUUCAUAAUACUCUUUAAAUUGGUGGACUAACCAAUAUAAAAUCGCAAUUCUCUAGAGAAACGGAGACAACAAAGGUUUCAAACCUCUUUGACCUUAAUCAUGUGUUAAUGAAAGAUGCAACUAUGCAUUACAAUAGUAUUUUCAUAUUUUUGAUUUUUUCUUAAAAUCUAUGUCUUAACCCCUACGAAAUUAUUGAAUUUUUUGUUAAAUGAUGUAUAUAUUGAAGCCUAUGAUAUUUAAUGUAUUUAAAACUUCUAAACACAUUCUACAUUUGUAGUAAUGUAUAAUAAACUCUAUUUUAUGGUACAUGGGUAUCGUUUUAAUUUUUUCUCAAUUAAUUUAGUAAAACUUCAUAAUACUCCUUAAAUUGGUGGAGUAGCCACUAUGAAAUCGCUAUUCUCUAGAAAAUCGGAGGCAACAAUGGUUCCACACGUCUUUGAACUUCAUCAUAUAUUAGUGAAUGAAGAAACUAUGCAUUAAAACAAUAUUUUCAUAUUUUUUAAUUUUUCUCAAUAUUUAUGUGUUUAACCCCUACGAAAAUAUUGAAUUUUUCGGUAAAUGCUCUAUAUAUUGAAGCCUAAGAUCUUUAGUACUAUUUUAAAAUUUCCAAACACAUUCUACAUUUGUAGUAAUGUAUAUUUAACUCUCUUGUAUGGUACAUGAACAUCGUUUUAAUUUUUUGUUAACUAAUUUAGUAAAAUUUUAUAAUACUCCCUAAAUUGGUGGACUAAACGUUAUAAAAUCGCUAUUCUCUAGAAAAACGGAUAUAACAAAGGUUUCAAACCUGUUUGACCUUCACCAUAUGUUAGUGAAGGAUGCAACUACGCAUUAAAACAGUAUUUCAUAUUUUUGAAUUUUUUUCAAAAUCUAUGUGUUAACCCGUACGAGAAUAUUAAUUUUUUUGGUAAAUGCUCUAUAUACGGAAGCCAAUGAUAUUUAGUGUUUUCUAAAGUUUCUAAACACAUUCUAAAUUUGUACUAAUGUAUAUUAAACUAUCUUUCAGGGUACAAGGACAUCGUUUUAACUUUUUGUCAGUUAAUUUAGUUAAACUUCAUAAUACUCCCUAAAUUGGUGGACUAACUAUUAUAAAAUCGCUAUUUUCUAGAGAAACGGAGACAACAAAAGUUCCAAACCCCUUUAACCUUCAUCAUAUGUUAGUAAAUGAUGCAAUUAUGCAUUGAAAUAGUAUUUUCCUAUUUUUGAAAUUUUCUCAAAAUCUAUGUGUUAACAACCCCUACGAAAAUAUUAAAUUUUUCGGUAAAUGGUCUAUAUAUUGAACCCUAAGAUCAUUAAUGUUGUUAUAAUAUUUCCAAACAAAUUUCUACAUUUGUAGUAAUAUAUAUUAAACUCUCUUUUAUGGUACAUGGACAUCGUUUUAAUUUUUUUGUCAGUUAAUUUAGUUAAACUUCAUAAUAAUCUUUAAAUUGGUGGACUAACCAAUAUAAAAUCGCAAUUCUCUAGAGAAACGGGGACAACAAAGGUUUCAAACCUCUUUGACCUUAAUCAUGUGUUAGUGAAAGAUGCAACUAUGCAUUACAACAGUAUUUUCAUAUUUUUGAAUUUUUCUCAAAAUCUAUGACUUAAACCAUACGAAAUUAUUGAUUUGUUUGUUAAAUGCUGUAUAUACUGAAGCCUAUGAUAUUUAAUGUAUUUAAAAAUUUCUAAACACACUCUACAUUUGUAGUAAUGUAUAAUAAACUAUAUUUUAUGGUACAUGGGCAUCGUUUUAAUUUUUUCUCAAUUAAUUUAGUAAAACUUCAUAAUACUCCCUAAAUUGGUGGACUAGCCAUUAUGAAAUCGCUAUUCUCUAGAAAAUCGGAGACAACAAUGGUUCCACACAUCUUUGAACUUCAUCAUAUAUUAGUGAAUGAAGAAACUAUGCAUUAAAACAAUAUUUUCAUAUUUUUUGAAUUUUUUUCAAAAUCUAUGUGUUUAACACCUACAAAAAUAUUGAAUUUUUCGGUAAAUGCUCUAUAUAUUGAACCCUAAGAUCUUUAGUAAUAUUUUAAAAUUUUCAAACACAUUCUACAUUUGUAGUAAUGUAUAUUUUUAACUCUCUUUUAUGGUACAUGAACAUCGUUUUAAUUUUUUAUUAACUAAUUUAGUAAAAUUUCAUAAUACUCCCUAAAUUGGUGGACUAAACGUUAUAAAAUCACUAUUCUCUAGAAAAACGGAGAUAACAAAGGUUCCAAACCUGUUUGACCUUCAUCAUAUAUUAGUGAAGGAUGCAACUACGCAUUAAAACAAUUUUUUCAUAUUUUUGAAUUUUUCUCAAAAUCUAUGUGUUAACCCGUACGAAAAUAUAAUUUUUUUUGGUAAAUGCUCUAUAUACCGAAGCCAAUGAUAUUUGGUGUUUUCUAAAAUUUCUAAACACAUUCUAAAUUUACUAAAUUAUAUUAAACUAUCAUUGAGGGUACAAGGGCAUCAUUUAAUUUUUUGUCAGUUAAUUUAGUUAAAUUUCAUAAUACUCCCGAAAUUGGUGGACUAACUAUUAUAAAAUCGCUAUUUUCUAGAGAAACGGAGACAACAAAAGUUCCAAACCUCUUUAACCUUCAUCAUAUGUUAGUAAAUGAUGCACUUAUGCAUUGAAAUAGUAUUUUCAUAUUUUUGAAUUUUUCUCAAAAUCUAUGUGUUAAUAACCCCCUACGAAAAUAUUGAAUUUUUCGUUAAAUGCUCUAUAUAUUGAAGCCUAUGAACUUUAGUGUUGUUUUAAAAUCUCUAAACACAUUCUAAAUUAGUAUUCAUGUAUAUUAAAUUCUCUUUCAUGGUACAUGGACAUCUUUUUAACUUUUUGUCAGUUAAUUUAGUUAAACUUCAUAAUACUCCUUAAAUUGGUGGACUAACCGUUAUAAAAUCGAUAUUUUCUAGAGAAACGGACACAACAAAAUUUCCAAACCUCUUUAACCUUCAUCAUAUGUUAGUAAAUGAUGCAAUUAUGCAUUAAAAUAGUAUUUUCAUAUUUUUGAAUUUUUCUCAAAAUUUAUGUGUUAACCCUAACCCCCCCCCACGAAAGUAUUGAAUUUUUCAGUAAAUGCUCUUUAUACUGAAGCCUAUAUGAUCUUUAGUGUUGUUUUAAAAUUUUUAAACACAUUCUAAAUUUGUAUUACUGUAUAUUAAAUUAUCUUUCAUGGUACAAGGACAUCUUUUUAACUUUUUGUCAGUUAAUUAACUUAAAACUUCAUAAUACUCCUUAAAUUGGUGGACUAACCAUUAUAAAAUCGCUAUUUUCUAGAGAAACGGACACUACAAAAGUUUCAAACCUCUUUGACCUUCAACAUAUGUUAGUAAAUGAUGCAAUUAUGAAUUAAAAAAGUAUUUUCAUAUUUUUGAAUAUUUCUCAAAAUCUAUGUAUUAACAAGCCCUACGAAAAUAUUAAAUUUUUCGGUAAAUGCUCUAUAUAUUGAAGCCUAAGAUCAUUAGUGUUGUUAUAAUAUUUCCAAAACAAUUCUACAUUUUUAGUAAUGUAUAUUAAACUCUCUUUUAUGGUACAUAGACAUCGUUUUAAUUUUGUUUCAGUUAAUUUAGUUAAAUUUCAUAAUACUCCUUAAAUUGGUAGACUAGCCACUAUAAAAUCGUAUCUCUAGAGAAACGGAGACAACAAAGGUUUCAAACCUCUUUGACCUUCAUCAUGUGUUAGUGAAGGAUGCAACUAUGCAUUAAAACAAUAUUUUCAUAUUUUUGAUUUUUUCUCAAAAUCUAUGUGUUAUAACCCUACGAAAUUAUUGAAUUUUUUGUUAAAUGCUCUAUAUACUGAAGCCUAUGAUAUUUAGUGUAUUUUAAAAUUUCUAAACACAUUCUACAUUUGUAGUAAUGUAUAAUAAACUCUAUUUUAUGGUACAUGGGCAUUGUUUUAAUUUUUUGUCAGUUAAUUUAGUAAAACUUCAUAAUACGCCCUAAAUUGGUGGACUAGCCACUAUGAAAUCGCUAUUCUCUAGAAAAACGGAGACAACCAUGGUUCCAAACCUCUUUGAACUUCAUCAUAUAUUGGUGAAACAUGCAACUAUGCAUUAAAACAAUAUUUUCAUAUUUUUUGAUUUUUUCUCAAAAUCUAUGUGUUUAACCCCUACGGAAAUAUUGAUUUUUUCGGUAAAUGCUAUAUAUAUUGAACCCUAAGAUCUUUAGUACUAUUUUAAAAUUUCCAAACACAUUCUACAUUUGUAGUAAUGCAUAUUAAACGCUCUUUUAUGGUACAUGGACAUCGUUUUAAUUUUUUGUCAAUUAAUUUAAUAAGACUUGAUAAUACUCCCUAAAUUGGUGGACUAACCACUAUAAAAUCGCUAUACUCUAGAAAAACGGAAGCAACAAAGGUUCCAAACCUCUUUAACCUUCAUCAUAUGUUAGUGAAUGAUGCAACUAUGCAUUAAAACAGUUUUUUUCAUUUUUUUCAUUUUCUCAAAAUCUAUGUGUUAACCCCUACGAAAAUAUUGACUUUUUCGGUAAAUUCUCUAUAUACUGAAGCCUAUGAUAUUUAGUGUUUUUUAAAAUUUCUAAACACAUUCUAAAUUUGCAUUAAUGUAUAUUGAACUUUCUUUCACGGUACAUGGACAUCGUUUUAUUUUUUGUCAAUUAAUUUAGUAAAACUUCAUAAUACUCUUUAAAUUGGUGGACUAAUCACUAUAAAAUCAUAAUUCUCUAGAGAAACGGAAACAACAAAGGUUUCAAACCUCUUUGACCUUCAUCAUGUGUUAGUGAAGGAUGCAACUAUGCAUUAAAAUAGUAUUUUCAUAUUUUUGAAAUUUUCUCAAAAUCUAUGUGUUCAGCCCUACGAAAAUAUUAAUUUUUUUGGUAAAUGUUUUAUAUACUGAAGCCAAUGAUAUUUAGUGUUUUUUUAAAUUUCUAAACACAUUCUAAAUUUGUACUAAUGUAUAUUAAACUCUCUAUCUUGGUACAAGGACAUCGUUUUAAUUUUUUGUCAGUUAAUUUAGUUAAACUUCAUAAUACUCCCUAAAUUGGUGGACUAACCAUUAUAAAAUCACUAUUUUCUAGAGAAAGAGAGACAACAAAAGUUCCAAACCUCUUUGAUCUUCACCAUAUGUUAGUAAAUGAUGCAAUUAUGCAUUGAAAUAGUAUUUUCAUAUUUUUGAUUUUUUCUCAAAAUCUAUGUGUUAAUAACCAAGCCCCUACGAAAAUAUUGAAUUUUUCAGUAAAUGUUCUAUAUUCUGAAGCCUAUGAUUUUUAAUGUUGUUUGAAAAUUUAUAAACACAUUCUAAAUUUGUAUUUAUGUAUAUUAAAUUCUAUUACAUGGUACAUGGACAUCUUUUUAAUUUUUUGUCAAUUUAUUUAGUAAAACUUCAUAAUACUCCCUGAAUUGGUGGACUAACCACUACAAAAUAGUUAUUCUCUAGAAAAACGGAGACAACAAAUGUUUCAAACCUGUUUGACAUUCAUCAUAUAUUAGUGAAUGAUGCAACUAUGCAUUAAAUCAGUAUUUUCAUAUUUUUGAAAUUUUCUCAAAUUUUAUGUGUUAACCCCUACGAAAAUAUUAAAUUUGUAAAUGCUUUAUAUACUGAAGCCUAUGAUAUUUAGUGUUGUUUUAACAUUUCCAAACAAAUUCUACAUUUGUAGUAAUGUAUAUUAACCUCUCUUUUAUGGUACAUGGGCAUCAUUUUAUUUUUUUGUCAGUAAAUUUUCAUAAUACUCUCUAAAUUGGUAGCUAACCACUAUAAAAUCGCAAUUCUCUAGAGAAACUGAGACAACAAAAGUUUUAAACCUCUUUGACCUUCAUCAUAUGUUAAUGAAUGAUGUAACUUUGCAUUAAAACAAUAUUUUCAUAUUUUUGAAUUUUUCUCAAAAUCAAUGUGUUAACUAACUCCUACGAUAAUAUUGAUUUUUUCGGUAAAUGCUCUAUAUACUGAAUCCUAUGAUAUUUAGUGUUUUUUAAAAUUUCUAAACACAUUCUACAUUUGUAGUAAUGUAUAUUUAACUCUAUUUUAUGGUACAUGGGCAUCGUUUUAAUUAUUUGUCAAUUAACUUAGUUAAACUUCAUAAUACUUCCUAAAUUGGUGGACUAACCACAACAUAUCCGAGUGUUGGUACGAGUUUGCCGCAAGAAGCUUCAGAGGAUUCUAGUAUGGGAAAGAGGAAGAAGAAGACAUCGCCUGCGUGGGAAAACUUCACUGUGGUCACGAGAGUUGUUGUGGUGUCUCAGAGUUAAGAGCCAAAUGCAACCACUGCAACAAGGACUAUGCGUAUGAACCACUGAAGCAAGGUACUUCAAACUACAAUAGGCAUUCACUAGUAUGCAUGGGAACGCCUAGAGUUGGAGAAGUGAAUCCUUUGUCCCUUACUGGACAAGGAAAACUACAAGUUAGGAAGCCUGAUCAGAAUGUUUUCCGUGAAUUGGUUGUUAAAUGCAUAAUAGAGCAUGAUCUUCCAUUCUCCUUUGUUGAGUAUACUAGAGUUAGGCUGCUCUGCUCUUAUCUGAAUGCUGAUGUGAAGUUCAUAACGAGGAAGACUGCUGCUUCAGAUGUGUAUAAAUUCUAUGAGUUGGAGAAGGCUAAGUUGAAGAUAGAGUUGUCUGAAGUCCCUGGUAGAAUCUCCUUUACAUCAGAUCUUUGGACUGGUGUAACAGUGUAAGGGUACGUCUGUCUGACUGCCCACUACGUUGACAAGCAUUGGAAGCUGAAGAACAAGAUUCUUGCUUUUUGCACAAUGCCUCCUCCUCACACUGGUAUAGACUUGGCUAUGAAGAUUGUAGAGCUGUGGAAAGAGUGGGGGAUAGAGAGAAAGGUAUUCUCGCUGACUGUAGAUAAUACCAGCAACAAUGACAACAUGCAUAACAUCUUGAAGAGCCAGCUUGUGAUCCAGAACGAUUUGCUAUGUGGAGGAGAAUUCUUUCAUGUAAGAUGCUCUGCCCAUAUUCUAAAUCUGAUCGUUCAAGAAGGGUUAAAGGUGAUGGGUGAUGCCUUAGGAAAAAUCAGAGAUAGCAUCAAGUAUGUUCAAGCUUCAGAGUCUCGCCGAAAGUUGUAUGCGAGUUGUGUGGAAUCUUCUGUGCCUGUGAAUGAUCAAAGGCCCGGGUUGACAUUGGAUGUCCCAACCCGUUGGAACUCAACCUUCAAGAUGCUAGAUAGAGCUAUCAAGCACCGUGCAGCCUUUGGUAGUUAUCGAGGGAUUGAUCCAAGUUACAAGCUUCUUCCCACAGAAAGAAAAUGGGAUUUGGGAAUUCAAAUCUGUGAGCUGCUGCAACCGUUUGAUGAGAUAACCAAGUUGAUCUCAGGUUCGACUUACCCUACCUCUAACUUGUACUUUAUGCAAGUGUACAAGAUUGAGUUGUGGCUGAAAUCGCAUGAGAACAAUAGUUCAGAAGUCAUUGUCGAGAUGGUUGGGGCAAUGAAAGCUAAAUUUGACAAGUAUUGGCGUGAGUACAGUGUGAUUCUUGCAAUGGCAGCAGUGUUUGAUCCUAGGUUUAAGUUGUCUCUACUCGAUUAUUGCUUCACAAUGUUGGAUGAUGGUACUGCUGAGCAAAAGGUGGUUCAUGUCUCAGAUAAGCUGGAACUUCUUUUUAAAGCAUAUUCUAAACCAGAAACAGAAGCUGCUCCAUCAACUGGAAACAACACAGACGAUUCAGUAGCUGGAGUUGAAUCAUCACAGACCUCUCUAUAUGAUGUAAGUGCCGAUUUCUUGUCUUAGGAUUAUCUCUCAGACUUAGUUUAUAUUGUUCUUACACAACCUAUUUCUUUGCAUUUUGUAAGACUUCUACAACUUUCGCAAGAACAGUGUGAAUGCUAAUGGAAAAUCUGCAUUGGAUAUGUAUCUGGAAGAACCACUGGUGGACGUAAAGGCUUUUCCAAAUUUGGAUGUUUUAUCCUAUUGGAAGGACAAUUCUCAUCGCUUUGGUGUGUUGGCUACUAUGGCUUCAGAUUGUUUGAGCAUUCUUAUAACUACUGUGGCCUCCGAGUCCUCAUUCAGCAUUGGCUCACGAGUUCUAAACAAGUACAGAAGCUGUCUCCUCCCUCGAAAUGUUCAAGCACUGAUAUGUGCUCGUAAUUGGAUCCGCGACUUUUAACCAUAUGACAAUGGUAAGUUGCUUCCACUUAUUUAUUCUCGUUUUAGACUGAAACUGGAAACAAAUAGGCUUAGCGUAUAUUUUUCUGGUGUUGGACUGAAACAAAUAGGCUUAGCAUAUAUUUUUCUGUUUUUGGACUGAAACAAAUAUGCUUAGCAUAUAUUUUUCUGGUUUUAGACAGAUACUGAUCGGCUUAGCAUAUAUUUUUCUGGUUUUGGACAGAUAUUGAGGUGGCUGAUUCUGGUGAUCAAAUGAGAGCUUGCCUCCGAUUCAGGUGGUGAUGUGAUGUGUUGUGGUGUGGCAAGAACAAGAAGAAGAAGACCCUAUGUAAUUUGUUUUCAAAUUUGCUGUGUUGUGUGUUAAAACUUAAAACUUAAACUUAUGGUUUGGUGUUUGUUGAACUUGUAUAUUGUUGCUGUCUUGCUAAAACUUAAAACUAUUUGUUGUUGCUGAAACCAAAAUCAAUUUCCGUUUGUAUUGAUAUUUUUUUGUCAUUUGGAUUUUUUUUUUUAAUAUUGGCGGGUUACCCGCUUGACUCGCUUGAUUAGUGCGGGGCGGGUGCGGUUAAUCGUUUCAACUCCUAGCGGGUCAAGCGGGUAAACUUUUAAACUGCAAAAUUGAUUUCAACCCGCAGCGGGGCGGGUCAUGCGGGGCGGGUCCGACCAGCUUCCCAGGACUAAGUAUGCAUUAAAACAGUAUUUUCAUAUUUUUUGAAUUUUUCUCAAAAUCUAUGUGUUAACCCCUACGAAAAUAUUGAAUUUUUCGGUAAAUGUUAUAUUUACUGAAACCUAAGAUAUUUAUUACUGUUUUAAAAUUUCCAAGCACAUAUUACAUUUGUAGUAAUGUAUAUUAAACUCUCUUUUAUGGUACAUGAGCAUCGUUUUAAUUUUUUGUCAGUUAAUUUAGUUAAAUUUCAUAAUACUCCCUAAAUUGGUGGACUAACCACUAUAAAAUCGAUAUUCUCUAGAGAAACAGAUACAACAACGGUUCCCAACCUCUUUGACCUUCAUCAUAUGUUAGUGAAUUAUGCAACUAUGCAUUAAAACAAAAUUUUCUUAUUUUUGAAUUUUUCUCAAAAUCUAUGUGUUAACCCCUACGAAAAUAUUGAAUUUUUCGGUUAACGAUCUAUAUAUUAAAGCCUAAGAUCUUUAGUACUGUUUUAAAAUUUCCAACCACAUUCUACAUUUGUAGUAAUGUAUCUUAAACUCUCUUUUAUGGUACAUGAGCAUCGUUUUAAUUUUUUAUCAAUUAAUUUAGUAAAACUUCAUAAUACUCCCUAAAUUGGUAAAACUUCACUGUAAAAUCGCUAUUCUCUAAAAAAACGGAGACAACAGAUGUUCCAAACCUCUUUGACCUCCAUGAUAUGUUAGUGAAGGAUGCAACUAUGCAUUAAAACAGUAUUUCAUUUUUUGGAAGUUUUCUCAAAAUCUAUGUGUUAACACCUGCGAACAUAUUGAAUUUUUCGGUAAAUGCUCUAUAUACUGAAGCCUAUGAUAUUUAGUGUUUUUUAAAAUUUCUAAACACAUUCUACAUUUUUAGUAACGUAUUUAAACUCUAUUUUAUGGUACAUGGACAUCGUUUUAAUUUUUUGUCAAUUAACUUAGUAAAACUUCAUAUAAUCACUAUAAAAUCGCUAUUCUCUAGAGAAACGGAGACAACAAAGGUUCCAAACCUCUUUGACCUUCAUCAUAUGUUAGUGAAUGAUGCAACUAUGUAUUAAAACAGAAUUUUCUUAUUUUUGAAUUUUUUUUCAAAAUCUAUAUGUUAACCCAUACGAAAAUAUUGAAUCUUUCGGUAAAUGCUCUAUAUAUUGAAGCCUAAUAUAUUUAGUACUGUUUUAAAUUUUCCAAGCACAUUUAACAUUUGUAGUAAUUUAUAUUAAACUCUCUUUAUGGUACACGGGCAUAGUUUUAAUUUUUUGUCAAUUAAUUUAGUAAAACUUCUUAAUACUUCAUAACUUGGUGGACUAACCACUAUAAAAUCGCUAUUCUCUAGAAAAACGGAGACAACAAAGAUUCCAAACCUCUUUUACCUUCAUCAUAUGUUAGUGAAGGAUGCAACUAUGAAUUAAAACAGUUUUUUCAUUUUUUUUUUGAAUUUUUUCUCAAAAUCUAUGUGUUAACCACUCCUACGAAAAUAUUGAUUUUUUCGGUAAAUUCUCUAUAAACUGAAGCUAUGAUAUAUAGUGUUUUUUUUUAAAUUUCUUAACACAUUCUAAAUUUUUAUUAAUGUAUAUUAAACUUUCUUUCACGGUAUAUGGGAAUCGUUUUAUUUUUUUUGUAAAUUAAUUUAUUAAAACUUCAUAGUAAUCCCUAAAUUGGUGGACUAACCACUAUAAAAUAUAUAUUCUCUAGAGAAACAGAGACAACAAAGAUUCCAAACCUCUUUGACUUUCAUCAUAUAUUAGUGAAGGACGAAACUAUGCAUUAAAACAGUAUUUUCAUAUUUUUAAAGUUUUCUCAAAAUCUAUGUGUUAACCCCUGCGAAAAUAUUAAAUUUUUUGGUAAAUGCUCUAUAUACUGAAGCCUAUGAUAUUUAGUGUUUUUUUAAAUUUCUAAACACAUUCUACAUUUUUAUUAAUGUAUAUUAAACUCUAUUUAUGGUACAUGUGCAUCAUUUUAAUUUUUUGUCAAUUAACUUAGUAAAACUUCAUAAUACUCCCUAAAUUGGUGGACUAACCACUGUAAAAUCGCUAUUCUCUAGAAAAACAGAGACAACAAAUGUUCCAAACUUCUUUGACUUUCAUCAUAUGUUAGUGAAUGAUGCAACUAUGCAACAAUAUUUUCAUAUUUUUGGAAGUUUUCUCAAAAUCUAUGUGUUAACCCAUGCGAAAAAAUUGAAUUUUUCGGUAAAUGCUCUAUAUACUGAAGCCUAUGAUAUUUAGUGUUUUUUUAAAUUUCUAAUCACAUUCUACAUUUAUAGUAAUGUAUUUAAACUCUAUUUUAUGGUACAUGGACAUUGUUUUAAUUUAUUGACAUUUAACUUAGUAAAACUUCAUAAUACUCCCUAAAUUGGUAGACUAACCACUAUAAAAACGAUAUUCUAUAGAGAAACGGAGACAACAAAGGUUCCAAACCUCUUUGACGUUCAUCAUAUGUUAGUGAAUGAUGCAACUAUGCAUUAAAACAUAAUUUUCUUAUUUUUGAAUUUUUCUCAUAAUCUAUGUGUACGAAAAUAUUGAAUUUUUCGGUAAAUGCUCUAUAUAUUGAGGCCUAAGAUCUUUAGUACUGUUUUUAAAAUUUCCAAGAAAAUUCUACAUUUUUAGUAAUGUAUAUUAAACUCUCUUUUAUGGUACAUGGGCAUCGUGUAAACUCUCUGGAAAAACGGAGACAAAAAAUGUUCCAAACCUCUUUGACCUUCAUCAUAUGUUAGAGAAUGAUGCAACUAUUUAUUAAACAGUAUUUUCAUUUUUUUGAAUUUUUCUCAAAAUCUAUGUGUUAACCCCUACGAAAAUAUUAAAUUUUUCGGUAAAUUCUUUAUAUACUGAAGCCUAUGAUAUUUAGUGCUUUUUUUUAAUUUCUAAACACAUUUUCAAUUUUUAGUAAUGUAUAUUAAACUCAAUUUUAUGGUACAUGGGCAUCUUUUUAAUUUUUUGUCAAUUAACUUAGUAAACUUUCAUAAUACUCCAUUAAUUGGUAGACUAACCAUUGUAAAAUCGCAAUUCUCUAGAAAAACGGAGACAACAAAUGUUCCAAACAUAUUUUACCUUCAUCAUAUGUUAGUGAAUGAUGCAACUAUGUAUUAAUACAAUAUUUUUAUUUUUUGGAAGUUUUCUCAAAAUCUAUGUGUUAACCCCUACGAAAAUAUUGAAUUUUUUUUGUAAAUGCUCUAUAUACUGAAGCCAAUGAUAUUGAGUGUUUUUUUUUUAAAUUUCUAAACACAUUCUACAUUUGUAGUAAUGUAUUUAAACUCUAUUUUAUGGUAAAUGACCAUCGUUUUAAUUUCUUGUCAAUUAACUUAGUAAAACUUCAUAAUACUCCCUAAAUUGGUGGAUUAAUCACUAUAAAAUCGCUAUUCUCUAGUGAAACGGAGACAACAAAGGUUCCAAAACUCUUUGACCUUCAUCAUAUGUCAGUGAAUGAUAAAACUAUGCAUUAAAACAGUAUUUUAAUUUUUUUGAAUUUUUCUCAAAAUCUAUGAGUUAACUAACCCCUACGAAAAUAUUAAAUUUUUCGGUAAAUUCUCUAUAUACUGAAGCCAAUGAUAUUUAGUGUUUUUUUAAUUUCUAAACACAUUUUAAAUUUGUGCUAAUGUAUACUAAACUCUCUUUCAUGGUACAUGUGCAUCGUUUUAAUUUUUUGUCUAUUAAUUUAGUAAAACUUCAUAAUACUCCCAAAAUUGGUGGACUAAACCCCUAUAAAACCGCUAUUCUCUAUAAAAACGGUGACAAUAAAGGUUAGAAACCUCUUUGACCUUCAUCAUAUAUUUGUGAAGGAUCCAACUAUGCAUUAAAACAAUACUUUCAUAUUUUUUGAAUUUUUCUCAAAAUCUAUGUGUUAACUAACCCCUACGAAAAUAUUGAAUUUUUCGUUAAAUGCUCUAUAUGUUGAAGCCUAAUAUAUGUAGUUCUAUUUUAAAAUUUCCAUGCACAUUCAACAUUUGUGGUAAUGUAUAAUAAACUCUCUUUUAUGGUACGUGGGCAUUGUUUUAACUUUUUUGUCAAUUAAUUUAGUAAAACUUCAUAAUACUUCCUAAAUUGGUGGACUAACCACUAUAAAAUCGCUAUUCUCUAGAAAAACGGAGACAACAAAAGUUCCAAACCUCUUUGACCUUCAUCAUAUGUUAUUGAAGGAUGUAACUAUGCAUUAAAACAGUAUUUUCAUUUUUUGGAAGUUUUCUCAAAAUCUAUGUGUUAACCCCUGCGAAAAUAUUGAAUUUUCCGGUAAAUGCUCUAUAUACUGAAGCAUGUGAUAUAUAGUGUUUUUUAAAAAUUUCUAAACACAUUCUACAUUUGUAGUAAUGUAUUUAAACUCUAUUUUAUAGUACAUGGGCAUCGUUUUAAUUUCUUGUCAAUUAACUUAGUAAAACUUCAUAAUACUCCCUAAAAAGGUGGACUAACCACUAUAAAAUCGAUAUUCUCUACAGAAAGGGAGACAACAAAGGUUAACCUCUUUGACUUUCAUCAUAUGUUAGUGAAUGAUGAAACUAUGCAUUAAAACAUAAUUUUUUUAUUUUUAAGUUUUUCUCCAAAAUCUAUGUGUUAACCCCUACGAAAAUAUUGAAUUUUUCGGUAAAUGCUCUAUAUAUUGAAGCCUAAGAUCUUUAGUACUGUUUUAAAAUUUUCAAACACAUUCUACAUUUGUAGUAAUGUAUAUUAGACUCUCUUUUAUGAUAUAUGAUCAUCGUUUUAAUUUUUUGUCAAUUAAUUUAGUAAAACUUCAUAAUACUCCCUAAAUUGGUAGACUAACCACUGUAAAAUCGCUAUUCCCUAGAAACAACGGAGACAUCAAAUGUUCCAAACCUCUUUGACAUUCAUCACAUGUUAUUGAAGGAUGCAACUAUGCAUUAAAACAGUAUUUUCAUUUUUUGGAAGUUUUUUCAAAAUCUAAAUGUUAACCCCUGCGAAAAUAAUAAAUUUUUCGGUGAUUUCUCAAUAUACUGAAGCCUAUGAAAUAUAGUAUUUUUUUUUUAAUUUUUAAACACAUUCUAAAUUUUUGUUAAUGUAUAUUUAGCUUUCUUUCACGGUACAUGGGCAUUGUUUUAUUGUUUUGUUAAUUAAUUUAGUAAAACUUCAUAAUACUUCCUAAAUUGGUGGUCUAACCACGAUAAAAUCGAUAUUCUCUAGAAAAACGGAGACAACAAAGGUUCCGAACCUCUUUGACCUUCAUAAUAUGUUAGUGAAGGAUGCAACUAUGCAUUAAAACAGUAUUUUCAUUUUUUUGAAUUUUUCUCAAAAUCUGUGUGUUAACCCCUACGAAAAUAUUAAAUAUUUUGGUAAAUUCUCUAUAUACUGAAGCUAAUGAUAUUUAGUGUUUUUUUCAUUUUCUUAACACAUUCUAAUUUUUUACUAAUGAAUAUUAACCUCUCUUUCAUGGUACAUGGGAAUCGUUUUAAUUUUUUGUCUAUUAAUUUAGUAAAAUUUCAAAUUACUCCCUAAAUUGGUGGAUUAACCAUUGUAAAACCGCUAUUCACUAUAAAAACGGAGACAACAAAGGUUCGAAAACUCUUUGACCUUCAUUCUAUAUUAGUGAAUGAUGCAACUAUGCAUUAAAACAAUACUUUCAUAUUUUUUGAAUUUUUCUCAAAAUCUAUGUGUUAACCUAUAUGAAAAUAUUUAAUUUUUCGUUAAAUGCUAUAUAUAUUGAAGCCUAAUAUCUUUAGUACUGUUUUAAAAUUUCCAAGCAUAUUCAACAUUUGUAGUAAUGUAUAUUAAACUCUCUUUUAUGGUACAUGAACAUCGUUUUAUUUUUUUUUUCAAUUAAUUUAGUAAAACUUCAUAAUACUCCCUAUAUUGGUAGACUAACCACUGUAAAAUCGCUAUUCUCUAGAAAAACGGACACAACAAAUGUUUCAAACCUCUUUGACAAUCAUAUGUCAUUGAUGGAUGCAACUAUGCAUUAAAAUGGUAUUUUUCAUUUUUUGGAAUUUUUCUCAAAAUCUAUGUGUUAACCCCUGCGAAAAUAUUGAAUUUUCCGGUAAAUGCUCUAUGUAUUGAAGCCUAAGAUCUUUAGUAUUGUUUUAAAAUUUCCAAGGACAUUCUACAUGUGUAGUAGUUUAUAUUAAACUCUCUUUUAUGGUACAUGGGCAUCGUUUUAAUGUUUUGUCAUAUAAUUUAGUAAAGCUUCAAAAUACUUCGUAAAUUGGUAGACUGACUACUAUAAAAUCGAUAUUCUCUUAAGAAACGAAGACAACAAAACUUCCAAACCUCUUUGACCUUCAUCAUAUGUUAGUGAAUGAUGCAAGUAUGCAUUAAAACAAAAUUUUCUAAUUUUUGAAUUUUUCUCAAAAUAUAUAUAUUAACCCCUACAAAAAUAUUGAAUUUUUCUGUAAAUGCUCUAUAUAUUGAAGCCUAAGAUCUUUAGUACUGUUUUAAAAUUUCCAAGCACAUUCUACAUUUGUAGUAAUGUAUAUUAAACUCUCUUUUAUGGUACAUGAGCAUCGUUUCAAUUUUUUGUCAAUUAAUUUAGUAAAACUUCAUAAUACUCCCUAAAUUGGUAAAACUUCGCUGUAAAAUCGCUAUUCUCUAAAAAAACGGAGACAACAGAUGUUCCAAACCUCUUUGACAUUCAUCAUAUGUUAGUGAAGGAUGCAACUACGCAUUAAAAUAGUUUUUUUCAUUUUUUGGAAGUUUUCUCAAAAUCUAUGUGUUAAGCCUGCGGAAAUAUUGAAUUUUUCGGUAUAUGCUCUAAAUACUGAAGCCUAUGAUAUUUAGUUUUUUUUUAACUUCUAAACACAUUAUACAUUUGUAGUAAUGUAUUUAAACACUAUUUUAUGGUACAUGGGCAUUGUUUUAAUUUCUUGUCAAUUAAAUUAGUAAAACUUCAUAAUAUUCCCUAAAUUGGUGGACUAACCACUAUAAAUUCGAUAUUCUUAGAGAAACGGAGACAACAAAGGUUCCAAGCCUCUUUGACAUUCAUCAUAUGUUAGUGAAUGAUGCAACUAUGCAUUAAAACAUAAUUUUCUUAUUUUUGAAUUUUUCUCAAAAUCUAUAUGUUAACCCCUACAAAAAUAUUGAAUUUUUCUGUAAAUGCUCUAUAUAUUGAAGCCUAAGAUCUUUAGUAUUGUUUUAAAAUUUCCAACGCAUUCUACAUUUGUAGUAAUGUAUAUUAAACUCUCUUUUAUGGUACAUGAGCAUCGUUUUAAUUUUUUGUCAAUUAAUUUAGUAAAACUUCAUAAUACUCCCUAAAUUGGUAGAGUAACCACUGUAAAAUCGCUAUUGUCUAGAAAAACGGAGAUAGCGAAUGUUCCAAACCUCUUUGACAUUCAUCAUAUGUUAUUGAAGGAUGCAACUAUACAUUAAAAUAGUUUUUUUCAUUUUUUGGAAGUUUUCUCAAAAUCUAUAUGUUAAGCCUGCGAAAAUAUUGAAUUUUUCGGUAAAUGCUCUAUAUAUUGAAGCCUAAGAUCUUUAGUAUUGUUUUAAAAUUUCCAAGGACAUUCUACAUGUGUAGUAAUUUAUAUUAAACUCUUUUUUAUGGUACAUGGGCAUCGUUUUAAUUUUUUGUCAUAUAAUUUAGUAAAGCUUCAAAAUACUUCGUAAAUUGGUAGACUAACUACUAUAAAAUCGAUAUUCUCUUGAGAAACGAAGACAACUAAACUUCCAAACCUCUUUGACCUUCAUCAUAUGUUAGUGAAUGAUGCAAGUAUGCAUUAAAACAAAAUUUUCUAAUUUUUGAAUUUUUCUCAAAAUAUAUAUAUUAACCCCUACAAAAAUAUUGAAUUUUUCUGUAAAUGCUCUAUAUAUUGAAGCCUAAGAUCUUUAGUACUGUUUUAAAAUUUCCAAGCACAUUCUACAUUUUUAGUAAUGUAUAUUAAACUCUCUUUUAUGGUACAUGAGCAUCGUUUCAAUUUUUUGUCAAUUAAUUUAGUAAAACUUCAUAAUACUCCCUAAAUUGGUAAAACUUCGCUGUAAAAUCGCUAUUCUCUAAAAAAACGGAGACAACAGAUGUUCCAAACCUCUUUGACAUUCAUCAUAUGUUAGUGAAGGAUGCAACUAUGCAUUAAAAUAGUUUUUUUCAUUUUUUGGAAGUUUUCUCAAAAUCUAUGUGUUAAGCCUGCGGAAAUAUUGAAUUUUUCGGUAUAUGCUCUAAAUACUGAAGCCUAUGAUAUUUAGUUUUUUUUUAACUUCUAAACACAUUAUACAUUUGUAGUAAUGUAUUUAAACACUAUUUUAUGGUACAUGGGCAUUGUUUUAAUUUCUUGUCAAUUACAUUAGUAAAACUUCAUAAUACUCCCUAAAUUGGUGGACUAACCACUAUAAAUUCGAUAUUCUUAGAGAAACGGAGACAACAAAGGUUCCAAGCCUCUUUGACAUUCAUCAUUUGUUAGUGAAUGAUGCAACUAUGCAUUAAAACAUAAUUUUCUUAUUUUUGAAUUUUUCUCAAAAUCUAUAUGUUAACCCCUACAAAAAUAUUGAAUUUUUCUGUAAAUGCUCUAUAUAUUGAAGCCUAAGAUCUUUAGUAUUGUUUUAAAAUUUACAACGCAUUCUACAUUUGUAGUAAUGUAUAUUAAACUCUCUUUUAUGGUACAUGAGCAUCGUUUUAAUUUUUUUGUCAAUUAAUUUAGUAAAACUUCAUAAUACUCCCUAAAUUGGUAGAGUAACCACUGUAAAAUCGCUAUUGUCUAGAAAAACGGAGAUAGCGAAUGUUCCAAACCUCUUUGACAUUCAUCAUAUGUUAGUGAAGGAUGCAACUAUACAUUAAAAUAGUUUUUUUCAUUUUUUGGAAGUUUUCUCAAAAUCUAUGUGUUAAGCCUGCGAAAAUAUUGAAUUUUUCGGUAAAUGCUCUAUAUAUUGAAGCUUAUGAUAUUUAGUUUUUUUUUUAACUUCUAAACACAUUAUACAUUUUUAGUAAUGUAUUUAAACACUAUUUUAUGGUACAUGGGCAUUGUUUUAAUUUCUUGUCAAUUAAAUUAGUAAAACUUCAUAAUACUCCCUAAAUUGGUGAACUAACCACUAUAAAAUCGAUAUUCUUAGAGAAACGGAGACAACAAAGGUUCCAAGCCUCUUUGACAUUCAUCAUAUGUUAGUGAAUGAUGCAACUAUGCAUUAAAACAUAAUUUUCUUAUUUUUGAAAUUUUCUCAAAAUCUAUGUGUUAACCCCUACGAAAAUAUUAAAUGUUUCGGUAAAUUCUCUAUAUACUGAAGCUAAUGAUAUUUAGUGUUUUUUAUUUUAUUAACACAUUCUCAAUUUGUACAAAUGUAUAUUAACCUCUCUUUCAUGGUACAUGGGCAUCGUUUUAAUUUUUUGUCUAUUAAUUUAGUAAAAUUUCAAAUUACUCCCUAAAUUGGUGGAUUAACCACUGUAAAACCGCUAUUCACUAUAAAAACGGAGACAACAAAGGUUCGAAAAAUCUUUGACCUUCAUUCUAUAUUAGUGAAGGAUGCAACUAUGCAUUAAAACAAUACUUUCAUAUUUUUUGAAUUUUUCUCAAAAUCUAUGUAUUAACCUCUACGAAAAUAUUUAAUUUUUCGUUAAAUGCUCUAUAUAUUGAAGCCUAAGAUCAUUAGUACUGUUUUAAAAUUUCCAAGCACAUUCAACAUUUGUAGUAAUGUAUAUUAAACUCUCUUUUAUGGUACAUGAGCAUCAUUUCAAUUUUUUGUCAAUUAAUUUAGUAAAACUUCAUAAUACUCCCUAAAAUUGGUAGACUAACCACUGUAAAAUCACUAUUCUCUAGAAAAACGAAGACAUCAAUUGUUCCAAACCUCUUUGAACUUCUUCAUAUAUUAGUGAUUGAUGCAACAAAGCAUUAAAACAGUAUUUUCAUUUUUUGGAAGUUUUCUCAAAAUCUAUGUGUUAACCCCUGCAAAAAUAUUGAAUUUUUCGGUAAAUGCUCUAUAUACUGAAGCCUAUGAUAUUUGUAGUAAUGUAUUUAAACUCUAUUUUAUGGUACAUGGGCAUCAUUUUAGUUUCAUGUCAAUUAACUUAGUAAAACUUCAUAACCACUAUAAAAUCGCUAUUCUCUAGAGAAACGGAGACAACAAAGGUUUCAAACCUCUUUUACCUUCAUUAUAUGUUAGUGAAUGAUUCAACCAUGCAUUAAAACAGAAUUUUCUUAUUUUUGAAUUUUUUUUUCUCAAAAUCUAUGUGUUAACCCCUACAAAAAUAUUGAAUUUUUCGGUAAAUGCUCUAUAUAUUGAAGCCUAAUAUCUUUAGUACUGUUUUAAGAUUUCCAAGCACACUCAACAUUUGUACUAAUGUAUAUUAAACUCUCUUUUAUGGUAUAUGGCAUCGUUUUUUUUUUUGGCAAUUAAUUUAGUAAAACUUCUUAAUACUUCAUAAAUUGGUGGACUAACCACUAUAAAAUCGCAAUUCUCUAGAAAAACGGAGACAACAAAGGUUCCAAACCUCUUUUCCUUCAUCAUAUGUUAGUGAAGGAUGCAACUAUGCAUUAAAACAGUUUUUUUCAUUUUUUUUAAUUUUUCUCAAAAUCUAUGUGUCCCUACGAAAAUAUUAAAUUUUUUGGUGAAUUCUCUAUAUACUGAAGCCUAUGAUAUUUAGUGUUUUUUUAAAUUUCUAAAUACAUUCUAAAUUUUUAUAAAUGUAUAUUAAACUUUAUUUCACGGUACAUGGGCAUUGUUUUAUUUUUUUGUCAAUUAAUUUAGUAAAACUUCAUAAUACUCCCUAAAUUGGUGGACUAACCACUAAAAAUUUGAUAUUCUCUAGAAAAACAGAGACAACAAAGGUUCCAAACCUCUUUGACCUUCAUCAUAUAUUAGUGAAGGAUGCAAAUAUGCAUUAAAACAGUAUUUUCAUAUUUUUUGAGUUUUUCUCAAAACCUAUGUGUUAACCCCUCCUACGAAAAUAUUGAAUUUUUCGGUAAAUGCUCUAUAUACUGAAGCCUAUGAUAUUUAGUUUUUUUAAAAUUUCUAAACGCAUUCUACAUUUGUAGUAAUGUAUAUUAAACUCUAUUUUGUGGUACAUAGACAUCAUUUUAAUUUUUUGUCAAUUAACUUAGUAAAUCUUCAUUCCCUAAAUUGGUGGACUAACCACUGUAAAAUCCCUGUGGGAACCAAAAUUCGCACUGUCGAUUUCCGUUUAAAUUAGGAAAAUAGGACAACCCUAAUUUCCCAGAGGUCCCGAAUAUCUGCUAAUACCACACGCCAAGCAAUCAGAACACGAAACUAGAACAGAAAUAAAAUAAGAAAUCGUAAGAAGAGGGCAAAGAGAAGUCUUAUUCCAAAUUUGGGCUCGAGAGCUGUCGGCGAGAUUCCUAGUUAUAGCAACCCUAAGACGGCUAAACCUACUUGAGUCGCAGCUCGAAAUAACAAAAACGAAAGUUGCCUAAUUGCUCUAAGUGCUAAGUUUGCUCUGAAAAAGUUUCUCUCCAUGCCUCUCGCCUAGGACUCCUUAUAUACUCGCUCCGAGGUCGGUUUACGCUUUUUCCCUUAAGCCGUCAUAGCCUAAAAAUGGAGAUAUUCCAUUUUUCCCGAUCUUCGUAAUUAUCUUCAAAAUUUCGUAUUUAUCCGCGGAAACUUGACAUUUAUCUUUUCUUCCGAACCAAGCGUAAACCGUCCUAAGGUUUACGGGCUGUUGGUUAAGAAAUCGUAAAGUGGGCCUCGAGUCAUGUCUUAGGUCCUUUUGGGCCGUCUUUUGAUUCGAAGCGUUUAUUACGGCUUCUUUCGAUAAAGAACGAACUUUCCGCGGUUUUUACAGUAAAGUUCGAUUGACGACUUCAAAUGUCGAGAGACAUGAAAUGGGUUUGCUACGGUCUUCGGGAUAUAGCAUCAAAGAGUAGACGAGAACGCAUGGAGCUCGAGCCAAAGCUCAGUCGCUACGUAGCGACCGAGCGCAAUUUAUGUAAAGAAUAUUAUUUUUUUGAAUGACCAAAAAUUUAAGGAUGGUUAUUGUUUUAAGAACAUUAACUUGUUAUUUCUGAACAAUUAAAUAUUAAAAUAUUUUAGUGGUAUAAUUUAAACUUGGGUCUGUAGUCAAAAAACAAAACUUGUUUCUAAUUUAUGUAAAGAAUAUUAUUUUUUUGAAUGAGCAAAGAUUUAAGGAUAGUUAUUGGCAUAUAAAUGUUUGAGAACUUUAAUUUUUUUUUGAGAUUCUACUAGUAUAAUUGUUUAAGGGUUUUUUAAAUAUUACUAAUUAAUUGUUAUUGAUUCGAAGAUUUUCAAAUUUCAUCAAAAUUCUUUAUUUAUUUAUGAUAAUAGUUUUUCAUUCUGUUUUAACAAAAUUUAACGUUAUUAAAAUAUAAUUUACAUUUUUUAUUCAUAAGAUACAACUUUCAAAAUAUUUUGGCAAUUAGAAUAAUGGAUGUAAGAUUUAAAAUCCGCUAUGUAAUUUGUUAUUUGAAUAUCACAACAACAAAUUACAUAGCAGUAGAGUUUACGUUUAUUUAGCUUUAAGUUUUGAGAUUAUUUUUUAAGUGUUUAGGGUUGGUAGAGUUUUAAGGUUAGAUGGGAUUUAUGAUUACGUUUAGGUAGGGUUUAGGGUUAGGUUUAGGCAGGGUUUAGGCUUAGCAGGGUUUUAGGGUUAGGUAGGGUUUAGGAUUAGAAAGGGUUUAGGGUCAGGUAGGGUUUAGGUUUAGGUAGGGUUAGGGUUUAUUAGGGUUAGAAAGGGUUUAGGGUUGGGUAGGGUUUAGGGUUAGAAAGGGUUUAGGGUUUGGUAGGGUUUAGGGUUAGAAAGGGUUUAGGGUUGGGUAGGGUUUAGGGUUAGAAAGGGUUUAGGGUUUGGUAGGGUUUAGGGUUAGAAAGGGUUUAGGGUUAGGGUUUAUUAGGGUUAGAAAGGGUUUAGGGUUGGGUAGGGUUUAGGGUAGAAAGGGUUUAGGGUUUGGUAGGGUUUAGGGUUAGAAAGGGUUUAGGGUUAGGUAGGGUUUAGGGUUAGAAAGGGUUUAGGAUAGGUAGGGUUUAGGGUUAGGUAGGGUUUAGGGUUAGAAAGGGUUUAGGGUUAGAAAGGGUUUAGGGUAGGUAGGGUUUAGGGUUAGGUAAGGUUUAGGGUUAGUAGGGUUUAGAAUUAGGUGGGGUUUAAGGGUUAGGUAGGGUUUAGAAUUAGGUAGAGUUUAGGGUUAGAAAGGGUUUAGGGUUAGAAAGGGUUUAGGGUUAGGUAGGGUUUGGGGUUAGUAGGGUUUAGGGCUAGGUAGGGUUUAGGGUUAUAUGGGGUUUAAGGUUGGGUAGGGUUUAGGGUUAGAAAGGGUUUAGGGUUAGGUAGGGUUUAGGGUUAGAAAGGGUUCAGGGUAGGUAGGGUUUAGGGUUAGGUAGGGUUUAGGGUUAGAAAGGGUUUAGGGUAGGUAGGGUUUAGGGUUAGGUAAGGUUUAGGGUUAGUAGGGUUUAGAAUUAAGUGGGGUUUAGGGUUAGGUAGGGUUUAGGAUUUGGUUGAGUUUAGGGUUAGAAAGGGUUUAGGGUAGGUAGGGUUUAGGGUUAGGUAGGGUUUGGGGUUAGUAGGGUUUAGGGCUAGGUAGGGUUUAGGGUUAGGUAGGGUUUAGGGUUAUAUAGGGUUUAGGGUUAGAAAGGGUUUAGUUAGGGUUUAGGGUUAGUAAGGUUUAUAGGGUUAGGUAGGGUUUAGGGCUAGAAAGGGUUUAGGGUUAGAAAGGUUUUAGGGUUAGGUAGGGUUUAGGUUAGGUAGGGUUUAGGGUUUGGUAGGGUAUAGGGCUAGAAUGGGUAUAGGGCUAGAAUGGGUUUAGGGUUAGAAAGUUUUUAGGUUUAGGUUAGGUAGGGUUUAGGGUUAGUAGGGUUUAGGGUUAGGAAGGGUUUAGGGUUAGAAAGGGUUUAGGGUUUAGUAGGAUUUAGGUUAGGUAGGGUUUAGGGUUAGGUUUAGGUAGGGUUUAGGGUUAGGUUUUAGGUAGGGUUUUAGGGUUAGGUAGGGUUUACGUUUAGGGCUAGGUAGGGUUUAGGGAUUAGGGUUAGGUUUAUGUAGGGUUUAGGGUUAGAUAGGGUUAAGGUCUAGGUUUAGGUAGGGUUUAGGUUUAGGUAGUAGGAAAGUUUUAGCGUUUAGUUUAGGUUGGUUUAAGGUUUGGUUUAGAAUAAUGCUUAGGAUUAUAGGGUAAGGUUUGUUUGUUUUUUUGUUUAUGCAUUUAGUGUUGAGUUUUUCGGAGAAAAUUUUAUAUUAAUAUUAUUGAUUCAUAAUUUUUCCUAUAAUAUUAAAAUUUUUAACGUAUAAAAAUAUAAAAUUUUAAUGUAUACAUUAUACAUAGGUGAAAAAGAAUUCAUGAGAAUAUUACUUUUCCUAAAAAAUUUGAUGAAAUUUUUUUUUUUUGAAAAAUAACUAGCGUAAAAAUCAAAACAAAUAUGUUCAUCUCUAACUAUCAAUAAAAUUUAAUUAACGGGCUAUCAUGUUUGAUUAGUAUUCACACAUUAUAUAAUUACACUUAAGUUACAUAAUCAAUCAUCAUAUACAUAGUUUCUCCAAAAGAGUGAAAUAAAUUUUAUCUCAAAUACUUUUCAUCAAAAACUUUUAAAAUGAAAAAAAAAAUUAGAAAAUAAAAGAAAUAAGAAAUUAGAUAUUAGUAGUUCAAUUAGAAAACCAAGCGAAGAUAAUUGUGAAAUCAAAACAAACAUGUUCUUUGAAGUGAAGAAGCUUGCACAAUGUUCUUUGAUUAAGAUCUUGUAGAGUUUGUUAACAUUUGUUUGUGUUCUUGCUCCUUAUUACAAGACCCAUUUGGCUAUUAUUGGAAAUGUGACUUUGUUAGCAUGUAGCUUUCCUUAUCGACAGGUAAUGUGACUUCGUUUGGUUUCUAUUUUUUUUAAUCUCUUCGAUUGAGACUUCAUGUGAAGUUGGCAUAGAGGUCUCUCCUCCUUUGUAUACAAUGGUCGCUCUUUAAUUGGAUUUGGAUAUGAUUUGAUUGUUUUUUUUUGGGUCUUUGUUCUUGAAAAUCUGAUUGUUUCAAGGUGCUUUGUUACAUUUUCCAUGUGGCGGUUUGGUUGUUCAUUUCAUGUUUAGUUUCCUGAGUACUCACUAUCCCUUGAAAAUCUGAGUGUUUCAAGGUGCUUUGUUACAUCCAUGUCUUGAUUUCUAAUGUGUAUGGUUUUCAUCCUGCGGUUUUAUUGUGGGUCCUUUCACUUCCCUCGCCCGUAAGUUAUUCCACUUUUUUAAUUGUUGAUGGAGAGAUUUCUUUUUCACAUGAGAUGAUUGUUGUUUCGUUCGACAGUGAUCAUUUUUCAUGCAAGCGUGAGAGAAUACCGAAUCUCAAGGCACGCUUAAACACAUUCCGUGAAGACUAAAGAGUUUCGAGCUGUCUGGCGUAACUACAAUGAACGUUUUGGUUUCAGGCUUUGGGGACGGUGAGAUUGAAGAUUGAACUUCAGUCACGUGGCUCUUUUUACUUAUUUCAACACCACUGGAUAAGCUCCUAAAGAGAUUUGUGGCCAAGAAAAAGUAUGAAUAUAAAUGGUGAAUCUAUGAGUCCAAGGACCAAAUCUCAAGAAUCUGUUCAACUUACAACAAUGCACAUUUUGAGGAAGGAGUGGGUUUGGUUUUUGAUAGAUAAGUCUAAUGCACAAGUUUGUGUUUUUUGUUUCUCAGUAGUACAACCACCACCACACAAAAAACAAAAAAAUUAUAUAUAAUUAAGAAAAUAGUGGAUCAUGCUUAAAGCGGUUUUACUGGAUCAUACUUGUUUAACUAUUCUAUGUGUUGAUCGAAUGAUGUUUAACCAUAUAAGAUAGCACAUAACCCAUUUGAUAUUUCUUCUUAAUCUAAUACUAUAUAUCAUUAUUAUUUGAGUGAUAUAUAAAUCAAGUUAUUCACUCAACAUCUAAAUUAUUUACCAAGAAAUUUAUCAGGAUAUAAUUGUGAUACCACUCAAAUUACCUUAAAUAGUGAAUUACUCUCUCAAAUAAGAAGUUCAAUUGUAGUACUUAGAGAUCGAAUCCACAAGGAGCUAGGGAACCUAUUUUAUUUAAACCUCCUAUUUUUUAUUUUCCAUUUUUCUUUAAUAUAGGAAAACAGUAUUUUUCUAUUUUUGAUUUUUUAUCAAAAGAUAUGUGUUAACACUUAUGAAAAUAUUGAAUUUUUCGGUAAAUGCUCUAUAUACUGAAGCCUAUGAUAUUUAGUAUUUUUAAAAAUUUCUAUACACAUUCCAAAUUUAUAUUAAUGUAUAUUAAAUUAUCUUUCAUCAUACAUGGGCAUCGUUUUAAUAUUUUGUCAAUUAAUUUGGUAAAACUUCAUAAUACUUCAUAAAUUGGUGAACUAACCACUAUAAAAUCAUUAUUCUCUAGAAAAACAAAGACAACAAAGGUUCCAAACCUCUUUGACCUUCAUCAUAUGUUAGUGAAUGAUGAAAAUAUGCAUUAAAACACAAUUUUUCAUAUUUUUGAUUUUUUCUCAAAAAUCUAUGUAUUAACCCCAACGAAAAUAUUGAAUUUUCGGUAAAUGCUUUAUAUACUAAAGCCUAUGAUAUUUAGUAUUUUUAAAAAUUUCUAAAAACAUUCUAAAUUUGUAUUAAUGUAUAUUAAACUCUCUUUCAUGGUACAUGGGCAUCGUUUUAAUAUUUUGUCAAUUAAUUUGGUAAAACUUCAUAAUACUCCCUAAAUUGGUGAACUAACCACUAUAAAAUCAUUAUUCUCUAGAAAAACAAAGACAACAAAGGUUUCAAACCUCUUUGACCUUCAUCAUAUGUUAGUGAAUGAUGAAACUAUGCAUUAAAACACAAUUUUUCAUAUUUUUAAAAUUUUCUCAAAAAUCUAUGUGUUAACCCCAACGAAAAUAUUAAAUUUUUCGGUAAAUGCUCUAUAUACUAAAGCCUAAGAUCUUUAGUGUUGUCUUAAAAUUUCUAAACACAUUCUACAUUAGUAGUAAUGUAUAUUAAACUCUCUUGUAUGGUCCAUGUGCAUCGUUUUAAUUUUUUUAUCAAUUAUUUAGUAAAACUUCAUAAUACUCCCUAAAUUGGUGGAUUAACCACUAUAAAAUCGCUAUUUUCUAGAAAAAACGGAGACAACAAAGGUUCAAAACCUCUUUGACCUUCAUAAUAUGUAAGUGCAUGAUGUAACUAUGCAUUAAAACAGUAUUUUCAUAUUUAAGAAUUUUUCUCAAAAUUUAUGUGUUAACCCUACGACAAUAUUGAAUUUUUCGGUAAAUGCUCUAUAUACUGAAGCCUAUGAUAUAUUAAACUCUCUUUCAUGGUACAUGGGCAUCAUUUUUAUUUUUUCAGUUAAUUUAGUAAAAAUUCAUAAUACUACCUAAAUUGGUGGACUAACCACUAUAAAAUCUCUAUAUUAUAGAGACACGAAGACAACAAAAGUUCCAAACCUCUUUGAACUUUAUCAUAUGUUAGUGAAUGAUACAAAUAUGCAUUAAAACAGUAUUUACCUUUUUGAAUUUUUAUCAAAAUCUAUGUGUUAAACCCUACGAAAAUAUUGAAUUUUUCGGUAAAUUCUAUAUACUGAAGCCUAUGAUAUUUAGUGUUUUUAAAAAUUUCUAAACACAUUUUAAAUUUGUAUUAAUUUAUAUUAAACUCUCUUUCAUGAUACAUGGGCAUCAUUUUAAUAUUUUGUCAAUUAAUUUGGUAAAACUUAAUAACACUCCCUAAAUUGGUUGACUAGCCACUAUAAAAUCGUUAUUCUCUAGAAAAAGAAAGAUAACAAAGGUUUCAAACCUCUUUGACAUUCAUCAUAUGUUAGUGAAUGAUGCAACUAUGCAUUAAAACAUAAUUUUUCAUAUUUUUGAAUUUUUCUUAAAAUCUAUGUGUUAACCCCGAACGAAAAUAUUAAUUUUUUUGGUAAAUGCUCAAUAUACUGAAACCUAAGAUCUUUAGUGUUGUUUUAAAAUUUCUAAACACAUUCUAUAUUUUUAGUAAUGUAUACUAAACUCUCUUUUUUGAUCAAAAAAAAACUGUCUUUUAUGGUCCAUGUGCAUCGUUUUAAUUUUUUUGUCAAUUAUUUAUUAAAACUUAAAAAUACUCCCUAAAUUGAUGGACUAACCACUAUAAAAUCGCUAUUCUCUAGAAAAAUAGAGACAACAAAGGUUCAAAACCUCUUUGACCCUCAUCAUAUGUUAGUGUAUGAUGUAACUAUGCAUUAAAAUAGUAUUUUAAUAUUUAUGAAUUUUUCUAAAAAUCUAUGUGUUACCCCCCUACGAAAAUAUUGAAUGUUUCGGUAAAAGCUCUAUGUAUUGAAGCCUAUGAUAUUUAGUGUUGCUUUAAAAAUUUAAAAAACAUUCUAAAUUUGUAUUAAUUUAUAUUAAACUCUCUUUCAUGGUACAUGGACAUCAUUUUUAUUUUUUCAGUUAAUUUAGUAAAACUUCAUAAUACUACCUAAAUUGGUGGAUUAACCACUAUAAAAUCGCUAUAUUAUAGAGACAUGAAGACAACAAAAGUUCCAAACCUCUUUGAACUUCAUCAUAUGUUAGUGAAUGAUACAAAUAUGCAUUAAAACAGUAUUUUCCUAUUUUUGAAUUUUUAUCAAAAUCUAUGUGUUAACCCCCUACGAAAAAAUUGAAUUUUUCGUUAAAUGCUCUUUAUACUGAAGCCUAAAAUCUUUAAUGUUGUUGUAAAUUUUCUAAACACAUUUUAAAUUUGUAGUAAUGUAUAUUAAACUCUCUUCUAUGGUACAUGGGCAUCGUUUUAAUAUUUUUUCAAUUAAUUUAAUAUAACUUCAUAUUACUCCCUAAAUUAGUGGACUAACCACUAUAAAAUCGUUAUUCUCUAGAAAAACAGGGAUAACAAAGGGUUCCAAACCUCUUUGACAUUCAUCAUAUGUUAGUAAAUGAUGCAACUAUGCAUUAAAACAGUAUCUACAUAUAUUUGAAUUUUUCUUAAAAUCUAUGUGUUUUUUGGUAAUAUUUAGUUUGUCGGUAAAUGUUCUAUAUACUGAAGUCUAUGAUAUUUAGUGUUUUUAAAAAUUUCUAAACACAUUAUAAAUUUGUAUUAAUGUAUAUUAAACUUUCUUUCAUGCUGCAUGGGCAUCGUUUUAAUUUUUUGUCAGUUAUUUUAGUUAAACUUCAUUAUAGUCUUCUAAAUUGGUGGACUAACCACUAUAAAAUCGUUAUUUUCUAGAGAAACGUAAACAACAAAAGUUUCAAACCUCUUUGACCUUCGUCAUAUGUUAGUAAAGGAUACAACUAUUCAUUAAAACAGUAUUUUCAUAUUUUUGAUUUUUUCUCAAAAUCUAUGUGUUAAUAACCCCUACGAAAAUAUUGAAUUUUUCGGUAAAUGCUCUAUAUACUAAAGCCUAUGAUCUUUAAUAUAUUGUUUUAAAAUUUAUAAACACAUUUAACAUCUGUAUUAAUGUACAUUAAACUCUCUUUCAUGGUACAUGGAUAUUGUUUUAAUUUUUUGUCAGUUAAUUUAGUAAAACUUCAUAACACUCCCUAAAUUGGUGGACUAACCACUAUAAAAUCACUAUUUUCUAAAGAAACGAAGACAACAAAAGUUUCAAACCUCUUUAAUCUGCAUCAUAUGUUAGUGAAUUAUGCAACUAUGUAUUAAAACAGUAUUUUGAAUUUUUGAAUUUUUCUCAAAAUCUAUGUGUUAACAACACCUACGAAAAUAUUGAGUUUUCUAUAAAUGUUAUGAUCUUUAGUGUUGUUUUAAAACUUCAAAACACAUUAUACAUUUGUAUUAAUGUAUAUUAAACUCUAUUUCAUUGUACAUGGGCAUCGUUUUAAUUUUUUGUCAAUUAAUUUAGUAAAAUUUCAUAAUACUCCCUAGUUUGAUGGACCAACGAUUAUAAAAUCGCUAUAUUCUAGAGACUCGGAGACAACAAAAGUUUCAAACUUCUUUGAACUUAAUCAUAUGUUAGUGAAUGAUGUAACUAAUUGUUAAAACAGUAUUUUCAUAUUUUUGAAUUUUUCUGAAAAUCUAGGUGUUAACAACCCCUACAAAAAUAUUGAAUUUUUCGGUAAAUGAUCUAUAUACUGAAGGCUAUGAUCUUCAGUGUUGAUUUAGAAUUUAUAAACACAUUCUACAUUUUUAUUAUUAUAUAUUAUACUCUCUUUCUUGGUACAUAGGCAUCAUUUUAAUUUUUUGUCAAUUAAUUUAGUAAAACUUCAUAAUACUCUCUAAAUUGGUAGAUUAACCAUUAUAAAAUUGUUAUUUUCUAGAGAAACGGAGACAAUAAAAGUUCCAAACCUCUUUGAACUUCAUCAUAUGUUAGUGAAUGAUGCAACUAUGCAUUAAAACAGUAUUUUCAUAUUUUUUAUUUUUUUCUCAAAAUCUAUGUGUUAACUAACCCCUACGAAAAUAAUAAAUUUUUCGGUAAAUGCUCUAUAUACUGAAGCCUAUGAUAUUUAUUGUUGUUUUAAAUUUUUAAACACAUUCUAAAUUUUUAUUAAUGUAUAUUAAACUCUCUUUCAUGGUACAUGGGCAUCGCUUUAAUUUUUUAUCAGUUAAUUUAGUAGAACUUCAUAAUACUCUCUAAAUUGGUAGUUUAACUACUAUAAAAUCUCUAUUUUCUAGAGAAACGGAGACAACAAAAGUUUCAAACCUCUUUGAACUUCAUCAUAUGUUAGUAAAGGAUGCAACUACGCAUUAAAACAGUAUUUGCAAAUUUUAAAUUUUUCUCAAAAUUUAUGUGUUAACCCCUACGAUAAUAUUGAAUUUUUCGAUAAAUGCUCUAUAUACUGAAGCCUAUGAUCUUUAGUGUUAUUUUAAAAUUUCUAAACACAUUCUAAAUUUUUAUUAAUGUAUAUUAAACUAUCUUUCAUGGUACAUGGGCAUCUUUUUAUUUUUUGUCAAUUAAUUUAGUAAAAUUUCAUAAUACUCCCUACAUUGGUGGACCGACCACUAUAAAAUCAUUAUUUUCUAGAGAAACGAAAACAACAAAAGUUUCAAACCUCUUUGAACUUCAUCAUAUGUUAGUGAAGGAUGCAACUAUGCGUUAAAACAAUAUUUUCAUAUUUUUGAAAUUUUCUCAAAAUUUAUGUGUUAACAACCCUUACAAAAAUAUUGAAUUUUCGGUAAAUGCUCUAUAUACUGAAGUCUAUGAUUUUUAGUGUUGUUUUAAAAUUUAUAAAUACAUUCUACAUUUGUAUUAAUGUAUAUUAAACUCUCUUUCAUGGUAAAUGGACAUCGUUUUAAUUUUUUGUCAAUUAAUUUAGUAAAACUUCAUAAUACUCCCUAAAUAAGUGGACUAACUAUUAUAAAAUCGAUAUUCUCUAGAAAAAUAGAGACAACAAAGAUUUCAAACAUCUUUAACAUUCAUUAUAUGGUAGUGAAUGAUGCAACUAUGCAUUAAAACAUACUUAUAUUAAAGAAUGUAUCACAAGCUGUUCAGAAAUCAAUACAAAUUACAUAAACACAUAUUAUUGGAAUAUUAAUAUAUUAAAAGAGUGAAUUACACAAUACAUGCAAACUUUUAAUUAAAAUUACAACCGGAUAUAUAUAUAGCCACUGCAAAUCCACAUUCGGACUGAGUGCAUUUUUUAACACAUAACGACACUUACAGUAACAAUUUUACACCCGAAAAAUUGCAUAAAAUACCCAAACAUUUAUGAAUAUUACACAUAUAUAAUGAUAUUAUAUAUAUCUUGGAAAAUGAAAAAAUACUUCUCCAAAAUAUAAAAAAAUGAAGGAAAUAAAGAAGAAAAAACCUUGGAAGACUUUGUUGUCGUCUCAAACUCAGGGAGAUGAAUAAUUUCAUCGCUCAUCAGGCACACGGUCGGACCAUGAAACCCGGAAAACCCAGUUAGAGACUGUCUUCUUCCUCAAACUCUUGAGCCUUUCAUGGCUGCUUCUUGAUAUCAUCCGUCCACAGUCUGUGGACUCUACGAAUGUUUUGAGCCUCUUCAAGGCCAAAUCGAGUGUACCCUCGCUCAUAUUAGCGAAACAAACCCUAAACCAACCCGGUUCGGUGCAGUGACACGACGAACCGGGUGAGAUGUUUAGUUUCACGUUGUAGACAAUCUUUUUCCAGAGGUCGAGCUCUGCUUCGAAUGUGUUUGUGUCCAAGAGGUGUCUCAUGUCGACCCAACAGAACAAACCCGCAUUGCUUCUCAAGCAAGUAAUCCCCGCGGACUCAAGACCAGACACUAGGCGCUUUUGUCUGGACUUGAGCCGUUUCUGAUUCUCCUCGAGGUAUUGGCUUGUGAACUUUUUGUCUGAGAGCAAUGCAGAGAGAAGGUAUUGAGUCUGAGAAGAAACAAGACCGAAACUCGACAUUUUUGUCGCUGCGGAAACGAUCAUUUCAUCGUUGGAGUAGAUCGCUCCCACGCGGAAACCAGGAAGCCCUAGAUCUUUGGAAAGGCUGUAAACGACGUGGACUCUUUUAGAAACCUCGGUGUUUUCGAGUUUCUUGUCUUUCAAGACAUCCAUCACGCUUAUGAACUGUUCAAACCCGAACAUAGUGCCUGAGUAGAUCUCGUCGCUGAUGAGAUGAAUGUUCUUGGAAGUGAUGAAGUCAACGAGAAGGUUAAGUUCACGUCUGGUCAACGCAGUGCCAAGUGGGUUCGAUGGAUUCGUGACAAGAACUCCUUUGACUUUGAGAUCAAGUUUGUGGGCUUGUUGGUAAGCUUGUUGAAGAGCUGCUUCCGUGAUUUGGAAGCCAUUGGAGCUUGAGCAGUGAAUCGGCACGAUCUCAGCUCCAGUUCUCCAUUUAAGAUCUCUAUCAAAUCUGUAAUCAUUAAAAAGCCAAAGCGUAAACAAGAGAGUUUUUAAUGAGUUUACUUGGAAUCCAAGUAAAGUGGAGCUAGGGUUAUAAUUGUAACUUACCCAGGAUAGUAAGGAGUAGGCAAGAGGAAAGCAUCGCCAGGCUCAGCGAGACAAAACAUGAGUGUCUCGUUCGCUGAGGUCGAACCAGCGGCUAAAACAAUCUUUUUGGGAUCAAAUGUGACUCUGUUUCCUCUUAUCUCUUCCAUGAACUCAGCCAUAGCCUAUAAAAAAAAAAGAGAAAAUACAUACGUUCAUGAGAAUUGAGAAAAUAAUUUCAUUACUUGCGAUACAAGUUAUUAGGUUUAUGUCUCUUAUCCAAUUUAAAGAAAACAAAAUAAAGCUUACUUUUUUGAAUUCAGGCAUGCCGUGAUAGUCUUGAAAGAGAGCAAGCUCUCUGAAAAUGGAUUGACCGUUCCUCUUGAGACUAGCUGCGUCUGGGUUCCUAGCUAACCAUGACUCGAUGAGAUCGAAACAUAGCUGAUUUUCGGCAAGACCCAUCUGGAUCAUCCCAUUAGGGUUCUUGAUCUCAUCGUAAGGAUUCUUCUCGUACUCUUCCCAUCCCAAGAAGUAGGAUGAGUCUUGUCCAUGACCGUUGCCUGUCACUUUUGUUGAAAGCUGUUUCAUUUUUCUGAUUUUAUGUCAAGAAAUUUUGGUCGAAGAGAGAAUUAAUGAGAGGAAAGAGAGAGAGAGAGAGAACAAAAAAAGAGAUCUUGGUUUAGGGUUUAAGCUGGUGAAGAGUGAGAUGUGUUUGAAGAAUCAAUGGGUAUGUUGAGGGAUAUAUAUAGAUAACAAUCUUACGACAUUUUAUCCCAAAAAAUAAAAAAGUGUGACAAAAGAAUCAGAAACUAGACACUCUUUUGACCGCCCAGACAUUAACACAUUUUUAGUAAAUUUUCGUUAAGACAUGUGAGACAAUUUAUUUUAUUGUGUUUUAUUACGACUCUAACAAUCAUUCAGCUAUUAUUUGAUGAGAAUUGAUAUUCAAUAUAUUGCAAUAUAGAGCUUUAUACUAUAUGAAAAUAAGAGUGAUCCAUUAUUGAACUUCUAUUUAUUAUUGCAUUCACACAUACGGCGAUAAAUCUUAGUAUUGGUUUUAUUCAGAAAGUUUCAAUUAUACAUACACACAAAAUUAAAUGAUAGAAUUUGAGCUGAGUUCCCUGAUUAAUUUGUUCGUUUCCUAGGAUUUGAAUAUUAAAUAAUUUUAGUAGGGAUAAGAAAUAAAACGAUAAUAUAUUAUUAAAAUAAUGAUAUUAAGUUUAAUUAAAUGAUUAACCUUUACGCGUUUCCGUCACCGCCGGACCGCCCUUGUUAUGACCAUCAUUUAGGGACCAAAUAUGCCAAUUAAAAAAAGCAAACUCAUAUGCCAUAUAUAAAUGGUUUAUUUAUAAAAAUCGAAUUACUAUUAUUUUAUUUUUUUGUAGUUAUGGUAAUAACAACAGAAUCCCGCUCAAUGGAGUUAGAUAUCAACUCAUGAACUAAUAUGCAGUCUACGUACCCUUUCUUCAAUAUUGUUUGUUGUCUUUUUCCAAUACUAAUGACUUGUAAAUCAACUACUAAAUACAGAUGGUAAAACUAUCAGAUAUCAUUUCUACGAAUAUUGUGACAUAACACGAAAUUUUCUUAUCAUAACUAGUGUCAACAGAGUUAUAUAAAUACUAAUAAAAUAAAAUAAAAAGUGGUAAACGUAAAAUUAGAAAGCAAGGAAAAUAACAUACAAGAAAAAGGAAGAGAGACAAGUGGGGAUCAAAAGUAAUGCUCAUGAAUCGCUUGAAGAAAAUGUAUUAUCUCAUUAAGUUGAUCGUGUAUACGUAUGCAUGUACAUAUAUAUACAUCUAAAAUACAUAUAUUUAUACUGAAGAUGGUAAGUCAAAGAGAACCAUUUAUGCUCCCUAUACUAGCUAGUAGUCCUGAAUAAGUUGGUCCGCCUUUAAUUUUUUUCUCCGGUCAUAUUGACAUCGACUUGUCAAUUUGGUGGGAUCAUUUUCAUGCAAUGCAAGUAUACCUUUUUCACGACUAGCCAUGAUCGACGUAUACUUUCUUUUUUAGCAAAGAUCGACGUAUAUAUGUACUAAUGUAUAUCAAUAGAAGUAUAUAACAAAGUAUGACGUUUUAGCAUAAAUCUGUAGAUCAAUCAGAUUCCAAUUUUGAGAGAAAACAUGGACUUGUAUAUAUUGAGCCACAUUGUUGCAUAUUUCGAUAACCAACGAAGUUGAUGAUUCUGGGAUGGUAACCAUGGAAAAGUGUAUGACCAGAAGAAGACUAUAUAUUUAAAAUAAAUUUAUCUCUGGUUGGAAGAAGGAAUUAAUGUCUUCAUCAAAAAGAAGGAAUUUAUAUUUUUAUAUGUGGUUUUUACUGAACUUAUUUUCAUCCCGCAUAUAUGAAUUUAAGAAAUUGAAAAGCAUAUAUUUCUGAACUGUUUUUCUGAAGAAGAAAAAAAAGCACAAGUAGGUUGCGCAACGAGUUAUUCAAACAUGGGAUUUAAAAUGGUGAUCUAUUAAUUUGGACAUAGGUUAAUAUGAUUACUUAACAUUUAAUCAAUCUAGUUGCGUUAAAUUUAACAAACAAAAUCAGGUGGACGAGAUCAAGGCAAUGCUGGUAGGCUGGUAGCCGCUGGUUUAUAUAACUUAUCCCCCAGAUUUUCAAGUGACGUUGUUCGAUUUAAGUUUGACUCCAACGAUCAACUAACUUAACUGAAUAUUCUUUGGUAGGUAUUAUAUAGUGGUUAUUGUUUCUCUAAAAUAAUAAAACCCUCAACGUCAAGAAACGUUAUCUUAUAGCAAUAUCUAAGAUACAUUUAAAAAUAAUAAUGAAUGAGACAUUGCGAUUUUCUCAAAUUAUUUUUCAAGAUUUCAUAAAUAUCAAACUGAUUUGAUUGGUGCGGCCAAAAUGGGUCCUUGAAUAACAACUUCUAAUAAUGAUAAAAAUAAAAAGCAAAACGACCCAUUGAAACUAGCAUGUGAAAUCAUCAUACUGAUGAUGAUGAAGCCAUAUAUUUCGGUAUUUAUCAUCUUAGUCUUGAUUGCGUUUCCUGAAACUACCAAAAGAUAUCAUAUCAACCUGAUAAAUGCAAUCAUAUAAUUAAUAUCACAUAAUAGUUUUAGAUUUAAAAUUAAUUUUAAAAAUCAAAUCAGAACAUAUUUUUAUUAUAUAUCAUUAAAAAUAGAUUUGUUAGAUUUUUAUAUUAUAGAUUAUUAUAUUAGAAGAAAGGGAAUAUGGGCAAUGUUUUUAAACCCGACCCGGACACUGAACCGGACGACUUACCGGGUUGCUGGGUCACUGGGUCGACUGCGGGUGAACCACGGAUGAACCGCAAGUUAAUAAAUGAAUUAAUUUUAUUAUAUAAUAAUAUAUCAGCUAUGUAAAUAAAAAUAUAAAAACUAAAUUUAAAUAUUUUCUAAUUUUUUUUAAAAACAUAAAAUAAUAGUUUGGAUAUGUAUAUAUUUUAUACUUAAAAACAUUUAAAAAAUACUUAACUUUAGUUUUUAUAUUUUUAUUUUCAUUUGACAUACAAAAUAUCAAAAAAUAGUUUAGACUAUUUAAAAUUUUCUCUAACAAGGUAAGAGUUAUGACAUCUAAAAAAAUCAAAACAUAAAAUUUAUAAAUAUUUAAAUGUUUAAUGUGAAUAAUAAAUUAAACUUCAAAUACAAAAUAAACCAAAAGUAAAAGAUCAUUGUAAUAAAUUGUUAAUAACGGAAAUAAACUAACACUAAAUCACAUCAACUAAUUUUGGUUUUCUCUACCAUGGUUCAUUUCAUUUUCUUUAUGUCAUAUGGCAUAGUAAAGUUUUCAUCAAAAUCUAAAAAUCAGAGAUAUAAAACUGAAAAGAAAAAACCAACUUUUUUUGUCAGCACCUAACUUCUUAGUUGGAAACUUAGAAUAUAAAACAUAAUCUGAAAACAUAAUUAAAAACUAAAAAAAAGAAGUAAAAAUUAUUUAUUGGUUGAACCCGUGGUUCAACCGGCAUCGGGUUCCGGGUUUUACUGGGUUUUUACGGGUUUUUGCGGGUUUCUAAAUAUUGGGUUUUUUACAAAACCCAAACCGGAUUUUUUCUGGGUCACCGGAUUUACCGGUUCAACCGCGGGUCCGGGUCGGAUUUCAAAACACUGAAUAUGGGAGAAUAAUAUUAUCUCAACAAUUUGUUUGAUGAAUUCAAGUUUAAUCAAAACAAGUACUGUAAAUUAUUUUUGAACAAAUCAUAAUCUGAUAUUUUGAUAAAUAAUCGUGAUAAUACUUCUUUAAAAAAUAUAUAUGAAGAAAAAAAAGAAACUGCUAAAGUUUGAACUGUAUGUAGUAUAUGGAAAUUUUUCUCUAAAUUUAUUUGAUCUGGUUAUAGAUAUCAGAUGGAAAAAGUUAUGUAUAUAUUUGUCUUAUAUUUAAAUGUUUUAUAAAAUAAGAAAAAAGUUUAAAAAUAAGAGAGGAGGUAGAGACGUGAGGGAGGCACAUGGAGAUGCAGUAGAAAUAGGGUUUAAGAAUGCAUGUGAACAGUAUAGGUUAUAAGACCCUACCCACCCCCAAAUCCCUACAUCAAACAACAACAUUUUGUGACAACCAUCGUGAUCUUUCUUCCUUCCAUUUUUGUUUUAGUUAAUAGCCACUACUCAUGUUCCAAAAAUUGAAAACGUGGGUCCCAUAAAACUCUCAAAACCUGAUAUGUGUUUUGUAUAUUUGAAUGUUUUAGUGAAUCUUCAUUCCAACUGAUCUCUCUUGUCUAAUUGAGGUUGUAAUUCACCUUUUCGGGUGAAACAACGUUUUAUAGAUUCUUAGUCUCCGUCAAAGUGAAAUGUGGUUCACUAUAAGCAAGAUUCAUGAAUUAGAAUUAUGAAAAAAAACUUUCUGCUAUGAUUUCAUCCAUGGUUUGAAUAUUUUUACUAUGAUUCCAAUUAUUUUAGACAUAAUCAGUCACGGUAAAUAUCCUAAAUAAAAUAUUUGGUAAUAAAUUUUUGAGGAUUAUUGUAGUUUCGGUUCAAAAUUAUUCUGCAUGCUAUUAAAAGAAAAAUAAAAUAUUUGGCUUUUUAAUACAUAUUUUGUGACAUCUUAUUUGGAAUUAUAAAAUUUACAUGUUUCACGAGAGAAGAGAAGGAACGAUAAACCAAUUGGGUAGGUCAUAUGACUAUAUCAAAGCCAAUGAUAAACCAAAUAAAUACUUUGAUGAAAUAAAGAAAAAUAUUCCCACCUGCAUUAGAUACCACCAUGUUAACAAACAGCAUGGUCAACUUAUGUUUAUGUCUUUACACCAUUGUGUGUCUCCCCCCCUCGUUUUCCAUAUUCAUAAAACCUAGGCUGUGUUUUUUGUUUGUUUGUUUGUCAUUUUGGACAAACAGUUCCAUUUUGUAACCUACUGUGGAUUGUAUGCAAAUGUAAAAAUGAUUCAUUUAGGCUACUCUAAUAUAUAUCAUAAGAUUAGCCCGUGUUUUGGCUAAGUCAAGAGAGAAACCUAUAUGCCUAAUGUAACCUGGACCAUUCUUAUAGUGCCUAUACAUUUCAAUUAACAUAUGGACUUUAUCAUUGGGCCUAAUACAUUUAAUCAGAUCAAGCAGAGAGGGAGCAGUGCACAGGCCUCUUCUUGACUUGUAGAGUAACUAGAGUUGCCUCUAACCUUAGACAUGCCUCUUCUUGAUUUGUCUAUCAGAUUUUAAAAUGAAACAAAUGCAGGCUAAUUUAUUAAAUAUAUUUAAAACUUGUUGAAAAAGUUUAAAUAUAUUAAAUUAAGAAUCAAAUAGUUGAGAAUGUGUUACAACUUACAAUCUUGUGGAACUUUUCUAUUACCUUCUACGGAGGGAAAAAUACAUAACAGAGAGGAGAUAUAUCUAAUAUCUGGUAUGAUGCUUUUCAAAACCAGUAAUAAUUAUAAGAUUAGAAUCGAGAAACAAAACUCCACCAAGGAAAAGCAUGCAUACAUACAAAACUUUGGUUACCAAAGAUCUCAGAUCCGACAAAAUACGUGUGUGAACGCUUUUCUUUCUUUUCCAAAGCUUAGAAAAUUUCACUAGCGGAGAGCUUCCUAGUGUUUAUUGUCAAACAUAACAUUGUGUUGGUUUUUGAUACCGCUUGUGCGUCUAACUGGAGACGUGAGGAACCGACGAAACAUAUGGUUACUGGUAAAACUUUUGAGAUAAUUGGAUUUUUAUUGUCAACAGACAUUGGUUAGGCUUGUAAUAGCGCAUGCAAGCAUUUUUCCAACGAUAGGUAAGAAAGAUAAAAAAGUUUAGGCGUGGACCAGCAAAAUAUUCGACCCCAAUUUAGUAGAAACAAAAUAUAGAUUCAAACUCAAACAAAAUGAUCAAAGCUUUUUAUACGAAAAAGACUUAAAAAUAACGUGAGUAUUCUUUGCUUUUAUGUGAUUAUAGUACAAGUUAAAACACAAUUUGUAAGUUAUGAUAAUCAUGGAUGCAAGCAUAUUUUUAGUUUAUGCUAGUGGACCAGCAAAAAGAUCAACUUCAGUUUAGGUUCAUGUCCGUCUCCAAAUAUAAAGCCCAAAUAUGAUUAUUGAUUUCUUUGUUCAAGCCCAAAAUUAUUCUUGGAUUAAAGUCCCGUGGCAAGUCAUAUGAUUUAAAACUACAGUUCGUAUAAAAUUUUACAUUACGGGCAAAAAGGCUCAAAACCAUAAAGCAUUGUCCACUCUUAAUAUCAUAUCAAAGAGACAUCUUUGAUGGAAGUUACCUUUGUCAAACUGUUCUUUACAAUUAGAAUAUAAAAUUUCACAUACAAGUAUGAUAGAGGUACAUUGAAUACAAAAAAAUUAGCUUAGUAAAUAUUUGGAAAUUGUUUUUCGAAAAAAAAAGACGUUUGAGAAGAGAGCUCAUAUUCUAUGGGUGUAUAAUAAGUCUAUCAUGCCCAGAAAUUGAGCAAAUCAGAUUUUUUUGAUUCUUGUGGUUUAUAAUCACUGCUCUCUUCUCCAAUCGAUUUUGAAACAAAUAAAAUCACAGCACAAACUUUUUUUUAAAAAAAAGUCAAUAAAAUCGGCAACGAACAUCAUGAAUUGAAAAAAAAACAUAUUUUAAUUCUGAAAGAGAGAAAAUAAUAGAACAUAAGAAUAACAAAGACCCUCUUUUUGUUUCUGCUAUAGAGGUUGAUGCUGGAGAUGGUGUUUAGUGGCUCUUUAUAUACCCGACAGAGCAAGCUAGGGUUUCAUUGGGCUUUUAUAGGCUUUUAAUAAUUUCAAUUGUAUAUCAAUGGGCCUGAUUUUAUGGGUCUUAUUAGCUUAUAGUUGUGAUGGGUCUUAUUACUCACGCUGACUUGCUCUCUAGUAUUUAUAAACUGUUUACGCUAGAAUACACGGCACUGAGUUUGGAAUGUGAAAUGUGCUUGUCAUGUGUAAAUAUGCAACAAAAAAAAAAAAAACGUUUCUGGAAACAUUUUCAAAAGCAUCUUAUCAUGAACAAAUUAAAGUUACUUUUAAGCUGUUGAAUGUUCUUGUUUAUUAGAAACAGUUGAAAGAGUAGAGUAACUUGGACCAUAUAUAUACAAGGUCACAUUUCAGCCAUGUUUUUAGUUUAUAUUUUAGUUUUAAAAUAGCUUAUAAUUAAUUCUCUUGUUUUUUUUUUACAAACAAAACAUUAUAAUUUCGGUUUGAUACUAUAUAAUCAGGUGGACGACCAGUCGUUUAGUUUUCCACAAUUUGAUAGGUUUUAUGCGAAUUCGACUAUGUAUUAACGUACUUAAUUACGUAGUAAGUUAUCAUAGUAUAGAUUCAUCAAAAUAUCAAAUGCUUUGGGGGAGGAAAGCAAAAGCAUUUGAAAAGGAAAAGGAAAAGCGAGAUUAGAUUUCUUGUAAAAAGUUAGCUUUUGCUUUUCUUUUUGAUCGAAUUUUGGAGAUUUGGAACUCUUGGACCCCCCCCCCCCCCCCCCCCCCCCCCCUCUUUCAAAUUUGUCAUUACUCUCUCUUUUCCACAAUUGAUCGAUUAGAUUUGUCAAAAAAAAAAAAAAAGAGAAAUAAAGGUCUAAAGUGCACUUAAUUAAGUCAUGACUGGUGGACAUAUGAUUAUGAGGUCACCAGAAAAUUCCUAUCUUGAAUGUCUUAAUAUUUUGAAACAAUCCACCUGUUAAAAUUCAUAUACAUUAAAUCAUAUUCAAGCGAACGUGAAUCGUUAGGGUUAUAAUUUUGUCAUGUACAUAUAUAAAUCUCAGUUCCCACCAAUUAAUAUAUUAUCGACAUUAGCGGCUAUGUAGCAUUUAUGUUGUUUUCAGCGACCUAGAAUAUCGUAUACUCCAUAAUCCAUAUAAUAUCAUAACCAGUUUAAAAAAAAGUUAAUAAGAAGAGAAAGACUCCCAUAUAACCUAACAAAUAGUAAAUAUCCUAUGCCUUACUUGAAACGUAUUUACAACAUGUAAAAUACUAAUCGUUUUUACCUAAUUAGUAGUAAAUACCCUAUCCAUUGAUUCUGGAAACUUAGUUACAAACUAAACAUAAAAUACUAAUAGUAUUUCGUACAUAUUUCCUUUGUGUCGACAACGAAUAGUAUAGUUUAUCCUCGUAAAUCUCAAAUUACGUGAUCUCUCAGCAUUGACGGAUUCUGAUGGACCGUUACAACAGUACUGUUAACGCACGACCAAGUGGCACACGUUGAGCUCUGCUGGAUUUGUCGCAGCACCAAAGCUUGUCUUAAGCUCAUCAGCUUCUCAUGUAGAAUUUGGUUUUCCACUCGUAGACGAUCAUUUUCCAUAUUCGCGCCUUGACAAUGGUGCAUAACGUACCGGAGCUGGUUUUCUAGUUCUCGGUUCUCGGUAUUGAGCUGGUUAAGCUGGCUUCUCAAGUCGUCUAGAUAUUUUUGUUUCUUCAUCCUUGACCGCCUAGCAGAUUCCGGAUUUGAUUUUUUCCGUUUCUUUUGCCGCUCAUCCUUUUUAGGGAAGAAAACGUUCAAACCGGUCAGGUUAGAAGGUCUGUCUUCCAUACCAGGACAGGGGUCGCUUUUGUUUAGAACUUGACAUGAGUUUGUUUUCUCAACAGCAGGAUCACUUCCACGGGACAGACCGGUGAAUUAAAGAUGGAGAAUAUAUCUGACGCGUCGUCCCAGGGAGUGAAUCUAGUUUCCAAUGUCUGUAAAUGAUUGGCAACUAUCUGUUGAGAUAAGAAACCUGGUAAAAUUGAAGACAUAAUAAAACCAAAUUUAAAACGAAACAAAAUAGUUUUUUCAAAAUGCUAUAUGAAAGGAAGAGUAGAAGGGGAAAAGGGAAGAGUUGCAUUGUAGGAGUCUCAUAUUUAUGGACAGAUUUCUUGAGCCUUGGGGCAUGCACGAGGGUACUCUUGUCUUUAGCUUUUCCAUGGUUCCAGACAAAGAGGAAGACAAAUGUGAGAAAGGUUCGAGUCAGGAGAGCGACAGUAUCUGGAUACGUGUAAUUAUGGGAUUAGACAUAGCUCAAAGUAAGCCGGAGAGCGUCUUUUUCAUUCUUGAUUAUUUACGCAUUUGCCUUUAUAUAUACCGAAUAUUCGUUUCCAAUAUAUACUUGUAAAAGUCGCAGACUCAAUCCAAAAACAAUAAUAAUUCUUCUGAUUUAUUUGACAUUUACUUUUAGUUAUAUACACUGUAACAUCAACUCAGCUGUGGAUAAUAUCAUAAUAUUCAUCUAAUCUACCGAUGAUAACAUAUCUUUUCGUGUGCGGAUAAAACGAGUUUUGCUUUGGUUUGGAUAACAGCUUUUCAUAGUGAAAAAUGACGGCAACAACAACAAACUAAUUAUAGUCUGGAUUGUUUGAAAGAAUGUGCAAACAAAACCUCCGUAUCAAAACUUAUCUCUCGAUCAUUUUUCCUCUAUCCAUAGUUUCUUUUUUUAUUUCUAAAAAUGUAAAUUUCAUUUCAAGAGAUGAAGAUUGAGGAGUACUAAUAGUGAUCAGCUAAUUGAUAGACCUUUGAAACUGGUUCCAUGACAAAAAGGUAAAAAACAUGGAAGCAAAUGCAAUUGAUGCUUCAUUCGUUCAGUGUGGUAGCGACGAGGAGAAGUAAACGAUGGAGACUUAAAACACUUGAAUGAGAGUGAGAAAUCGAGCAGAUACAUGUAUGUUGGGAGAAAUCCGAAUACAAAGUGGAGCCACAACCAACUAAGCGGAAUGCGUUACAUUACAUACUAUGGUAAUGUACUUUCAACCAUACUAUAAUGCGUUACAUUACAUACUUUUGGGAAUUGACGGUCACGGUUUGUUCCUUUUUGAUAACGAUAUAAUGUAUUUAUAUGAUAAAUGAAGCUCCUUGUAGAACUUUAAGUUUUGUGCACGUAUAUAUAUGCUUUAGUUCUUGAAAUGCUGUUUACAUUUCAUGCUGAAAAUAACUUCAGUCUAGCUGCUAGCACGUUCUUGAAAAUUAUCUACUAUAUUUUGAAUACCCGUCCAUUAGUGCUGGGAAUAUGAAUCAUUAUCCGCGGGUCCCGCCCCAUUUGACCUGCUGCGGGGCGGGUGUGGGUUGAGUGAUUUGAAAAAUUUGGUUCGCGGGUGCGGAUGCGGGUUGAGUGACUUUUAUGCGGGGCGGGUGCGGAUUAGCCAAAAUUCAGUGCGGGUAUCCGCCAACCCGCAAAAACUAAAAAAAAAGAUUUUUUUUAAAAAAUAUUAUUUUUAAAUGGAAAAUUUUUAAAAAAUAAUUUAAUUUUAAUUAUAAAUAGAUUAAUAUUUAUUAUUUUUAAUAAAAAUUAUUUAAAAUAUUAAAUUUUAUUGUUAUUUUUAAUAAAAAAAAUAUUUAAAUAUUAAAUUUUAUUCUUAUUUUUAAUAAAAAAUAUUUAAAUUAAUAAUUUUUAAUAUUAUUAAUAUUAUCCGCGGGUCUAGCGGAUCACCCGCGGGUUUAAGCGGGGCGGAUGCGGAUUUCAUAUUUUCUUCUUGCGGGUCACGCGGGUCAAAUUUUUUGAGUUAAAAAAAUCAGUUUACCCGCGGGUUGGCGGGUCAGCGGGGCGGGUUUGACCCGCAACCCAGCUCUACCGUCCAUAUAUACGUUUUAACUUUUAACUUACGUUAUACGGUCUUUUACCAAAAAAAAAACUUACGUUAUACGGUCCAUGAAACACACAUUUUUAACAUUCUAAGUUUUGGUAUAGUGUAACCUCUAUGUUAUUAGGUAUUAUGAUUUAUGACUUGAUUUGCGAAAAAGUACUAGUAUAAUAAGUUUGGAUACUAAACAAGACAUCUCAAAUAAAUACUUUAUAGAGAGAGCAUGGUGGUAGUUUUCUUAACGGCAAAGCUCGGUUCAAAGCAGCCCUACGUACCCUAAGAAUGCAAAUUUUCAAAAAAACAUAACACACUUUCUACUUUUAUACACAUGCAUGUGCACACCAUCUUUCGUUCUAUUUAAAACUAUAUGUGUUUAUUUUUUUCCCUAAUAACAAUCAAGUAGUCAUUGUUGAAGUUAAUUACUCUAUUUCAAAAAACAUGUCAUAGAAAUUAGACUGUCUUCAUUACAUUUUAACUAUUGAAAUUAUAAUCGACGUUUUAUUGCUAUUAUUGAUUCUUAAAACCACUUUCGUUAUUUGCUUACAGUUGGUUUUAAGGAGUUAAAGCAUCUCCAAAAAAAAUUAUAUAAUUUUAAAUAUAUAUAGAGUUUUUGCUCUAAAAAAAACUUCAAAAUUUCAAAUUUAGAGCUUUAAAGAGUGAAACAACAUAUUUAAAAUUUCACUACUCAAAACUCCAAAUUUUAAGUUUCAUUUUUUUAUUUACAUUUUGGUCAUUAUAAUUAAUUACACAUCAUAUUUAUGAUUCUUAAUUAUUAUUUUGUUUAUCGUUUUAAUCUUUAAACUUUUGUAUAUCAUAAAUAUUUUAAAUUUAUUUUUAUAAAUUCAAAUUUUACACAUAAAAUUAAAUAAAAAAUUUAAAAUAACAUUUAUAAUAUUUUAAAAAUAGAAUUAGAUAAGAAAACUAUUACAAAAUAAACUUAAUAAAAACAUUUUAAAAAUAUACAUGAAGACAUAAUUAUUGACAAAUUUAAAUAUUACAACAUCACUAGUAUAUUUUCUCCGGAACUUUUAAAAUAUUGUCCCAAUAGAUUUUGUGUAACCGAAGAUAAAGCAUUACAGAAAUAAUUUUAUGAAAUAAUGUGAUAUUUUCUUGUAAUUUAACAUUUAAUUAUGUAUUUCUAUUUAUACUUUUAUAUUUUAGGGUAAGAAUGAAUUUAUUACAAUAAUAUUUUUAUAUGUGUGCUAGUUAUUUAUAAAAGUUUUAUAAAUUUAUAUUAAUUAUGAAAAAUAUAAUGACCAUAGUGUAAAUUAUAAAUAAUUUGAAGUUUAACUUUGAAGUUUUGCUUUUAUAGAAAAAUACCUUGAAACUUCAAAUAUAAAGUUUUACAAACAUAAAAUAGAAAGUUUUUUUGAAAAUGCUUACCUAAAGGUAGCAUUAGCAAUGGUACUAAUAGCAAUAAAAUGUCGAAAUACAACUAUUUAAUAUAUCCAUUACAAGAUGGAUAUCUUUAUUUUACCAGCGGAUACGGAUUUUUAACCUAAAUAGUAGUUGGAAGAAUUAACGUUCCCCAUAUCAACAUUUCAUAAAAUUUUUAAUACUUCUGUUAUCCAAGCUGCUUGUUAUAUUCUAGAGAAAGAAAGAAGCGCAGUAUGUUCUAAUAUGGAUCAAAUAUACAGUUCAUACAAUAAAGAAUAUAUAGGCCCAAGUUUAUUGAAGACCUAGAGUAUAUAGUCUACGGAUGGUUGAUCUUGAGUUUGUAUAAGAUCCACUAUACAAAGAAAAACAAAACGAUAACAGUUAAAAUACCGCUGAUAAUUAAGCAUAUGAAAACACUUUUAACUGUAUAUUUGAUAAAAGAUUACAUCAAAUCUGUAACAAUAUGUAAAUGAAACAUCAUGUUUUGUUUACAAUGGAUGCCCGAAAGGAUAGAAAGUUAUAUAAAUGAAAACGUCAAACACAACACAGUUUUAUCUCGGUUCUUUUUGUUUGCAUUAGAUUUAAUGGUUUCUAUCACCACCGCACAUGUAUCUAAACAUUUGAACUAAACAAUAUAAAGAGAUACGAUGUACUAAUAUAAGCCAACGUAUCACGUAUGUGUAAAAUAAUUACUUACCAACAACAAAAAUAAUAGAAUUACAGGAAGGAAUUCCCGGGGGGCCGUUGGAAAUAGCCAAUUAUUCACUAAUUACAAUUUACAACCAUCGAAAUGCUUUAUAAGUAAUUAACUACGACACUCAUUAGUGUAUACUGCAACUAACUUCACACGAGAAUCAUUAGGUGAAUCUCAGAGUGUACAGAUACAUCCGCCACCAACUUUCUUCCAUUUAUGUAUGUAGGUAUUUAAGAUAUAGUUGACUCCUCAUUGAUCAAUUUCACCAGAAACUGCCUGAUUCACCAACCAAAAACAAUGGUUUAAUUACAUAUCUUUUAUUUUCAUAUAUAACUCAAUUUUAGCAAUUAAAAAUAUACAUGCUCGUGUUUGGUAUGUAAUGGUUUCAUGACGCACACUUAAGAUUAUAUGGCUCAGGUUUCUGCUGAACCUUUAUCGCAUCUCAUGUUUUCUCUAUAAAUACUCCCCAAAUACUAACCUAAAUCUCAUACAAGUUCCUCCCAUCAGUCAUCACCUCUCUCUCGAUAUAUUUGAUCUGAUCUACUUCAUAACUAACAGAAACCGUAUAGUACUUAGUCAUAUCAUAAAAUGGCUAAGUUCACAACUUUCUUCUUUAUCAUUGUUCUCCUCCUCUGCUCCACGCUAACAAACGCAUCAGCCCAGCCUACUCCAACGUCCGUUUAUUCGGGAGAAAUCUCCGUUGAGGUCUCCCAACCCCACCAUCACUCUUCUUAUUCUAUUUAUAGUGAAUUAAUAAACAUGUGGAGAUAUAAACAAUUUAAAUUUGUACAGAAAUUAGAACAAGGAGAGGAAAACUGCGAAGGUGUUGGAGAAGAAGAGUGCUUCUUGAUACGAAGAACUUUGGCUGCUCAUACUGAUUACAUCUACACACAAAACCACAAUCCCUAAAUGAUUAAUUAGCUUAUAAUCAUUCAUUGGAAUACUUUGGUAAAUGAUAUAUUGUGUCAUUGUAUUUUCUUUAUUAUUAGUCAAACUACUUCACAUUUGUAUUUAUCUAUAUCACUUGAUCUGAAAAUAUGUGUAUUGAUUAUUAGUGGAAAAGUUAGGUACUAGUAGUAUGGUUUCUUUUUCGACUAUAAUACGAAGUGACACCUAGCUAGUCACUCUGUUUCUAAAUAUAAGUUGUUUUAGUAAAAAGACACAUAUUCAAGUUAAUUUUUAUUAAAAAUUAUCAUUAAAACUAUAAAUUAAAAGUUAAAGUUUACCUAAAAAUAUGAAAAUAUCUCAUGUAUUGAGACAUCAAAAUCCUUUUAAGCAUCUUAUAUUCCAGAAUGGAGGGAGUAUUAUUUAGAGUUAUACAUCAACCCAAACAAGCUAAUAAUUUAUCACAUCUUCAUUACUUUUUAGUCGUCUUAAAUGAAAACAGUUUAGUUUCUUGUAUAAAUUAAGUCCCUAUUUUUGAUAUACACAGCAACAUUUUUAAAAACCUCACACACAAACUAAAGAUAAUAAGACACCUCCAUGGCUCCAUAUAUGUAUACGUAGAUUGUAGACAUACAUACUCUGAAAUCAUUGUGUGGAUGUUGAAAAUAUUACCACAGACUUAUCAAUAACUACCUAGGUCAAUGAUAUACACAUGAUUCAACAAAUUAUUUUUCUAUGUUAACGAUCUUAGUACACAUUCCUCAAAGUUUGAUCAUAGUUAAAUUUUUGGGAGAACUUGAUUUUCAAAACAUAUUUUAAUUAUAAGUCAUUGGAGAAACGAUUUUCUUGUGAUAUAAAAUGUUCUGAUACAUUUGAAAUCAUUUUGUCAAAUGAAAAUUUGAUGAAUAUUUCUCAACUCUUUUUCUCUUUCUCCUUUUUUAAAAAUUUGUUUAUUAUUAUCUUUAUUGAAAAAGUUUUGUGAGAGACUACUAUAUAUUGUGAUUUUGUGAAUGCUUUUAUUAUCGGUUGGCAUGUUAUAAUCAAAAUAUAUAAAGUUAGCAUACAAAAUUGAUUGUUGACAUCUCAAGCUGACCUACAUAAAUGCAUUCCGUGUAAAACAUUUGUUUAGAAGAAACUAAAAGUUGAAGCAACAUUUAUAUGACAAAUUGGUGGCAUGAUAAUGAAAUUUGUAUCACUAUACUAAAUUCAAGUCGCGUGACUCUAACCAAUCUUUCACUCCCCGUCGUAGUUUUGAGUAUUUUCAUUGUUUAAAAUGAGAUGUAUAUGAAGUUUGGUGUCAUAUCCCAAUCCAUCUAUAGAUAAUACGUGUUAAUUAAUGACAUAUUGAUGAGUACUUGGCAAUUUUUUGAAUGGAUAUAUCCCAACUUGGAUUUUGAAAAAGAAAACUAAAAUGUUAAUACUUGCUAUUAGCUUAAACACACCACGAUAUGUGUUUCAAACUUUAUAAAAUAUUAAAAGAUCGAUUGCCGGCCUGUAUUUUGCAACUUCAACCCCAUUUUGACUUAAAGAAAGUAAACUAGAUCCAUAUUAUAUUGCUUUUAGUAAGAUAAGUAUCCCCCAAGCUGUAAACAUCCAACUAUAUACAUUUAUUAUAUAUACACUUAUAAAUUUAUUUUCGUAUUGAAGGGCACAUUUAUAUCGAAGUACAUGGACGGCAUCUUUUCUCUUAUAUAAUUUAUUUCAGUCUUGUUUUUUCUAUUUCACUUGAAAUCAUGAAAGCUAAAAAGAUGAAGAAAGAGAGCAACCUAGCAAAACUGGUGAAAUCUCCCGUUCGUUUUUUGAUCAUGGCACGUGAUGCCUACAUACGUAGCAUGACAUCAUGCUCCGCCGGUUAUAUUCGUGGUGGUGGUGGCUCCGGCGGUUUCGGUUUGCCGGCUGGUAAUUUCCAAAUCUGCGAAGAACCAAGCACCACUCUCCCUCGUAGCUUCACACUCAAUUCGUCCACGACGACGGUAGCGACACGUGAACGCUGCCGGUUUGUCUCGGACUACUCACGUGGUGGUGGAGAAAUCACGGUGGCGACUGGAGGACCGUUGGACCUCCGAAGAAACUAUAGCUGCAUAGUGAUGGGAAGGAUCGAUGAAGAGCAGGCUUGUGAUAAGUUCGAAGAAGAGGAUUUGCUAUUUGACAAAUUCAAGAAACGAAAAAUAGAUAGAGUUUUUACUAUACAUCCAAGAUAAAAGAAAAAAAAAGUAAAGACCCUUUGAAUUUUCCGUUUUGUUUUCCUCUUUCUUGUUGAUUUUUAAAGGGAUUGAUUUUGUUUUCAUUGUUAAGUUGUUGUGCUUAUAGGUUUCUUGUAGUAUAUAAAUUUCAAUACAUGUAGAAUAGAACCUUCUCUCCUAACACGACACCAACGUGAACAUAACAAAUAAAAUAACUCUCUUGCGGGGUGUGUGUGUAGCAAAAUAAAAAGUUACGGGUAACAAAAACAUUAAUUAACUAGUAAAGUUUAGGGGGUACCAUUAGUAAUGAUGCGAGGAGAUCCAUGCAGUACCUUUUAGAGUAUCAGAGUCAGUAUAUGUUCAGCAAACCAAUCAAAGCUGAUGGAGAAGAUGCUAUGCAGAGCUGGUGAACCAUCUUUGUUUCUCCGUUUAUUAGAGAAUCUCCGAAAAGACAUUUUAAUUUACAAAAUUUCGUAUUUGAAGUUCAAAGAUAUUUUUCUCAAAAGAUAAAAUUUCAAAAUCGUUUAUAUUUUAUGCUAUUAUCUUUAUUUUUGUCAUAAUUGAUUUUAAUUCAUAAAAAUUUAUAAAUAACUAACACAUAUAUAAAAAUAUUAUAGCAAUAUUAAUUAAUAAAAUGUUACAUUAAAAAAAUUACAUAGAAAUACAUAAUUAAAUUACGAGUAAAUACCAUAUUAUUCCAUAAAUAUUUUAUAUAUGAUCAAGUAGUGCAUUUUUAAGUUUUUUUUGUAACAUUGUUGUUGUCUAAAUCUAGUUUUAAAAGAUUUUAUCUUAUUUUAAAGUUUUUAUUUAAUUUUAUGUGUAACACUUAAAUUUAUAAAAAAAAUUGUAAUAUUUAUGAGAUACAAAAAUUUUAAGGAUUAAAACGAUAAAAAAAUAUAUUCAAAUAUCAUAAAUGUGAUAUAUAAUUGUAAGGACAAAAAUUUAAAUAAAAAUAUGAAACUUCAAAUUUGAAGUUUUGAUCAUUGACUACAGAUUUGAGGUUUUAUUGCUCAAAAUUAAAAAAAUUAAAGUUUCGAGAAAAAAAAGAUCGAGAGUGAAAAAUUCAUAUUUGAAAUUAUAUAGUGUUUGGAGAUACUCAAAUGCUUUUUGAUAUGUAUCAGACUUGGGUUUAUGUUUUGUGUUUUUAAGCUGUAACACGUGCUGGACUUAAAUAUGGAUCAGCUUAGUAAGAAAUAGAUUUUAACUUCAGUUUAUAUUUUGUUUCUCUGGCCCAUUAAGAUAUUCUAAAGCCCAGCAUACCCGAGCAUGUUAUAUAAAAUAUAAAAAAGUAUAUAUUAUAAAGUCCAGCAAAGUAUAUAUAAAAAUGUGGGAGCAGAUCUAGCGAAGAUAAAGUUUGCAGUGUCUUUUGGUACUGCGAUUAAGAUAGGGUAUCAGUCUGAUACUAUGCUGUAACUCCAAAUCAACACGCUUCCUUUUAAAUUUUCUAACGUAUUAAAAUAUAUCUGAAUUAGUUAUCAAAGCAUCAAUAUAUACUUAAAAAGAAAAAUAGUCAAUAUAUAUAUUUCCUAAAUUCCAAUUGUUGAAUGACAUUGUAAAACGAUGGUCAGUUAUUAAAUUUACAAUCCAUUUAUGUUAUUAACGGGAUACCAUAAACUCUGGUCAACUUAAUAAUUCAAAAGAAUUAAACAUAUAGUUAAUCAAGUCAUUGGUUGUGAUAUGCAUAUCAUUAAUAACAUUUAACUAGAUCUCGACCCGCGAAACCGCGCGGAUUAUUGGUUUUAUUUAUUUUUAUAUAAAUAUUUUUUAAAAAAAUUGGUAUAUAUUAUAAUAUAUAUGUGGCUAUCAGUUUUUAAAACAUAAUAAAUUUAAGGUAUAUUCUUUUUCAUUGAAUAGAUCGUUUCAAACUUUCACAUGUAUUUAUAUCUUCUUAUAUAUAUAUAUAUUUUCAGAUUAUUAUUUCAUUAUUAAAAUCAUAACUAUAUAUAUAAAGAUUAGUAAAAUAUUAUUUUAUUGUCAUAUCCAAAGAUAUUGUAACAUUUCACAAAUUUAGAAAGUUUAUAAAAAAUUAGACUUUUCGCUUCAUAGAUUUAUAAUUUUAAAAGUUAACAUCAAGAAAUAUUUAAAUAAUUAACAUAUCGAGGUAUAGUAUUACAACAUUAAAAUUGUAUCUAUUUAAUUUAUAUUAUCUAUAAAUCUAAUGAAUCAUCUAUUUUAAAUCUAAUUAUUGAUAGCCCAAUAAAAAAAUUUAGUAAGCCCAAAAUUUAAAUGAUAAGAUUAUAGAUUAAAUGUAAUAUGACUUUUUAGGAGUAGGUCCAUUAGGUCCAUUUUUAAAAAAAAUCACACAUGAAUCAAGGUUGUAACUUCUGUUUUAAUAUAUAAGAAAUUUACCAUUGCAUUCAUCUGUCAUUAACAUUAAAUAUGGAAAAUAGAUUGACCACCCCCAACCUCUGUAUUUAUUAACCUCAUCGUUUAAUCUCCAUCGACAUCUUUUGUUAACAUAUUCUCUUUAUAUACUUCAGUUUCAGACAAGAACCCAACCAAAAAAAACAUCAAAACUUUUGUUCUUUUCUUUUUUCACAUAUCAGCGAAAAUUUUAAAAUGGGGAACUGUCAAGCGGCGGAGGCAGCGACGGUUUUGAUCCAUCACCCGUCGGAGAACAAGGUUGAGAGGAUUUACUGGUCGGUGACCGCAAGCGACGUCAUGAAAUCCAAUCCUGGUCAUUACGUUGCGGUGGUAGUGACAUCACCGACAUUGAGGAACGAGAAAGGAUCUCCCUUGAAGCAGCUCAAGCUCCUUCGACCAGAUGACACUUGUUAGUGCCGGUAAACCGGACUGAUGUAAACGAUAUAAUAAAAGCGAAGUUAAGGAAAUAGACGAAUAUAGAAAACGAAUACGAGAACGAUAAGAAACCGUAUUCGCAACGAGACAUGGAGGCGAGAUAUGAUCUCUUUCCUUAACUCAAAAUAUUUGCUCCGUUAGUGAGACGGGACUGUACGAAUAUAGAGUCCCAGGAUAUAACCAUGGCAGACGACUCACGCCUCACCCGUGAUCGCCCUAUCGAACAAAAAAUCUACGAAACACUCUCGCAAUAAUAGACUUACGCAGAGGGAAUUUUGCUGUUGGAUUUCGAUUCAGAAAAGGUUAAAAAAUGAAGGAAGAGAAGAGAUGAUAUUUAAAGAGACGGAGACGACCCACUUCCCGCAACAGCUGCUGCACGUGGGCGAGAAUCUCGCGGAGAUCGAGGGAAGUUGAGUUCCGAAACUUCUUCCUCAAGACUCUCUCUUAUCUCGUUUAAAAAUUUCGAGAGGAUAACAUGCAUGACGUUUUUAUUUUCUAGACAAACUACUUGUCGUUUUAAAUAAAAUUGUAUGAUGUUUUUUCCCGAAAUAAAUGGCAAAACGUUGAGCUUAACUUGGUCCAAAAAGAAUACUUCUUAUCGGGCCAAAGGCCCUCCACCCAAGCCCAAGCCCAAGCCCAAGCCCAAGCCCAAGCCCAAGCCCAAGCCCACGCCCACGCCGAGCCGAGCCGAGCCGAGCCGAGCCGGCCGGACGGCGGCGGCGGCGCGCGCGUGGGGAGCUUUCUUCUCUCUCCAAGCUGUUUAAGCUUUCAUGGUAAGUGAACAUAUAUAUAUUGCUCAACUUCUCUUCCUCUAAGCGAUGUGGGACAAGUCUCCUUACAUCAUAAAUGAUGAUACUUUGGGCUGUUGAUCACACAGGCCCAAGUCAUUUGCUUUUCACAUAUUUCAUUAAAGCCUAAAGGCUAUUAAUGGAUCCAACAAUCCCCCACAUGAAUAGAAAUGACUCUUCUAAACAUAUGCAGACUAAAUGCAGACUCGAUAGACUCUAAAAAACUAUACUUAUUCUAAUCUGGACUAGACUAGACAGACUUAUCGAGAGUGUUUGCGAAAAAUUCACUGUGUUUGAGUUGGUGGCAUUUUUAAGCCUUGAACCACUCAUAGUUAAUAUCUGUCGGGUUUACUUUACCAGAAGGUGAACAUGAUGUCUUGAACCAACCGGUGUUUUAUGUAGACCGAGACAACAGGCAUAACGCAGCUUCAUUUUCUCGUAGAACUUAGUUCUCUAUUGUGUUCAUUGUGGCCCUGAACUAUUCCUGGUUUUCAUGAGUGAACUUAGAGAAUAUAGCCUUGCAUUCAUUCUCCUAGAAACGGCCCCAUUUCACACUCAUUAGGUGAUUGACCAUGAAAAGUAUUGAGUAAUACUCCGCUUAGAAGCUAUGGAAUCAUUAAAAGCUUAUGCUUAUCCUUCACACAUUCGUUAGCACUUUUAUCAUCUUAGGAGCUGGGAAGAGACUACUUUGUCUCAAGUGCUUUGGUUAGAUUCUGUUUGAUUUUGUUUUCCCUUUGAACCUACGUCUUGGGAUCUCCAGUCAUGAUAGGUAGGGUUGCAGUCAAGCAUCCUCAUUCGUUAUAGGCUUUAAACCCAUUCCUUUUGAUGAUUUAGCAACAACAUCUCGUGGCAAACCUUUAGUAAAUGGAUCCGCUAGGUUGUCAGCCGAUUUGAUGUAGUCUAUUGUGAUUACACCAGUUGAGAUAAGUUGUCUAAUGGUUUUAUGUCGUCUUCUGAUGUGACGAGAUUUACCAUUGUAGAGAUUAUUCUGAGCCCGAGCUAUUGCUGAUUGACUAUCACAAUGUAUGCGUAUAGCUGGCACAGGUUUCUCCCACAUAGGGAUAUCUUCCAAAAAAUUUCUAAGCCAUUCAGCUUCUUCUGCUGCUUUGUCUAAGGCUAUGAACUCAGAUUCCAUUGUUGAUCUGGCUAACACUGUUUGUUUGGUAGAUUUCCAUGAUAUUGCUGCUCCCCCUAGUGUAAAGACAUAUCCACUUGUGGAUUUUGAGUUUUUAGAAUCUGAUAUCCAGUUAGCAUCACUGUAUCCUUCUAAAACUGCUGGUUCUUUACCAUAGUGAAGCCCAAAAUCUUUGGUGUAGCGCAAGUAAUUGAGUACCCUCGUUAUAGCUUUCCAGUGUGUAUGACCUGGAUUACUUGUAUAUCGACUAAGUACGUUUACUGCAUGCGCCAGAUCCGGUCUAGUACAAUUUGUCAAGUACAUGAGACUUCCGAUCACACGUGCAUACUCGUUUUGUGAAACCGCUUCACCUGAAUUCUUUGUCAAGUGCAUUUGGGGAUCUAACGGAGUUUUUGCCGUACUAUUAGAGUAAUUUUUAAAUCUCUCUAAUAUUGUUUGAGCAUAAUGAGAUUGGGUUAAGAUAAUUCCGUUUGAAUUUCUUUUGACUUUAACCCCGAGAAUUACAUCUACUAAUCCCAAGUCUUUCAUCUCAAAUGUCCCUUUGAGCAUGUUCUUUGUUUGAUUGAUAAUGUCUUUAUUGCUUCCAAUAAUGAGCAUAUCAUCUACAUAUAGGCAUAGUAAAACAUACGCAUUUUUGGUAGUUUUGUAGUAUAUGCAUUUGUCACAUUCAUUUAUUUUGAAACCAUUUGACAUCAUUGUAUUGUCAAAUUUUUCGUGCCAUUGUUUAGGAGCUUGUUUAAGCCCAUAAAGUGACUUUACAAGUCGACAUACUUUGUCUUCCUGUCCGGGAAUGACAAAACCUUCAGGUUGUUUCAUGUAAAUUUCCUCUUCUAAAUCACCAUUUAGAAAAGCAGUUUUUACAUCCAUUUGAUGGAUUUCUAAGUCUCUUAAGGCUGCGAUUGCUAUCAUCAGUCUUAUUGAUGUUAUUCUCGUCACUGGAGAAUAUGUAUCAAAAUAGUCAAGGCCUUCUUUUUGUCGGAAUCCUUGAACUACAAGCCUAGACUUGUAUUUUCCACCAGGUUUGCGUGUCAUUAUCCAUUUAUUCCCUAAUGCUUUGCAGCCAGGUGGUAAAUCCGUUAUGUAAUACGUAUAAUUUUGCAUAAUCGAAUCUAAUUCACUCCUGACAGCUUCGUUCCAAAAUGGAGCUUCUGGUGAAGCCAUGGCUUCUGCCAAAGUUUUUGGAGCAUUUUCUACUAAAAAUGCCAUUAGGAAAUCUUCUCCAAAAGAUUUUUCCUUUCGAGUUCUUUUGCUUCUUCGAGGUUCAUCUUUUUCUUCAUUUUCUGAAAUAUCAUUUAUAGAAAUCUCGACGUUUGUCUCAGUUUCUGAGUUCUUGUCAUUGUCUCUUUCUUCUCGAGUUCGUUUUGAACCUUGUUUUUCCCUAUAUGGAAAAAUAUUUUCGAAGAAAGAUGCAUUUCUUGAUUCCAUGACUGCAUUUUCAUGAAUAUUUGAUAUUUCAGAUUUAUGUACCAGAAAUCGAUAAGCAUUACUGUUAUGUGCAUAUCCGAUGAAGAUGCAAUCCACUGUUUUAGGUCCAAUAGUGACCUUCUUUGGUGGUGGUACCGCAACUUUUGCCAGGCACCCCCACACUUUGAGGUAUUUAUACGAAGGUAAAUUACCUUUCCAUAAUUCAUAUGGAGUUUUGCCAGUUAUUUUGUGUGGAAUUUUGUUGAGGAUAUAAUUAGUGGUAAGCAACGCUUCCCCCCACAUGUUCUGGGGUAACCCAGAUUCCUGCAACAUAGCAUUCAUCAUCUCUUUUAGAGUUCGAUUUUUUCGUUCAGCAACUCCAUUAGAUUCUGGUGAGUAAGGAGCUGUAGUUUGAUGGAUUAUUCCAUGUUCUUUACAGAAUGCAUUGAACGGACCAUCAUACUCGCCUCCUCUGUCGCUUCUAACUACUUUAAUAGUUGUUUUAAGCUGAUUCUCGACCUCGAGUUUAAAUUCUUUAAAUUUUUCCAAGGUUUCAUCUUUGCUAUGUAAUAAAUAAACAUAACAAUAUUUUGUGCAGUCAUCUAUGAAGGUCACAAAGUACUUUUUACCACCUCUAGUUUGUAAGUAUUUUAAAUCACAUAAAUCAGUGUGAAUUAAAUCUAGAGGUUUAUUAGUUCUUUCAACACGAGGUGAUGGCGUUUUUGUGAGCUUAGCCUGUACGCAUACUUCACAUUUUUGUUUACUUGUUUUGCAUUUAGGAAUUAGAUUUAAUUCAUUAAUCUUUGUAUAGAUUUGUAGUUUACAUGGCCUAAUCUUUCAUGCCAUAUAUUAAAAGACUCAACCAAAUAAGCAACUGGCUCAUUCUUAUUCAUUGAAACUUUUGGAGCUACAACUUUUGGAGUGACUGUCAUUACAUUCAACUUGACAAGUCCACCCUUAACAUAACCCCUUCCCAAAUACAUCCCAUUCUUCCUAAUCACGAGCUUAUCCGCCUCAAAGCUUGUGGCGAAUCCAUUCUUGCUGAGCAAGGUUCCCGAGACCAGGUUCUUCCUCAUGUCUGGCACAUGCUUCACAUUUGUCAGAGUGACCUCACGUCCAGAUGUCAUCUUCAAGAUCACAUUGCCGCGUCCUUCAAUCUUGGAGACUGCAGUGUUUCCCAUCUUGAGCUUCUCCUCAGUCUUGCUUUUCUGAUAGGUGCUGAACAUCGCCCUAUCGGUGCAAAUGUGGGUGGUUGCACCAGUGUCAUACCACCAUUCCUUGGGGUUGUUGCUUUCAACCAUGUUCGCUUCAGUCACCACAGCAACGAGAUCCUCCUCAGUGAGAUUUGCCUGAUCCUUCUCAUCCUUGAUCUUUUUGCGACACUCAACAGUCUUAUGCCCCACUUUGUGGCAGUAGUGACAUUUCCCCUUGAACUUCUCCACAUUCGCAUUGAUCUCAAUAUCUUUGUUCUUGAAGUUUUUUCCAGAAGCCUUCAAGGCUGCAGCAGUUUUGGAAGGCUUGGCAGGAGAAUAGGCGUGUGCCUUUCCUUUGCCUUUGUGCUCAGCCAUGUUGACAUUGUGCUCCUUUGUACCGACCUUUGCAGCAGUUCGGUUUCUGGAUUCCAUCUGAAGCCUCGUGAUGAGCUCCUCGAGCCCCAUCUUCUUCUUCUUGUGCUUCAAGUAGUUCUUGAAAUCCGCAUAGCUUGGAGGAAGCUUUUCAAUGAAGCUGAGAGUUGUGAAUGUCUCGCAGAUGGACAUUCCUUCAGCAGCGAUUUCAUGGCAAAUGAGCUGAAGCGCUUCCACCUGAUCCAUGAUGGGUUUUGAAUCCACCAUUUUGAAGUCGUGGAAUUUUGAGACCACAUACUUCUGGCAGCCAGCGUCCUCACCUCUGUACUUCUUGUCUAGUGAUCUCCAUAGCUCUUUCGCCGUGGGAAUCUCACAGUAGACACGGUACAAUGGGUCAAUGAGGCGACCCAAAAUGUAGCCUUUGCAGAUGAAGUCGGAAUGCACCCAUAUGUCAACAGUUGCGAGGCUGUGAACAUCAUCAAUCCCGUAAGGCAUAAGGGGCUUGUCCUCCUGGAGGAACUUCUCCAGCUUCAUCGUUGCCAGGAAGAACAACAUCUUCUUCUGCCACGUUUUGAAGCCUUUGCCAUCAAAUUGGUUUGGCAUCAGUCCUUGAGUGAACACACUAGGGACAGUCGGAGGAGUUUGAACUGCCACCGGACCACUUGCAGUUGCUGAAAUUGAGCCCGUCUGAUAAAGACCAGCACCGAAUAGGGUACGGCGAGUGGUUUCAUCAGCAGCAUUCCCCGCAGGGAGGAAAGUACUCGUUGUUGCUGCAGUGGUUGACGCUGUGAUGUUUCCAGCGGUUGUCACGCCAGUUGCUGCAGCGUUGAGUGGAGUCUGAAUGACAUCCGAGGUGUCCAUGGGAGUGGGGGUGUCGUUUUCGUUUGUCAUUUUUUCUGUAGAAAAAACAUGAAAAACGGAUUAGUACUCCAUUCAACAUUUAACAUAUUAUUUUAAAUAAAAUAAUAGUCUAAAAUCGAUGUUCAUUUUUGGUGUUUGAACCAAAUCAUAUCGAUAUAAGUCUUAGAAAAAAUGUUUUGCAAACUCGCUUAAAAGCGUUCGCAGAAAUCAUUUUUAUAGACUUAGAAUGUUUCACAAACUCGCUUAAGAAAGCGAUCUUGAAACGAUUCACUUAUAGAACGUUUUGAAGAUGUAUCAAAAACGUUUGCGAAAAAUGCUAAAAAACAAUUCGCAAAUCGUAAUGAAAUAAAACAGAAACGUUUCGCGGAAGUACUAUAAAGCAAAUCGCAAACAUGUUUUUAGAAUAACCUCAGAAAACGUUUCGCGGAUAAGCGUAUAGCAAAUCGCAAACAUCGUUAUAAAAUAAGAAUAACCAUUUCGCGGAAGUGCUAGGAAGCAAAUCGCAAACACGGUUCCAAAACCCGUUUUAUAAAUCGUUUUUCAACCCGAUUCGAGCUUUAGACAUAAAGCGAUUUUGAGUUAAGAUUGUUAGUGCCGGUAAACCGGACUGAUGUAAACGAUAUAAUAAAAGCGAAGUUAAGGAAAUAGACGAAUAUAGAAAACGAAUACGAGAACGAUAAGAAACCGUAUUCGCAACGAGACAUGGAGGCGAGAUAUGAUCUCUUUCCUUAACUCAAAAUAUUCGCUCCGUUAGUGAGACGGGACUGUACGAAUAUAGAGUCCCAGGAUACAACCAUGGCAGACGACUCACGCCUCACCCGUGAUCGCGCUAUCGAACAAAAAAUCUACGAAACACUCU